rnacentral:lncRNA from 1 species
UUGAGAUUAGGCAGACCGAACAAAACCAAAAUUCAAUGAAAAAAGAAAUACAGAAUUAGACAAAGAGCCCCAACAUGUCGUUUUCUUUUUCUUCUAGUAGAAGCACGAUAGAAAGAGUGGCAACUUUAUCCAUUUGAAAUAAUAACCAGCCAUGGCAUCGCCCUCUUGAUGCCAUUUUUGAGAAGAAUACAAUAAAUAUUUUCCUUAGCAGUAGGCCUUUUGAAGAAAAUCAACAAAUCAUCAAGAAAACUUCUUUUGAAGAAUUGUUUUCCUGGUUUCAACAUCAUCUGAACAACUUCACUUUAUCUAAUAAUUCACACGUUGGAUAAAAUCACAGUUUCUCCACAAAGAGACAAACAAUAUUGUUGAAUUCCUUAACUCUUGAAACAUAAAAUCACAGUUUCUCCACAAAGAGACAAACAAUAUUGUUGAAUUCCUUAACUCCACUUGCCAACUCAUAGUCUUACACAUCAUUGUUUUGUAAGAACUACGAAACAAGAACUGGCAGAGAAAAUUUUAAAACCUUUCAAAAAGGAACAAACAGAUCGAAUCGGUUAUCAUCAUCGUCAUCAAUCAUUCCACGUGGCUGGUUCAUACACAUGGGGCUUGUCAAUUAUUGCCAUGACCCUCAAAAAAUGAAUGAAAGUACUUCAAAAUUUUCAUUGACAGUGGAGAGCCCACCUGAAAGUGCGAAAUUAGUAGACUAUAGUUGCAAAUUUUAGUACAUCAGCAUCAGCUCAUCUGAUCUGAAAGUUGUAAAACAAACACUAAUUCCUAACUCAGAAGAUCUCUAAGAUAUCUGAUGAUAAUGAUGAUGAUGAUUAGAUGGAAGGGAAAUGAUAUUUGGUGGUAUGGUGCUUACAUCACAGGGAAAUUUGAUCCUUCUUUUUGGCUUUGGGUGAGAGAAUCUGAUAGGUAAUAUGGACCUCCUCUCAACUGGCCAGAAACUGCUAUGAUCACUUGGAAAAAUUUUCUUUGCAAAGUAGAUAUGAAUGGUCCCAUAUGCAGGCUGUUGCUACGCCCUCACAGCUAUGGGAUGUGCGUUGCCCUGCAUUUCCUCUUUCAUGAUAUGAAAGCUUUCAGUUUUCUGGAGCCAUUUGGGAAUUGGAUGCCAUCAAAUUAGAGAAGAAAAACAAUGUUUUAAUUUUACAAAUUUCAAUAUUUGCGAGAAAUUAAGUUUGCGUAAUAUGAGUAUUAAUCCAAGUUAACAACAUUUUACAGCUAUAUGUAUCGGAAAUUUUUUAAAAAUAUAUUUUGAAUUGAUAGAUUAAAUGCUUUUCAUAGAAAAGAAAUGAGUGAAUGAUCAUUUCUAUUAAAAGAAAAAGAGUAGAGAAAAAUAUUGGAGAUUUAAUUAUAAAGUGAGUAGUUACUAGAAUUUAAUUAUAAAGAGAAAGUCAUGAUUUGAUCACUAAUACACAAAUUUUAAUUGGGAUAUACUAAUAAUCUUUUAGCUGUCAAUUUUUUAAUUAAUCAAAAUAAUUGUCUGUUGUGGUUUUUUUUUUUUUUUUUAAAAAAGAAAAAGGUAAAAUUGAAGCUUAUUAUGGGAAGCCGAAGAGAUACCUAAAAUAUAAUGGUGGAUUCCUGUGGGCUUUGACCAGUUCUUGCAGUAGUAAUCAUUUUUUACACUUCUUUGCAACUUUCAAGCGACAUUUGAAAAUUUUUCAAUUUUCCUUUAUUAUUGUGAAAUGAUUUUUUUCUUGAAAACUUUGUUUCAUUUUAUAAACGUAGAUAUUUCUGUUUUUCUUUUUCUUUAAUUCAUCAUAUUAUUUUCAUGCUGUUUGCUGCUUAAGAGUAAUGUUUUGAGGUGUAGACAUUAACUAGCAGCUAUAAAACAAAACAACUACAAAGGAAUAUAACUUUCUGUUUGUUCAUUUAAACAAAGGGCCACAUCCUGCUGGCAAAUAUACAAGACAAAAAAACAAUAGCCAAAUUAAAGACUAAACCUUGUUUGUUUUGCAUAGAUUCAGAGGUUUGCUAAUUCUUGUUAAAAGCUGAAAAACUUAAUGAAAAGUUGAGGAAUAAUUGGGAUUUUGAGUUUUAUUGCAUUUGCCUUUUGCACUAGGAGAUGGAAGACUUCAAUGAACUGCUAUGGUAUUAAUUUGGAAUUUUAGGUUUCUGCAACAGUUGCUGAGAAUUUAAGAUAUCAGCAACUAGCACCAGAGAUUAAGAUUUAGUAAUGAUAAUGAACAAUAACUUUUAUGAAUUUGUUUGUUAGAAUAAUGGACUCUUAUUUUCAGUUUCAGUGAUCAAUUUCAAAUCUUAAUGACCUCAAAUAUAUAUAUAUAUAUAUAUAUAAACUUUUAUGAAUUUAAAUAACAAUUCAAAUUAAAAAGAGCAUUUACCUCAGAAUUAUUAUUGUCUCAGUAUUAUAGAAUAAGAAAUCAAAAAAAGGAGCAUCUAAUAAACAAAUGAUUUAUUCUAAUUAAAAUGAUGAAGAUAUGUUUAGACAUUUCCUUUCUGUUUUUGAGGCAAAAUGAAGAGAUUUUCAAUUAUAGAUCUCUAAAUGUACGUUACUGCACAUAAUUCUUUUGUAGCAUUUUGUGUUUGGAACCUAGCGAUUCAAUGCCUAUAUAUACUUCAUGUACAAAAAUUAACAAUCGAAAAAAGAAAAGGCAUAGGUGCAUUGAAUUUAAAAGUAUUUGGGGCCUUCUAAUAAUGGCUUCUGAAUGUGAAAGUAUUCUAGUCCAUGGCUUCUAUUUGUCUGUGUUCUAAUGAAGUCAAUGAGAUCUUCUAAUCAUGGAUUUUCAUUUUUUGGUGUAAAUGCAGGACUAACCGCAUUGGUGUCAUUAAAUGUUUCAAAUUCUUACAUAACUAAUGAUGGUUUGCUGUAUUUAAAGCCUCUAGAGAACUUACGGUCACUAUCUUUGGAGUCCUGCAAGGUAACUGCCUCUGAAAUUAAGAAGCUUCAGUCAACUACCCUUCCCAAUCUUGUCAGCUUUCGACCAGAAUAAUAUUGCUGGGGCAACUGUAACACAUGCUUUAAAUAGCUGCUAUCACCUGGAGAUAGCUCUCUUCACAAUUCAACAAAUGUAUGUUAAAACUUGAAAGGAUGCCUUUCUAAUGGGGUCAGGUUAAUUGUGUUAAUUAUAGGGACAAUCAAUGUAAGGUGAUUGUAAAUAUGUUUGGCUACUGAAUUUGGCAUUUCCUCUUUUCUUGUUUCAAAAACAAAUAAAUUUUGUCGAUAGAAAUUUUAAGUUCAUUCAAACUAUUUUCUGCACAUUGUCUUACAAGUUUUCAUAUGGAGAUUCAAAACAGAAGGUAAAAACCAGAGGGGAAGAGGUUUGGCUCGGAGUUACACUCAAUCUGAGUAACUUGUUUCAGAACAUAGUCUCAAUCACAAGCAUGCAGACAGAAUUACAUGUUUGAAUGUUUGAUGAAAUGGAAGCAAAAGCUGAAAAUAAAUCCUCAAUCCUCAAUCAUAUAUGCUACAACAUUAGAGUCUAUGCUUCUCAAUCCAGUGCAAAAAUCUAUUUAUUCUAAGCUAGAAAUUAGAAUGAGAAAGUUGCAGCUAGAAAUAACAAAUCAAUCAGGUAAGCAAUAGCAAUCUCUAAAUUAUUUGCAGCUAAGUAAUAAAUUCAGCUUGUAUAUCUUGACCAAAAAAAAAAAAAUCAGCUUGUAUAUCAAUUGGUAAGAAAUAACAAAUCAAGUGUUGUAAUAGAAUGCUGCAAACAUUAGAUAUCAAUUGUCCUCCAACGGCCUGAGAUUGAUGCUACUUCAAAUCUUGGGCUUUUUACCUGGCAAUAUGAUGAAUUUACCAUGCCAACAGAAUUUUUUUGUGAUAAGUUUUUCAGUUCAUUAUCAAAGGCUGAAUGAACAAAAAACAUUUCGAAAAAUUAAUAAUAAGGGUCGUUUGGUAUUGAUGUGUGUUUUAUGUUUUUAAAAAUUUUGUUUUGUUUUAUUUUAUUUUCGUUUUAUUUUUAAUUUAUUGAAUUUGAAAACAUGUUUGAAUAAAAUGUUUUUGGUUUAUAAAUGUGAAAACCAAAAUGUGUUAAGAGAAAUUGGUUAAGGCUUUUAGACUCCAUUUGUUAUUAAUAAUAUAAUAUUAUUAAUAUAAUAAUAUUUAUUAAUAUAAUAUUAUUUUUAUUAAUAUAUUAUAAUAUGAUCUUUAAUAUAUUAUUUACUAAUAAUUAAUAUAUUAUUUAUUAAAAUAAUAUUUAUUAAUAUAUUAUAAUAUGAUUCUUUCAACAUAUGGAACUUACGAAAAUGCAGUGCAGCAUCUCUUGAUGUUCUAUCAAAUGUGUUUGGGGUUGAAAUUUUUCCUACUUUGAUGCCCAUUAUUCAGGUAAGUUACCUAUUGGGGAUGUGAAAGUUAUAUCGUGGAAAUUCUUUGUGUUUUAUUUAUUUAUUUAUUUUUGUUUCUGUGCAUCCAAUAGGCAUGUUUCAUCAUAAGUUCAUCACUUCAUCUUGCCCAAAAGAUAUUAAAUCAGUGUGUUCCAUGGUGAAUAUGAGAAUAUCAGAUUGCUUCAUGCUGUAGAAUCUACAAAGUUAAUUCAUUUGCUAUGAUAUAGAUAUGCUAGUUUGAAUCACAAAGGUUAUUGCUGUUAAUGCCAAACUUCUGCCGCAUUUGUGCAUGAAACUUUAUUGGAGGAAAUAGUUAUCUUGGAAGUCUGAAAAAGCUUUGUACGAGUCACUUUUGAUUUCUGAUUUUCUGGUUUCAGCAUUGAUUUAGAAGACGCUGUAUUUCAUUUAAGCAUGUGUUUUUUUUUUAUCCAGUCCUUGAUUUUAAUGGUUCCAGUGUUUUUCUAUCACGAGGCUAUAAACUCACUGGAUCCUGCUAAUAUAUGUAUUAAGUAGAAUACUACAAAAACAACUGCUUCUGUCCGGUAAAAAAAAUUUAGUAUUUUGAGUUUGUGAUGAAUUGUUGAAGCUAUCUUGUUUCUUUUAAGCUUGAGUAUAUUUCGAUCAAUGUUUUUUGCCAAAUGAUUUGGUUUGUGUAGCAUUUGGUUAGCUAAUUGAUGUCCGCCCAUCUAUUCUAGAGGUGGGUAUCUUUUGUCUGUUACAUUUUAGUUUUCUCAAAUUUGUUUUUUAAUUUCAGUUGUUUUAGUUGUGUCACUUCUUUUAGUCUGUAUGUCAUACUCUUGUGUGUGUAUGUGUUUUUUAUUAUUAUUAUUUUGAAUUGCUAAUUAUUUUUCUUUUCUAUGAGCAGUUUUUUUCAAUCUCCACAUGCUUCUGUGAAUAAUCUUUCGUUGUAUUCUUAAUAGCAAGGGAUAUCACUCUGAUACAUUUUGAUAUUAUACAUUAAUUUCCUGCAGGCUUUAUAUACAUCCAUGGAUAAAUUCCUUCAGGCUUUGUUCUCUACUAAUUAACAAUUCUUGCUGAUUUUAUUUUUCAAUUUUAGUUUGUUCAUUUGUGCUUUCUAAUCCUUCAUGAUUGGCUGAUUUUUUUUCUUUAGCAAUGAAAAUUUUAUCUUGUUUACUUUAAAUUUAUUUGCAAAAAUUUUUCUCCUUUAUAAUCAUGUGCCACGUGUUCUUAACACUUCUUUUUUGUAUUUGAUUUUUAAUCAAAAUUUAAUUAGGAUUAUGAAGAGCAAAAUAUUAAAUUUUUUUUCUUCGUAUUCAACUUUCGAUCGACGGAGACAAAAUGUUAAUUAUUUUAUCUAAAUCCAAUCCAAUAAUUCCAAAGUCCAACUUGUGGUCCCAAGGAUAGGUCUGCUUUGCUGUCAGAAAAGAGUUUAUUUUGGGCCGACUGAGCCAGAAGCUAAUAAUAAGGUCUUAGGAAUUGUUUUACCGAUCUUGAAGAUAAGAACGUUGGAUGGGAUCUGCGGACUUGAGCAGCAGAUUUCGCCUUCUUUUUCGGCAGAUAUAAGUCUCAGAUUUGGCAACAGCUUCUCUCGGUUCUCGGAUUUCAACAAAUAUAUCGUUUUUGUCGAGCCGAGGUUGAUUUUUUUUAUUCAUUCCAUUUGUUUCCAGUCGGAUUUUCUUUUCUGCUUGGAUUUAUUCAUUCCAUUCGUUUUCAUGGUUCUAAUGAUGCAGAAGGUGAUGUAUGCAUUUUUGUUGUCUUGAUUGGAUAUUGUGGUUGAUAACUCUCAUGUUUCCUUUAUAUUAGGAUAGUGAUCAUUGGAAAGGUUUUUGACACAGCUCUUAUGGAUCUCCUGCGAAGAAUUUUUGAUACUAACAAGCGGGUGCAGGAAGCUGUUUGAAGAGGUUAUAAACUUGGUCCACACUUGCUGUAUUUUGGAUUAAAUUUUUAUAGAUAUCAAUAAUUGUUUUAAUCAUUUGCAGGAGGCUGCCGAAGAGGUUGCACCAAGGUUGGGAAUAGUUGUACAGUACCUUUGCGAGGUUUUGACAAAUAUCAAGUUUUUUUGCUUGCCUUUACCUUAGACUAAGCUCGAUGAACUUAUGACUUAUGAAAACCCAGCAUUGUGGGUUGUUACUUUUUUUUUUAUUUCUUAUGCUGCUUUAUCAAAACAUAAGGUGCUUUACCCUAAACAGUAAUUUUGGUACAGGAUGGAUUGAUGAUGACUCAUUCAACAUGUGGAACUUAUGAAAAUGCACUGCAGAUGUUCUAUCAAAUGUGUUUGGGAUGAAAUUCUUCCGUACUUCAUGUGUGCUCUUGGCAAAUAUCGGGUUGUUUUCUGGCCUUUUAUUAUGAUAAGUUCUUUUCAGCGUUGCAAUUAUGACUUAUGAGACUCAGCCCUGUGGGUUGUUAUCUUUUUAUAUUUUAUUUUUUUAUUUCGUAUUUCUAAUAUGUUUCUUUUCUAUGAGCAGUCUUUUCUUUCAGUCCCCGCAUGCUUCUGUGGGAAAUCUUUCAUUGUGUUCUUCUGUAAACCAAUACAUUAAAGUUUGUAUUCUUAAUUGUAAGGGAUGUCACUCCUAUACUUUUUGAUAUUAUACAUUAAUUUCUUGUAGGCUUUAUGUACAUCCAUGGAAAAAUUCCUUCAGGGUUUGUUCUCUACAUAUUAACAAUUUAGGUUAAUUUUAUUUUUUCAAUUUUAGUUUGUUCAUUUGUGCUUUCUAAACUUUCAUGAUUUGCUGAUUAUUUUUUUUACAAUGAAAAGUUUAUCUUGUUUACUUGAAAUUUACUUACAAAAUUUUUCUCCUUUUAUAAUUAUCUGCCACAUGUUCUCAGCACUUUUAUUUUAUCUAUUUGAUUUAUAUUCAAAUUUGGAGUAGAAUUAUGGAAAGAAAAUUUUUAAUUAUUUCUUUUCUUUUUUUUUCAUAUUCAAAUUUCGACGAUAGAGACAACAAUUUAAUUAUUUCAUCUAAAUGCAAUCCAAUAAUUCCAAACUGCAACUUAUGGCCCAAAGUAUAGAUCUGUUUAUGGUAAGGAAUGAGUUCAUUUUGGGCCAACUGAGCUAGAAGCUCAAAAUGACGGCAAAAAAAUUGUUUUACUGAUCUUGAAGACAAAAAUAUAAUUUAAAUCGGUUUUGUCGGUUUAUUAUAUAGUUAUUUAUAUCCAGUCAACCCAAACCCAAAGAUCUCCAAAUUUUCCCCUCCCACAAAAAAUUAUUGAAAUUUGAGAGCAAAAGCUGGAUUGGGCUGUGAUUUCUCUCUUCAUUUUCAUAAACCUCAAAAAAAAAAAAAAAUCCAUAGCCAAACACUUCCAAACAUUAAUCCAAAAACUUAAAAAAUUUCCUCUUUUAAUACAUCUCCAGAACUUGUCUCAACCCAAAGUCUUUCAAAAAACCCAUAAUUUUUUCCUCUUUGAAUCCAUAUACUCUGCUCGACUUAAAGAACCUGUUCCAACCUAAAAUCUUCCAAAAAAACCAAUCAACCAAAAAACCCAGAAUUUUUUUUCGUAGGGGUUGGAUGACUCCUGCAGAGUACUGGAGCAGCAGAUUUUGCCUUCUUCUUCGGCAUACGUAAGUCUCAGAUUUGGCAACAGUUUCUAUAAUUUCAACAAAUAUAUCGUUUUGGUGCUUGUUCGAGCCGAUGUUUGAUUUUUUUUUUACUCAUUCCAUUUGUUUACUUAGUAACUAGUUUAGUGUAUAUAUAUAUAUAUUUUUUUUCUGGUUUGAUUUUGGGUAACAACUUGCUAUAAUUCGGAUUAAAUUCUUAUACAUUUCAACAAUUGUUUUGUUCAUUUGCAGGAGGGUACCAAAGAGGUUGCACCAAGUUUGGAAAUAAUUGUGUACACUAGUUCAUGUGCGCGCUUUUGGCAAACAUCAGCUGUUUUUUGCUGGCCUUUACAUUAUAAUAAGCUCUUUUUAGUGUUGCAAUUAUGACUUAUGAAACCCUGCACUGUAAGUUGUUAUCGUUUUUGGUAUGCUGCUUUAUCAAAACAUAAGUUACUAAUAUCUGAAAAAACAAAAAAAAGUUGCUAAUUAUGUUUCUUUUCAAUAUGCAGUUUUCCAGUCUCUACAUGCAUCCCUGAGAAAGCUUUAAUUGGGUUCUGUAAACCAAUAAAUUAAGGUUUAUAUUCUUCCUUUUAAUGGAUGCCAUUCUCAUACAUUUUGAUAUUAUACAUUAAUUUCUUGAAGGCUUGGUGUACAUCCAUGGAUAAAUACCUUCCGAGUUUGUUUGUCCUUGCAAAUGACCUUUCUGCAGAAGUGCUGAAAUUGGUCAAUAGCUUUUUUUUUUUUUCUUCUUGUACUCUUGUUUUUAAUUAUAAUUCUGUCUUUUGCUUGGGAUGCUCAAAUCUGGUGUAAGCAUUUCCUAAUUUUGCUUGUAAUUUCCUAUAACUGCAAGUCUAUAAAAGCUUGGUAUGAGUCAUUUUUCAUUUCUGAUUUUCCGGUUUUGGGAUUGAUUUAGAAGAUGUAGUAUUAGAAUUAGACAUUUUUUUUUAUCUAGUCCUUGACGUUAAUGGUUCUUGGGUUUUUUCUGUCACGAGACCAAAAAAUUGCUGGGAAUUGCUAGUAUAUGUAUUAACUAGAAUACUAUGAAAAGAACUGUUUCUGUUGACUUUUAACAAGAGUUACAUAAAAAUUUUUCCUUUUUUUGUUGAGCUGUUUGGUGUCCUAUUGAUUACAUAUGGCUCUUAUGGGUCUCGUGCUGAGAAUAUUGGAUGCUAACAAGUGGGUGCAAGAGGCUACUUGUUUGGCUUUUGCAGUGCUUGAAGAGGUUGUUAUAAACUUGCUACACUACUUGCUGUAUUUUGGAUUAAAUCCUUAUAUAUUUCAGCAAUUGUUUAAUUCAUUUGAAUUAAACAUAUUUUUUAUCUAGUCGUUGAUGUUAAUGGUUCUAGGUUUUUUUCUAUCACGAGAUUAUAAACUCGCUGGACACUGCUAAUAUAUGUAUUAAGUAGAAUACUACAAUGAUACCUGUUUCCGUCUCCUACAAAAUUUUUAGUAUUUUGUUUUAGUGAAUGAAUUAUUGAAGUCAUAUCAUUUUUUUUAAGCUUGAGCAUUUUUAGAUCAAUGUUUUUUGCCUAAUGAUCAGGCUUGUGCAGCAUUUGGUCAGCUAAUUGAAGUCCGCCCAUCUUUUCUGGAGGUGGGUAUUUUUUGUUUGUUACAUUUUAGUUUUCUUAUAUUCCUUUUUCUUUUUUUUUUAUUUCAACUCUUUUAGUAAUGUGAAGUGUCACUUCUUUUAGCAUCUAUGUCAUGCUCUUGUUUUUUUUUAUGUGUAUCUACAACCUUCUUUUUCUUUUCUGUGAUGUGAUUUUUAACUAUUUGACAGCCACACUUGAAGAAUGUAAGUGAAUAUAUGUUGCAAGUCAAUAAAGGCAUUGAUGAAUGAUGUGGCCCGUGAAGCAUGUGAAUUUUGGUAACUUUCUUCUUCUUUGUGCAUUCCAUGUCUUAAUGUCUUCUAUUUAGAUUAAGAUGUCUUUUAAAGCAAUAUUUGUAUACUCAUGUCUUUUAGUCUCAAUGUCAUACUUUUGUGUCUUUUUUUCCUUAUUGAGAACCUUCAUUUUCUUUUCUGUGAUGUGAUUUUUAAUUAUUUGAAAAUCACAUUUGAAGAAUGUAAUUGAAUAUAUGUUGUGAGUGAAUAAGGACAUUGAUGAAUGAUGAAGUGGCACUUGAAGCAUGUGAAUUUUGGUAACUUUCUUCUUUGUGUAUUACAUGUCUGAAUGUCUUAUAUGUAGAUUCAGAUGUCUUUUAAAAACAUAUUUUUUUACAUAAGCUUAUUGCAAUUGACAUGCUUCAAACUAAUAGUUUUGGUAAUAUGCAAUAUUCUUUGACUUAACCAUUUUUUUUUCCUAGUCACCUUUGCUCGAUCACAUAAAAUGUUUGUUAAAUAUGUCAGAAGUGUUGGAGGUGUGCUUGCCCCUCUGCCUCUGCCUCUUUGUGCUAUCGAACCGUAGUUAUGAAGAAUUUUAAUUAUAUACCCAUCAUAUUCUUAGUCCUUUCUGUUAAAAAUGUAGAUUCAUUUUCUUGAAUCUAGGCAUAGAAAGGAAUGAAGGCCAUGCAUUUAACUUUACUAGUCUCCCCCUUCCCCCGAUCUAAUGUUUAAGAAUCAAUGUUGAGCUUGAUUGGCAGGUCUGCAUACUCUGAUGCACGGUUACUACGUGAGACUUUGAGAGAAUAUCUACCAUGUCUAAUUCAGUAUGCUAAUACUUAGCUGAGUUCUAUCUUGUUAGUUUCUUUUUUUCUUUUUUCUUUAGAGCCAUUUAUAACAUCUAUGUUCUUAAUUUCAUCUGUUACUUUUUUUUUUUUUUGUAGAUUUUGUUGUCAAACAUGGUUUAUGCUGAUGACCAAUAAGUCACUUGUUGAUGCUGAGGUUAUGUCUUUUCAACUUCUGCUUUGAGGUUAUCUGAAUUGGCGAUUAUAAUUGAUAAUUUAUUUGACGUCAAUUCAUUUUUGUAGGAAGAUAAGUCUCUUCUAGACAUGCAUCAGGUUAUUGUAAUUUUUUUUUGACAUUGUGCUCCUACUUUUGUGAAAUUUGUCUCAUGUUAGCAUUUUAUUUUGCUGUAUGUGGUUUCUAAUAGAUUCUCUCAUUAUAUUUCCUCUUCAAGAUCUAAAACCUUGAUUCCAUAUGUCGUGAUUUCCUGGUUCUGAUGAUGCAGAAGAUGAUGCAAGUAUUUUUUUUCUUUGCCAGUCAAUCAGAGUGAACUAACAUAGUUAAGUUCUAUUCUGUUAGUUUUAGAAAGAAGUGUUUUCUAGUGAGACUUUAUCCUAAAUAAUUAUUUUGGUACAGGAUGAUGACUCAUUCAACAUAUGGAACUUAUGAAAAUGCAGUGGAGCAGCUCAUGAUGUUCUAUCAAAUGUGUUCGGGGAUGAAAUUCUUCCUAUUUUGAUCGCCUAUUAUUCCAGUAACUUAUCUAUGGGGGAUGUAAAAUUUUGAUCAUUAGAAAUUGUAUCUGUUUUAUUGUUUCUAUUUAUGUUUCUUGGCUUCCAAUUCGUAUGUUGCAUUAUAAAUUCAUCACUUCAUCUUGCCCUAAAGAUGUUAAACUAAUCAAACAUCAUAUUGUUUCAUGCUGCAGAAUCUACAAACUUAAUUCAUUUACUAUGAUAUAUAUAUAUAUAUCAUAUGCUUGUUUACAUUUUUAUGGAGAAAAUAAUGUUUUAAACUGAAUUUCCAUUGGUUGGAUAUGCGCUUGAUUCUAGAUUGAUUGGAUAGUCUUCUUGGGCUAAACGGGUAUUUUGGUGGGCAAUUUUGGUUGUUGGGUUUGAUCGGGUCAACUGGGUUGCAGUCAUCAGUCAGGUUGUUAUUUGGUGUUGGGAUGUAACGUUUCUCGAUCAAAACAUAUCCUGUUUGAUGUAGUUUUGCCCUUAUGGUGGUGACUAAUACACAAAAUUUAUGUCUUGGAUAUAUCACCUAAACCUGUUUGCUUUUCAGUUACCAUAGAAUCCUUUAUGACAAACCAAUAGAUUAAGUAAAGAAUCAUUAACAAAGAGGAAAGGUGAACAACUGAACAUGUCUCGGUUACAUAUUUCCACAAUGGAAUUGUUUAGGAAGAAUAUUGUCUACCACAAAAUAGUAGCAGGAGGUGAUGCAAGCUUCUAUAUGAUAGAACCAUGCUCUUCUCCAAUAGGGAUUAAUGUACAGCACAGGCUAUACUCAGUAGCACCAUGAAGUAAGACAACAAAACUUACAUAAAAGACAUUCAUGUCAAUUGAACCAUUGUCAGUUGAAGCCCAUGGCAUUGAUGAUGAUGGUCCUGUUGAGCAGUUUGGCAAUGGUGCGCCGCAAAGAAAAGGAUUUCCCAGGUAGCUACUUUCAUCAAAUGUUGCAAAUUGCGCAGUCCUCUCAGGAGUUCUUCCAGAUAAAUUGUUGUAUGCCACACUGAAAAAAGACAAGAAAUUUAAACCCACAAGUUGAGGAGGGAUUUUUCCGCUCAAGUUGUUGUGAGAAAGAUCGAGACUCAAUUUUCUUGAGUUCAGAAAUCGCUGGAGGGAUUGGUCCUGUCAAACUGUUGAAAGACAAAUUCAAAAUAUUUGACUCUUUGGAUGUUUUUGACUGUGUGGGGAAUCUCUCCAAUCAACUUGUUGCAAGAGAGAUCAAUUCCAGACAGGUAAGUGAGGACUUUUCCCUUAUAAGAGUAAGAUAUGUUUUUUGUAGUGAACUCUAUUUGCUCUUCAAUGGAGAAAGAACUCGAACUAUUUGAAUUAGUAACAAGGAUAUAACGGACAAGAUAUUGGGAUAAAUAAUUUAGUGUUGUAAUCUUCAGGCAAGGAGGAAUUGUACCAGAAAGAUGGUUAUUAGAAAGAUCAAUCAAGCUUAGGUGGCUCAAGUUGCAUAACUGAACCGGAGUCCCACCUUCAAAGUGGUUGUUAUUUAGGAGAAGAAAUCUCAACUGAGAAAGACUGCCGAUCCAAUUUGGAAUGUUUCCAGUCAAGUGGUUAUGGCUGAGAUCUAAUGUCGCCAAUGUAGUGCUGUUACGAAAUGCAUUUAUGAGUGGCCUGUGUAGCUUGUUUCUUGAUAAAUGGAUUUGACUGAAAUGUAAUUGGCUGAAGCAAGACGGUAGAUUCCCAGAGAUAUUGUUCACUGAAAGGUCCAGAAGUUUAAGAUUGAGCUGGCAAAACUCCUCGGGGAUUGGACCUUCAAGAUGAUUUUUUGCCAUGACAAUUUCUUCCAAACUCAUAUUCCCCAUCCACCUUGGUAUAUCACCAAAAAGUUGGUUAUUGCUAAGAUCCAAUGUUGUCAACGAGAAGCAAUUAGACAAACAAUCUGGGAUCCUUCCAGAGAAGAGAUUCCCAUCCAAUUGCAAGUCCGUCAAGUUUGUCAAGUUAAAAUUUGAAGAGAACGGCUGGCCAUGCAAUAUGUUGUUUGACAAUAAGAACGCUUAAUGAGGAGCAGCCUUUUGCCAAGUGCUCCGGUAAUCCUCCACUCAAUUUGUUGUUAGACAAGUCCAAGGUUCGUAGAGAUUUCAUAUCUCCGAUUCAAACUGGAAUGCUAGCGCCAAAAAUAUUUUUUGACAUGUUCAGGAACCAUAAUGAUGGUAGUUUUGCUCCAAUUUCAUUUGGAAUGUUGCCAUAGAAGGAAUUUUUGGAGAUAUCCAAACUCACUAAAUUCGUAUGUGAAAGGAAAGGUAACUGAAAUGGUCCCAGGAGAGAGUUGUUGGCGAGAACUAAUGCAUUUAAUUUUGUGUUGUUCUCCAACAACCAAUUUGGAAAUUCCCCUAUCAAAUUGAUGUUAGAUAGAUCAACAUNNNNNNNNNNNNNNNNNNNNNNNNNNNNNNNNNNNNNNNNNNNNNNNNNNNNNNNNNNNNNNNNNNNNNNNNNNNNNNNNNNNNNNNNNNNNNNNNNNNNNNNNNNNNNNNNNNNNNNNNNNNNNNNNNNNNNNNNNNNNNNNNNNNNNNNNNNNNNNNNNNNNNNNNNNNNNNNNNNNNNNNNNNNNNNNNNNNNNNNNNNNNNNNNNNNNNNNNNNNNNNNNNNNNNNNNNNNNNNNNNNNNNNNNNNNNNNNNNNNNNNNNNNNNNNNNNNNNNNNNNNNNNNNNNNNNNNNNNNNNNNNNNNNNNNNNNNNNNNNNNNNNNNNNNNNNNNNNNNNNNNNNNNNNNNNNNNNNNNNNNNNNNNNNNNNNNNNNNNNNNNNNNNNNNNNNNNNNNNNNNNNNNNNNNNNNNNNNNNNNNNNNNNNNNNNNNNNNNNNNNNNNNNNNNNNNNNNNNNNNNNNNNNNNNNNNNNNNNNNNNNNNNNNNNNNNNNNNNNNNNNNNNNNNNNNNNNNNNNNNNNNNNNNNNNNNNNNNNNNNNNNNNNNNNNNNNNNNNNNNNNNNNNNNNNNNNNNNNNNNNNNNNNNNNNNNNNNNNNNNNNNNNNNNNNNNNNNNNNNNNNNNNNNNNNNNNNNNNNNNNNNNNNNNNNNNNNNNNNNNNNNNNNNNNNNNNNNNNNNNNNNNNNNNNNNNNNNNNNNNNNNNNNNNNNNNNNNNNNNNNNNNNNNNNNNNNNNNNNNNNNNNNNNNNNNNNNNNNNNNNNNNNNNNNNNNNNNNNNNNNNNNNNNNNNNNNNNNNNNNNNNNNNNNNNNNNNNNNNNNNNNNNNNNNNNNNNNNNNNNNNNNNNNNNNNNNNNNNNNNNNNNNNNNNNNNNNNNNNNNNNNNNNNNNNNNNNNNNNNNNNNNNNNNNNNNNNNNNNNNNNNNNNNNNNNNNNNNNNNNNNNNNNNNNNNNNNNNNNNNNNNNNNNNNNNNNNNNNNNNNNNNNNNNNNNNNNNNNNNNUGUUACCGUAUUUGGUAUGCUGCUUUAUCAAAACAUAAGUUACUAAUAUCUAAAAAAAAACAUAAGUUGCUAAUUAUGUUUCUCUUCUAUAUGCAGUCUUCCAGUUUCUACAGAAAGCUUUAAUUGGGUUCUGUAAACCAAUACAUUAAGGUUUAUAUUCUUACUUUUAAUGUCAUCCUCAUACUUUUUGAUAUUAUACAUUAAUUUCUUGAAGGCUUGGUGUACUUCCAUGGAUAAAUACAUUACGGGUUUGUUUGUCCUUGUAUAUGACCUUGCCGCAGAAGUGCUGAAAUUGGCCAAUAGCUUUUUUUUUUUUUGUACUAUUGUUUUUAAUUAUAAUUCUGUGUUUUGCUUGGAAUGCUCAAAUCUGCUGUAAGUAUUUCCUAAUUUUGCUUGUAAUUUACUAUAACUGCAAGUCUAUAAAAGCUUGGUAUGAGUCAUUUUUCAUUUCGGAUUUUCCGGUUUUGGGAUUGAUUUAGAAGAUGUAGUAUUAGAAUUAAACCUUUUUUUUUUAUCUAGUCCUUGAUGUUAAUGGUUCUUGGGAUUUUUGUGUCACAAGACCAUAAAUUUGCUGGGCAUUGCUAGUAUAUGUAUUAACUAGAAUAUUAUGAAAAGAACUGUUUCUGUUGACUUUUAAUGAGUGUUACAUAAAAUUUUUUCCUUUUUUUGGUCGAGCUGUUUGGUGUCCUAUUGAUUACAUAUGGCUCUUAUGGGUCUCCUGCUGAGAAUAUUGGAUACUAACAAGUGGGUGCAAGAGGCUGCUUGUUCGGCUUUUGCAAUGCUUGAAGAGGUUGUUAUACACUUGCUGCACUACUUGCUGUAUAUUGGAUUAAAUCCUUAUAUAUUUCAACAAUUGUUUUAUUCAUUUGAAUUAAACAUGUUUUUUAUCUAGUCGUGGAUAUUAAUGGUUCUAGGUUUUUUUCUAUCAUGAGAUUAUAAACUCGCUGGACACUGCGAAUAUAUGUAUUAUGUAGAAUACUACAAUAAUAUCUGUUUAUGUCUCCUACAAAAUUUUUUGUAUUUUGAUUUAGCGAAUGAAUUGUUGAAGUCAUCUCGUUUCUUUUAAGCUGAGCAUUUUUGGCCUAUGUUUUUGGCCUAAUGAUCAGGCUUGUGCAGCAUUUGGUCAGCUAAUUGAAGUCUGCCCAUCUUUUCUAGAGGUGGGUAUCUUUAGUUUGUUACAUUUUAGUUUUCUUACAUUUUGUUUUAUUGCAAUUCUUUCAGUAGUGUGAAGUGUCACUUCUUUUAGUAUCUAUGUCAUACUUUUGUUUCUUUUUAUGCGUAUCUACAACCUUCUUUUUCUUUUAUGUGAUGUGAUUUUUAACUAUUUGACAGCCACACUUGAAGAUUGUAAGUGAAUAUAUGUUGCAAGUCAGUAAAGGCAUUGAUGAAUGAUGUGGCCCUUGAAGCAUGUGAAUUUUGGUAACUUUCUUCUUUGUGCAUUCCAUUUCUGAAUGUCUUCUAUUUAGAUUAAAAUGUCUUUUAAAACCAUAUUUGUAUACUCAUGUCUUUUAGUCUCAAUGUCAUACUUUUGUGUCUUUUUAUGCCUAUCCACAACCUUCUUUUUCUUCUCUGUGAUGUGAUUUUUAACUAUUUGACAGUCACAUUUGAAGAAUGUAAUUGAAUAUAUGUUGCGAGUGAAUAACGACAUUGACGAACGAUGAGGUGGCACUUUAAGCAUGUGAAUUUUAGUAACUUUCUUUUUUGUGCAUUUCAUGUCUGAAUGUCCUAUAUGUAGAUUAAGAUGUCUUUUAAAACCUUAUUUUUUAUAGCUUUUGCAGAUUGACAUGCUUCAAAAUAAUAGUUUUUGGCAGAAUGCUCUAUCUCUUGAAUUUAGCCUUUUUUUUAUUUGCUCACCUUUGCUUGUUCACAUAUAUAUUUUUUAAAUAUGUCAGAAGCGUUGGAGGUGUGCUUGCCCCUGUGCCUCUGCCUCUAUGUGCUAUUGAACUGUAGUUAUCAAGAAUUUUAAUAUUAUAGCCAUCAUAUUCUUAAUCCUUUCUGUUAAAAAUGUAGAAUCAUUUUCUUGAAUCUAGGCAUGGAAAGGAAUGAAGGCCAUGCAUUUAACUUUACUAGAAUUUUAUCCUCCCCCUCCCUUGGUCUAAUGUUUAAGAUUCAAUGUUGUGCUUGAUUGGCUGGUCUGCAUAUUGCGAUGCACUGGCAACAUGUGAGAAUUUGAGAGAAUAUCUGCCAUGCCUGAUUCAGUAUGCUAACACUUUGCUUGAGUCUAUUUUGUUAGUUUCUUUUUUCUUUUUUUAGGAGCCAUUACAAGCAUCCUAUGGUUUCUUAAUUUCAUGUAUCUGUUACUUUUUUUUUUUUUUUUAGAUUUUGUUGUCAAACAUUGUUUUAUACUGAUUGACGAUGAGUCACUUGUGAUGUGAGGUUUCUUUUCAACUUCUGCUUUCAGGUAUCUGAAUUGGCAGUUAUAAUAUAAUUUAUUUGAAGUCAAUUCAUUUUUGUAGGGAAGAUUAAGUCUCUUCUAGACAGACAUAGGUAUUAUAGAAUUGUUUUCGUUAAUUGAUGCUCUUAGAUUUGUGUAAUUUGUCUCAUGUCAGCAUUGUAUGUUGCUGAAUGAGGUUUCUAAUAGAUUCUCAUUAUAUUUCCUCUUCAAGAUGUAAAACCUUGAUUCCAUACAUCACGAUUUCCUGGUUCUGAUGAUGCAGAAGAUGAUGCAAGUUUUUUUUUUCUUUGCCAGUCAAUCAGAGUGAACUAACAUAGCUAAGUUCUAUUCUGUUAGUUUUAGAAAGAAAUGUUUUCUAGUGAGACUUUACCCUAAAUAAUUAUUUUGGUACAGGAUGAUGAAUCAUUCAACAUACGGAACUUAUGAAAAUGCAGUGGAACAGGUCAUGAUGUUCUAUCAAAUGUGUUUGGGGAUGAAAUUUUUCCUACUUUGAUCGCCUAUUAUUCCUGUAACUUAUCUAUUGGGAAUAUAAAAUUUUGAUCAUUGGAAAUUGUAUCUGUUUUAUUGUUUCUAUUUAUGUUUCUUGGCAUCCAAUUGGUAUGUUGCAUUAUAAAUUCAUCACUUCAUCUUGUCCUAAAUUUGUUAACUAAUCAAAGAAUCAUAUUGUUUCAUGCUGCAGAAUUUACAAACUUAAUUCAUUUACUAUGAUAUAUAUAUAUAUAUAUAUAUGCAUAUAUAUAUUAUAUGUGAGUUUACAUUUUUAUGGAGAAAAUAAUGUUUUAAACUGAAUUUCCCUUGGUUGGAGAUGCUCUUGAUUCUAGAUUGAUUGGAUAGUCUUCUUGGGCUAAACGGGUAUUUUGGUGGGCAAUGUUGGUUGUUGGGUUUGAUUGGGUCAACUGGGGUUGCAGCCAUCAGUCAGGCUGUUAUUUGGUGUUGGGCUGUAAUGUUUCUCGAUCAAAACAUAUCCUGUAUGAUGUAGUUUUGCUCUUAUGGUAGUAUCAAAUGCAAAAAAUUGAUGUCUUGGAUAUAUUAUGUACACCUGUUUGCUUUUCAGUUACUAUAGAAUCCUUUAUGACAGACUAAUAGAUUAAGUAAAGAGUCAUUAACAAAGAGGAAAGGUGAACAACUGAACAUGUCUUGGCUACAUAUUUCCGCAAUAGAAUCGUUUAGGAAGAACAUUGUCUACCACAAAAUAGUAACAGGAAGGGAUGCCUGCUUCAAUAUGAUAGAACCAUGCUCUUCUCCAAUAAGGAUUAAUGUACAGCACACUGGCUAUACUCAGUAGCACCAUAAAGUAAGACACAACAAAACUUGCAUAAAAGACGUUCAUGUCAAUUGAACCAUUGUCAGUUGAAGCCCUUGGCAUUGAUGAUGAUGGUCCUGUUGAGCAGUUGUUGGGUAGAGGUGCGCCACAAAGAAAUGGAUUUCCCAGGUAGCUACUUUCUUCAAAUGUUGCAAAUUGCGCGGUCCUUUGAGGUGUUCUUCCAGAUAAAUUGUUGAAAGCCACGCUGAAAGAGGACAAGAAAUUUAACCCCACAAGUUGAGAAGGGAUUUUUCCGCUCAAGUUGUUGUGAGCAAGAUCAAGACUCUCAAUUUGCUUGAGUUCAGAAAUCGCUGGAGGGAUUGGUCCUGUCAAACUGUUGAAAGACAAGUUCAAUGUAUGGAUUUUUUGGAUGUUUUUGAAUGUGUAAGGAAUCUCUCCAAUCAACUUGUUGCAAGAAAGAUCAAUUCCAGACAGGUAAGUGAGGACUUUUCCCUUAAAAGUAGGAUAUGCUUUUUGUUGUGAACUGUAUUUGCUCUUCAAUGGAGAAAGAACUCGACAUAUUUCCAUCAGCAGUUAAGAAAUAAUGGGCAUAAUCUUCGGAUAUAUCAUUUAGUGUUGUAAUCUUCAGGCAAGGAGGAAUUGUACCAGAAAGAUGGUUAUUAGAAAGAUCAAUCAAGCUUAAGUUGCUCAACUUGCAUAACUGAACAGGAAUCCCACCUUCAAAGUGGUUGUUGUUUAGGAGAAGAAAUCUCAACUGAGAAAGACUGCCAAUCCAAUUUGGAAUGAUUCCAGUUAACUGGUUAUGGCUGAGAUCUAAUGUCACCAAGAUAGUGCUGUUACGAAAUGCAUUUGUGAGUGGCCCUUGUAGCUUGUUUCUUGAUAAAUGGACUUGACUGAUCUGUAAUCGGCUGAAGCAAGAUGGCAGAAUCCCAGAAAUAUUGUUCAUUGAAAGAUCUAGAAGUUUAAGAUUGAGCUGGCAAAACUCCUCGGGGAUUGAAGCUUCAAGAUGAUUUUUUGCCAUGGCAAUUUCUUCCAAACUCAUAUUCCCCAUCCAUCUUGGUAUUCCACCAAAAAGUUUGUUAUUGCUAACAUCCAAUGUUGUCAAAAAGGAGCAAUUAGACAAACAAUUUGGGAUCCUUCCAGAGAAGUGAUUCCCAUCCAAUCUCAACUCACUCAAGUUUGUCAAGUUAAAAUUUGAAGGGAACAUCUGGCCUUGCAAUCUGUUGUUUGACAAUAUAAGAACAUUCAAUGAGGAGCAGCCCAUUGCCAAGCGCUCCGGUAAUCCUCCACUCAAUUUGUUGUCAGACAAGUCCAAGAUUCGUAGAGAUUUCAUAUCUCCGAUUGAAACUGGAAUGCUGCCGCCAAAAUGAUUUUUUGACAUGUUCAGAAGCCAUAAUGAUGGCAGUUUUGCUCCAAUUUCAUUUGGAAUGUUGCCAUAGAAGGAAUUUUUGGAGAUAUCCAAACGUGAUAAAUCUGUAUGUGAAAGGAAAGGUAACUGAAAUGGUCCCAGGAGAGAGUUGUUGGCGAGAACUAAUCUAUUUAAAUUUGUGUUGUUCUCCAACAACCAAUUUGGAAAUUCCCCUGUCAAAUUGAUGUUAGAUAGAUCAACAUACCGCAAGUCAUGUUGAUGAUAGAGAAAUUGAGGAAAUGAUCCAGCAUCUCCACAACAAGAUAUGCUGAUCUCAUUCAGUUGGAAUGUUGGGGCCAAAGAAUGCAUCUCGGUUUCAGCAUAUAUGAUAUUGUUGUCUGCUUCAAUGUAUUGGAGUUUUGAAAGGUUGAACAAGGGACCUAAUGAGCUGGGGAUUUCAAAGUAAUUGUCUGAAAGACCCAACGUUCGGAGGGAUGUUAAACUCUUAAGGGCAGAUAUACUUCCAGAAAAUUGAUUGGAAUAAAGAAGCAAACUUUCAAGCGAUGUGAGAUUGGAGAAGCACUCGGGCAAGUUACCCCUUAAAUUAUUGUGGCCAAGAUCCAAGUUUUGGAGAUUUGUCAAUUCACAAAAACCUGCAAAAGUAGCAUUAUAUUAAAUAAAUGAAGAAGGUGCCAUGGGUUGGAACAAAAAAAAAAAAGCCUAGUCUCUCCAUCCUCUGCAUAUUGUCACCUAUUGACUUUUUACGAAAUUUAGAAAGAUCAAAAGAAAAAAAGGUAAUACAUAAUGAAAAUUUAAGAAAAUUUGGUGUUUGUUCAGUAUAUAAUAAGUUUUGUUAUUUUUUAAGUAGUUAUGAUGAAGGGUAAUAUUAUAUAAGAAUAAUAUAUGAAGAGUAACAUUUCGUAUGGGAGAAUAUUUCAAAUGCAAAAGGGACAACAUGAGUAUAGGAUGGUGGGACUAAGGAGAACUUAAAACAAAGGUAAGGUGUCUAUCAAUCUCAACCUUGGGAAUAUAAGGUGCCAUUGAGUCCGCAGUCCCAUAAUUCUAGAUUCUUGAGAGAAGGCAUUGCUCCAAUUUUUUGAAGAAAGUUGUUUUCCAGGGAAGUGUCCCGUAUGACCAAGGAUUCCAAAUUCUUCAAAUGAAGUGGACCUAUUUCAAAUAAAUAUAUUUACGGAAACAUAUGAAGAUAUAUUUUAAGUAAAAAAAAAGGGGGGGAUAAUAUCAUAAUAUGUAUGCAAUUAACAAUAUACUCACAUCCUAUCAUAAAUUACAGCUUUAACAAUUGUAUAAAUAUUUAUUUCAUACUAUUAAGUCAAUUAAUCAAGAUGUUUAUUUUGGAAGAAAAUCAAGAUGCUUUUUUAGGAAAACAGAAGUAAAAAAAUAUGUCAAAAAAGCUUAAAUUAAUUCAGAUAAAUAUUGUUAAUGACAAGAAACAAAGUUACCGAAGACUUAAAAUCAACAAAUUUCCUUUUUUCUUGUUAUUUAUAUAAUUGCUAAACUAUUUUGCUUUUUAUUUUUUGUUGAUUACUAAUUUACAUAGACUCAUAAUUGUGAUACAUUCAUUACAAAAUCUUGUAAUUUUAAGUAUAUGCAAUGCUUAUUUGAAUGGCUAGAGGUAAGAGACAUCCAAAAAAAAAAAAAAAAGAAAUAAAAUGGAUCUAUAACUACAAAUUUGAAAUAUCUAAUUUACCAUGAAAAUUGAGGCUGCCGUUGACGUCACAAACUUUCACUUCCAAAUUUUUAAGAGAAGCCAACAUUCCAAUAUCUUGAAUAAAGUUGGAAGGAAGAGAUGAAUCUUCUAAUAUCAACUCUUCCAAACUUGUCAAAUAUUUCCAUUCUAUUCAAUAAAAGUUACGAAUUAUGUUUUGAAUUGAAAGACAUAAUUACAAAUGAUAACCGAAAAAAUGAUACUACUACUGAGUAAGUAAAUAAAAAAUUAAAAUAUUUAAUUUAUCAUGUAAAUUGAGGCUGCCAUUGAACUCACAAAAAUACAUGUACAAAUUUUUAAAGGAAGUUAACAUUCUAAUAUCUUGAAUAAAAUUGGAAGGGAAAAAUGAAUCUUUUAACAUCAACUCUUUCAAACUCGUCAAAAUUUGCCAUUUUGAUCAAUGAAAGUUAAAAAUUAUGAAAAUUAAGAAGUAUGUUAUGACAAAAAAAUAGUUGCAAAUGACAACCAAUAAAAUAGUUCUCCAAAAUAAGUCUCUAGUAUAGUAUAUGCAUAUAAGCUAUGAGAUUUGGCCAACGAUUCAUGUUUUCUCUAUGAGGGUUGAUCCUGUAAGGUGAUAAUUUAAAUCUUUGUCACUACUUAAGUUAGAGAUUAUCAUAGAAAAAAGUAUAUACAAAUAUAAAUACAGUCACUUUUGUUGACUCAUUUUAAUGGACAGAGACAAAAGUUUUAGUAAAAGGCUCAAUAUUAAAUUUAACAUAUGUAAUAUUAUUUAUUUUUAUAAUUUUUUAUAUAUUAAUCAAAUUUAUUUACAUAAAAAGACUAUUGAUUAAAUUUACCAUUAGUCAAGCAUAUUUGAAAAAAUCAUUUAACAAAAGAUAAAAAUCACAAUGAAAAAGAAUUUUAGGGCAAAAGUUAACCAUUAAGUAUAUGAAAAAUUUUCUAUCUAUUUAUUGGAAUAAUAAGAGAAAUUAUGUUAAAAAAACUUUCAAAAAGUAUUCAAUAAUGUCAUAUGUGAGAAAAAUGGGAAGAAUUUAUAAGAAUAAAUAGGGGAAACAAAAUGAUUUGAUAAAAUUAAGGAGAGGGUAGAGCAGGGAAUAAAAAUUUAAUACAAAAUUUUUAAUUUUUUUAUUGAUCUGAAAAAAAUUAAAUCAAAUUAUAUAAAUAUAUAUAUAUACACACACACACACACAAAUCUCAAUGCCAUAACAUUAAAGUUAUCCCAUUUCAAUCUAAUGCAAGUAUUUGGUUAACAUAAGGCUUGACGUUUUUAUUAUUAUUUUUUAAAAAAAUGUUAUAAUUUUUGAUAUUUUUCAAAUAAUAUGUUCUAUUAUCAACAAAAAUAAUUCUAACAAAAUUAAAUAAUUAUUAAAAAUAAAGGAAGUAAAUAGAAUUAAAAAUGAAAUAAAAUAAAAAAAUUGACAAUUUGAGUAGAAAAAGUUUUAAAUAUUUAGAAGUGAUAAAGAAAAGAAUAAAAAAUGUUAUACUUGAUUAAUAUAUUUAUCUAACCUUUAGAUAAAAAAUUAAUAGAUAAAAACAUAUUAAUCAACAUAAUAAAAAAAAUUAAGAAACAUACUCCUGUUUUUUUUUCUCAAAUUAAAUCUCCUCAUCCUUUUUAGAUUGUCUCAAAAUUGUUUUCAUUUCUUUUAACACCUACAAUUCAUAUUUUAGAAAAUUUUCAUAUUUUUACUCUUUAGAAUUUAAAUAUAUAGUUUAUCAAUAUUGCAAAAAAAGUGAAGAAAUAAUGUUGAAAUAAUAAUAAAAAUUUUAUUUGGCUUAUAUAAAAAAAUAAACAACAAAAAAUUGUCACACACUAUUAAAAUUAAGUUUAAAAUUAUCUAAACAAAAAAUUAAGUUCCAAAUUGGGAUUGGGGUGACAUGGUAAUAAAAGGUAUUUAAUUCAAAUAAGAAAUAGAUAAAAAGUAAAAUAAAUGUUUGAUCAGUACCUUUUCCUAAUUGAUUAAAUAAAUGUAGGUAAUAAUAGUAAUUAUAAGAGCAAAUCAUUGCAUAUAAUCAUCAAAACUUACGGGUAGUCAAUGUUCCAUAAAAAUUAAAACCACCCAAUUCAAGAGUCUUCAAUGACGGGAAUAAGUCCAGCAAUUGCAAUGAAAGGCUGCAAGCUGUAAGUGAGACAAUCAUUACAAGAUGGAAUGUAAAGAAGUUAGUAAUACAAUUAAACCUUCUUGUAUGAUUUGUAAAUACACAUAUUAUAAAUCUUUAAACCCUUAAAUUUAAACCAAGGCAUACUUUCUUGUAAAAGUAAAUGUAGUCUUCUAAUUCAAAAUAGAGAAAGGCACAAUAUUGAGUUGCAAUCAAUUUAAAUUUGCUUUUAAUUUUUGCAAUAAGAAAAUAAAGAAGAAUUGUGGUUUUUUUAUUUUUUGUACAACCAAAAUUUCAUUAAUAAUAUUGUCCAGCAAAAGUGUACAUAUACAAAAGCAGUUAAAUAUUAAUAUAUAAUAUAUUAACAUUACUAAUUAAUCACUGAAAUAAAAGAUUACCUAAAUUGAAGAAAAGGCAAAUGUUUCGGUCAAUUUGAAUUUUAAUUUCUUAAAGUGUUUAGAGAUGUAACUAAUUCAAACAUGUAUGAACAAAUUGAUGAAGACACAAGUUUAUUUGAGCAGUACCUCUGAUGUCAUCAGGGUUAUAGCAGGAUAGAAAUAGAUUUUCCAAGUUGCUCAAAGUAUCUAACCCUGAAGAGAAUCACAAUAAAAAUAUAAUUAAUUAAAUUAAAUUAAAAUAAAACAUAAUAUUCAGGCAUUUGGGCUUUAAAGCAUAUAUUUAGGUAUUAUAUAAUAAUAAGAUAUCAUCCAAUAACUUUAGAAAAAGAGAAAGGAAGGAGGGGUAAUUUUACCUUUAAGAUCUAUUAAAGUUCUUGUAAUUUUAAGUAUAUGUAAUGCUUAUUUGAAUGGCUAUAGGUAAAAGACAUCCAAAAAAAAAAAAAAAGAUUUGUAACUGUAAAUUUCUGAAAGAUCUAAUUUAUCAUAUAAGUUGAGCUUGACAUCACAAUCAAAUACUUGAAAAUUUUUAAGAAAAGCAAACAUUCUAACAUCUUGAAUAAAGUUAGAAGGAAGAAAUGAAUAUUCAAAUGCCAACUCUCUUAAAUUUGUCAAAAUUUUCCAUUUUAUUCAAUAAAAGUUACAAAUUAUGUUUUGAAUUGAAAUAUAUAAUUAUAAAUGACAAUCGAGAAAAUGGUAUUAUUACUUACUAAGUAAUUGAAAAAUGGAGAGAUUUAAUUUACCAUAUAAAUUGAAGCUCCCAUUGAACUCACAAUUAAACAUGUACAAAUUUUUAAGAGAAGUGAGCAUUCUAAUAUCUUGAAUAAAAUUAGAAAGGAAAGAUGAAUCUUUUAAUGUUAAUUCUUUCAAAUUCAUCAAAUUUUGUUAUUAUGAUCAAUGAAUAUUAGAAAUUAUGAAAAUUAAGAAUUAUGUUAUGACAGAAACAAUUGCAAAUGACAACCAAUAAAAUAGUACUUCAAAAUAAGUCCAAGUAUAGUAUAUGCAUAUGAGCUAUGAGAUUUGUCCAAUGAUUCAUGUUCUCUCUUUGAGAGUUAAUCCUCUAAGGUGAUGAUUUAAAUCGUGGCACUACUUAAAUUUGGGAUUAUCAUAGAAAAAAGUAUUCACAAAUAUAAAUAUAAUCAGUAAAAUUUUACUUGUGCUGACUCAUUUUAAUGGACAAAGACAAAAGUUUUAGUAAAAUGCCCAAUAUUAAAUUUAAUGUAUAUAAUAUUAUUUUUUGUAAUUUUUUAUAUAUUAAUUAAAUUUAUUUACCCAAAAAUACUAUAUUGAUUAAAUUUUUCAUUAGCCAAACAUAUUUGCAAAAAUCAUUUAACAAAAGAUAAAAAUCACAAUGCAAAAGAAUUUUAGGGCAAAAGUUAACUAUUAAUUAUAUUUAAAAUUUUCUCUCCAUAUAUUGGAAUAAUAAGAGAAAUUAUAUUAAAAAAACCUUUCAAAAAGUAUUCAAUAAUGUAAUAUUUGAGAAAAAUGAGAAGAAUUUAUAAGAAUAAAUAGGGGAAACAAAAUAAUUUGAUAAAAUUAAGGAGAGGGUGGAGUGGGGAAUAAAAUUUUAAUAUAAAAAUUUUAAUGUUUUAUUGAAAUUCAAAAAAAAUUUUAAAUCAAACUAUAGAUUAUAUAUAUAUAUAUAUAUAUAUCAAUAACGGAACAUUAAAGUUAUGCCAUUUCAAUCUAAUGUAAGAAUUUGGUAACAUAAGGCUUGAUGUUUUUAUUAAUUUCUUUUUUAAAAUAUUUUUAUAAAAUUUUAUAGUUUUUUAUAUUUCUCAAAUAAUAUGUUCUAUUAUCAACAAGAAAAUUUUAACAAAAUUACAUAAUAAUUAUGAAAAAAAUAAAGGAAGUAAAUAGAAUUAAAAUUGAAAUAAAAUAAAAAAUUGACAAUUUGGAUAAAAAAAAGUUUUAAAUAUUUAGAAGUGAUAAAGAAAAGAAUAAAAAUGAUAUAAUUGAUUAAUAUAUUUACCUCACUUUUAAAUAAAAAAUUAAUAGAUAAAAACAUAUUAAUCAACAUAACAAAAACAAAUUAAAAAACAUACUCCUUUUUUUCUUAAAUUAAAUUUUCAUAUAUUGUUUGGAUUGUCACAAAAUUGUUUUCAUUUCCUUUAACACCUACAAUUCAUAUUUUAAAAAUUUUUCAUAUUUUUUAUUUUUUAGAAUUUAAAUAUAUAGUUUAUUAAUAUUGUAAAAAAAGGGGAAGAAAUAAUGUUAAAAUAAUAAUAAAAAUUUUAUUUGGCUUAUAUAAAAAAAUAGAAACAAGAAAAUUGUCACACAUUAUUAAAAUUAAGUUUGAAAUUAUCUCAAAAAAAUUAAGUUUGAAGUUGGGAUUAGGGUGACAUGGAGGUAAAAGUUAUUUAAUUCAAAUAGGAAACAGAUAAAGAGUAAAAUAAAUGUUUGACCAGUACCUUUCCCUAAUUGGUUAAAUAAAUGUAGUUAAUAAUAGUAAUUAUAAAAGAAAAGCAUUGCAUAUAAUCAUUAUAACUUACGGGUAGCCAAUGUUCCAUUAAAACUAAAACCAUCCAAAUAAAGAGUCUUCAACGAUGGGAACAAGUCCAACGAUUGCGGUGAAAGGCUACAAGCUGCAAUUGAUACAAUUAUUACAACAUGAAAUGUAAAGAAGUUAGUAAUACAAUUAAAUCUUUCUGUAUGAUUUGUAAAUACACAUAUUAUAUAUUUUUAUUCCCCCAAAUUUAAAUCAAGAUGUACUUUCCUGUAAAAAUAAUGUAAUCUUCUAAUUCAAAACAGAGAAAGGCACAAUAUUAAGUUACAAUCAAUUUAAAUUUGCUUUUAAUUUUUCUAAUAAAAAUAAUUAAAUAGAAUCGUGGUUUUUUUAUUUUUGUAUAGCCUAAAUUUUAUUAACAAUCAGAGUUAGAGAAGUACAAUAUUGUCCAGCAAAAGUGUACAUAGACAAAAGUAGUUUAAUAUUAAUAUAUAAUUCAUUAACAUCACUAAUUAAUCACUGAAAUAAAAAAAUUACCUAAAUGAAAGAGAGGGCAAAUAUUUCGGUUAGUUUGAAUUUUAAUUUCUUAAAGUGUUUAGAGGUGUAAUUAAUUCAAACAUGCAUGAACAAAUUGAUAAAGAAAUAAUUUUGUUUUAGCAGUACCUCUGAUUGAAUAAUAGGAUAUAAAUAGAUUCUCCAAGUUAGUUUAAAGUAUCACAAAUAGAAAUAUAAUUAAAUUAAAUUAAAAUUGAAACAUGAUAUUCUUGCAUUUGUGCUUUAAAGCAUAUACUUAGGUAUUAUAUAAUAAUAAGUUAUCAUUCAACAACUUUAGAGAGAGAAAUAAAGGAAUGAGGAGGGGGUAGUAUUACCUUUAAGAUCUAUUGAUCUGUUCAAGUUGUGGUGUCCUAAAGACAAAACUUUAGAUUUGAAAGUCUACCAAGGGAUGACAAUAUGCUACAAUUGAAGAUAUUCCACCACAAAUCAAGCACUUCCAGAUUGAUCAACCUUAGUCUUCUGUUUCAUUAUCUACAUAACAUUAAUUUACAUAAUUAAUUUCAUUACUUUUUAAUUUCUUAAUUAAUUCUAAAUAAUUGAAAACUCUUUUUGAAAGAGUAUCAAAUUUUCCACUGAAAUAUUCUAAUUCGUAAACAUGUAAAUUAUACAUUUACCAACAAAUUAUGUUAAAUACCUUGGGAUGGAACAAAGUCAUUCACUUGGUUAUUCGAGAUGUCUAAUUCCACUAAAUUGGUCAAAGCAUUUAAUUCUGAAGAUAGAAUUACAAAAAAAACUAGUAAUUAAUUAACAAAUCAUAUAAAACCCAAACAUAUAUAGAUUUUAAACCAUAUUUACCUUUAAUAUGUAUCGGCCCAUCCAAUUUGUUUCUUUCUAUAUACAAAGACUUCAAAUUUGAGAGCAUAGCAAGGAUAAGAAUAUGCUGUUGUUGAAGAGAUUUUCACUUAAACCAAGCACCUCAAGUUUGAUCAACCUCAAUUGUUCAUUCUGUGAAAGAUUAGUAACAUAAUUUCAUCUUAAAAGAAUAUCUAAUUAUUAUAUAUAUUUAUUAUUCAAAUUCAGUAUAUGUUGACUUACACUUUGAAAUAAAGAUCCGAGACUCUCAAUUUGAUUUUCGCCUAAAUACAACUCCUUUAAGUUUGUCAAAUUAUUGAAUUCUGUUCAAAUCAAAUCAAAUAUAUAUCAAUCUAGUUAUUCCUUUUUAAAACCAUGAGAUUUUUAAAACAACCCUACCUCGCAAAUUAACAGUUCCUUUUAAUCCGCAAUUCUGCAAACGUAAAGAUUUUAAAGAUGUGAAACCAUCUAGAUGUGAUAGGAUGUUGUUUCCUAAUACAUUGCCAUAUAAAUCCAGAGUCUCUAACUUGUUCAAUUUUGAUAACCUCUUCAUACCUGUUUCCAAUAAUAUUACAAAAUUUUAGUAAAUAAUCACUAUUUUAUAAAUAUAUAUAUCUCAAUUACAAAACAAACGUUAUUUACUUUAACCUGAUUUUUAUAUAGAACACAAUAUUAACAUUACCCUUUAUAGGAUUUGACCCAGUGAAUUGGUUUUCUGCUAGAUUUAAAGACCUGAGUGAUGAAAGUUCGCUUAAGGAUGCUAAAAUGCUAUCAUUGAAUUGAUUAACACUUAAGUCAAGGAUCUCUAGUUUGUCCAAUUUCAGUGACAGCCUUUCAAAACCUACAAGGAAAAAUGUAGCAUUUAGUGACUUUCUGAAAAAAAUGAAAUAAAAAAUAUUUAGAUAAGAUGAACAAAACUGGUGAUCAAUAAAAAUGAAUUUUCAAAUGCAAAAUAUUUAUUGAAGUAGCAGUUAGUAAUUAGGUGAAUAUGAAUUAACCUUGAUUGUCAACACAACCAGCAAUGGAAUUGCCAACCAAAUAAAGACUCUUCAAUUCCUCAAAAGGAAGAAACAAAGAGGCAUUGAGAUACCAAGAAUCUCUCCCACUCCAAUCGUACUCUCCCAAAUAAUAAUAAUAAUAAUAAUAUUAUAAUUAUCAUUAUUAUUAUAAACUAAAUCACCAUAGACUUCAAAAGUUGUAAGAUUAAGGAAGAGUCGGAUCACUCGUCCAGUGGAGGUGUUGCACUCAACCCUUUUCCACUGACAACAAUCUGAACUCUGUUUUCCCUCAUCCAUCCAAUAAUUCUUACAUCUUCAAUAUGAGUAAAGAAAUGUUUGAGUUGCAAGAGAGCAAUUUUUUCUUGCUCCCAGCACCUUUCACAUUCACAACACCUUCCUAAUAGGAAUGCUACCAAAACCACCCAUAACCAUUUCCACUCCAUCUUAAUUAAUUAAUGCACUCUCAAAAAACUUAAUAUUAACUCUGCUGCUAUGCAUUUGGCAUCACUAUAUCCAUGGGGUUUAUAUACUAAAAAGUCACUUGAAAAGAUACAGCCUUAUUUCCUAGAAAUUCAUUGAAAAUGGCACACUCAGUCUUGACGUACUUGUCAAAUUCCAUAGCACUAAGAAAACACAUUGCAUGAAGCUUCCUACAAAUUUUCUUUGUGGAAAAGUAAGCACAGACUCUGACAAUUAUAAUAAACACUCCAUCUUAAUUAUAACAUCAUUAAUGUCUUGUAGUGACAUUGCUAACAAAAAUUAGUGCUUACUUUUUUUUUCUUUGUAAAUCCUUAUUAAAACUUUUGUUUUGUUUUUUUAAUUUAAUUUUUUAGAAUACUUUAGUUUUCCUUUUAACAGCUUCAUUUUUUUUUUUGUUGCUAAAACAAUUUUAGGAUGUAUUCCAUAGUAAAAAAAGUGAAAAGAUGAAUAAAACAAGGUCAAAAGUGGAAAAAAAAUAAAUUUUAGCUAUGUUUUGUAAAAAUAAAAAAUAAAAAAAAGAUUAUUAUCACUUAUUAAUACAAAAAAAUCACUCCAAAUGUAAAAGAAAAGAUGAAAGAAAAUAGAAGAGGUAUGAGCAUUGUGUUACAUAUUUAUAAAAUUAUCCGUCAUAUUUAGAUUUUUUUACAAAAUGUUAUAAUAAUAAAAUCAUAUUUUUUUUCUUUCAUUUUCUAACUCUACCAAACAAUAAUGAAAAAUAUUAUAUUUUCUUUCUUUUUCAUUUUUUUUAACCAAGCACAUCAAUAAAAAUAAAAUAUAUAUUUUUUAUCUUUUUAUUUUUCUAUUCCCAUACUAAGCAAGGCCUCUAUUUAGUAAUUUUUUUUGGUUUGCCCACCUUGCUAGGGUUAUUGCCAAAUUUCAUGUCAAUAUUAAAUAUUUCCACAACUAAAGGGAGACAUGAUGGCCCAUUGUAGCUUUUUUACCUAUAUCAAGUUAGGGAGGAAGAUAUUACAUAUAUUAAUUCAUUGUCAUGACUAGUUGAUGUCUAGACUUUUGUUUAGCAACUGUAUUAUUAUUUAGGAGACCUUGACUUUGGCAUCAACUAUGAAAUAGAACGAUGGAUCAGUCUACACGCCAACCUCAUGAUAGGAUGGUGGAUUCCUCCUCUCUCUCUUUCCUGGAAGAUAUAAAUUUGGUGUGGAAGUAAUCAAAUAAACAAAAAGUUAUCUUUAUUACAUUGUUUGCCGCGUUUCUUGCUUCUACUUGAUGAAUGGUUUACAGUCUAUCAAAAGACUUUGACUUAGCGUCAACUGACACAAAUUAUUUGCAAACUAAAAAACUAUCAGUUAUGCAAGGGAAUAAGAAUAUAUAAUUUAUUUUUUAUUUAAUUAUUGAUUUCGCUAUGAUGAUAUUUGCUUAUUUUUUGUUAAAUAUUUGAUAAAUAUGCAUUUUUUAAAACUUAAUUACUAAGAGAAAUAGGUAUACUAAUAAUUUAUUAUUUUUCUCGGCUAUAAUAAUGUGUUACAUAUUUAUAAAAUUAUUCAUCAUAUUUAAAUUUUUUUACAAAAGGUUAUAAUAAUAAUAUCAUAAUUUUUUUCUUCCAUUUUCUAACUCUACCAAACAAUGCAUGAAAAAUUACAUAUUCUUUCUUUUUCAUUUUUUUAACAAUGCACACUGAUAAAAAUAAAAUAUAUUUUUUUUAUAUUUAUAUUUUUAUAUUUUUAUAUUUUUAUUUUUUUAUCCCCAUACUAAGCAAUACCUCUAUUUAGUUUUUUUUUUUUUUUAUUUGCUAACCUUGCUAGGGUUAUUGUCAAAUUCCAUGUCAAUAUUAAAUAUUUCCAUAACUAAGGGGAGACAUUAUGGCCCAUUGUAACUUUUCUACCUAUAUCAAGUUAGGGAGGAAGAUGGAACGUAUAUUCAUUGUCAUGACUAGGUGAUGUCUAAACUUUUGUUUAGCAACUGUAUUAUUAUUUAGGAGACCUUGACUUUGGCAUCAACCAUGGAACGUAUGGAUAGGUUUACAUGCCAACCUCAUGAUAGGAUGGUGGAUUCCUCCUCUCUCUUUCCUAGAAGAUAUAAAUUUGGUGUGGAAGUAGUCAAAUAAACAAAAAGUCAUCUUUAUUACAUUGUUUGUCGUGUUUCUUGCUUCUACUUGAUGAAUGGUUUACAGUCUAUCAAAAGACUUUGACUUAGCGUCAAUUGACACAAAUUAUUUGCAAACUAAAAAACUAUCAGUUAUGUAAGGGAAUAAGAAUAUAUAAUUUUAUUUUUUAUUUAAUUAUUUGUUUCGCCUAUGAUAGAUAUUCGCUUAUUUUUGGUUAAAUUAUUGAUAAAUAUGCCAUUUUUUAAACUUAAUUACUAAGAGAAAUAGGUACACUAAUAAUUUGUUAUUUUUCUCGGCUAUAAUUUAAAAUUUUUUUAAAUUUUUUGUAAAAUUUAUAAAUUUAGUAGAAUUUUAAAAAAUUUAUACUGAUUUAUCCAAAAAAGAAGAAAAUUUUUUAAGCUCCUGAAUAAAAAAUUAUAAAUUUUAUAAUUGCAAUGAGCUGCUGACCAAACUCAAAGGAAGUUGGGCUCAAGGUAAUGAUCAGGUCUGAUUUGUCUGUAUAAUUUGGUCCUAUUAGCCCAUAGUUGUAGGCCUGCUCAUAGCUUUAGGUAAGGGAUUUAUCCAAAAUUUUGUGUUAAAUGAAAAUAAAAUUGUCGGGGCCCCUAGAUAAAAAAAUGCAGGAGAAGUUGGGGUUCAAUUAUAGUAGGCGAUAACAAAGGCCCUAUUGAUAUUGCCACGCACAAGAGGUUAAUGUUCACAAAUAGGAGGCCCAAAACUGCCUGGACCUCUUAGUUAUGUAAGACGACCGAGCCCAAAGGUUCAUGGUGACUACAACAAAGAAAAGGCAGGCUUGGACUACGGUGAUCAACAAUAUGGGCAGCACUGUUCAGGACAUGAGCCCACUUGACUUGACCAUACGUCUUUCUUAGUUUUGUCUGGAAAGGUGAGAUCAAAUGUUUUCUCCAAUAAUAGGGACAAGCCUUAUGUCCGGUAACAAUUGCUUUUUAGGUCCAAUAUUCGCAUAUUCAAGUAGUGUGGGACAGUUUUUCUGUGAUCAACACGCAUGCCAUAGUCUAUAUUCUUUUCGAGUUCAUCUAAUCUAAACUUUCAAGAACUAUAUACAUGCUUUAAGCUUUCUGGUUUCAUGGGAUCUUCAUUAGUUGUAAAAUCCUUCAUAUCGGCAACCAUCAUGCCUUGCAAUGAAAAAAAAAAAUCUAUAGAUUGUGAGCUGUGAGCUUUCUUAGAAUUUCUUUGCCGAUUUCAAUGUGUGCAUCUUUUUGUGCUAAAUGAAACCAGUUCAUGAACUGACUAUCAUAGUUCCAUCAGCGGACAUGCUCAGCUCAGCUAUGGUCUGAAAAUGAAGAUUAAACUGAUAGAAAGGAUGGUACCCAUAUCUUCAAUAUCGUAAGGUGUUGUUACACUGUAUGCUGCUUGACAGUAAUGUUUUGAGGUGUAGACGUUAACUAGCAGCUAUAAAACAAUACAACUAGUUUCAUCUUCCAUUGCAAUGUGGUCGAUUUGGCUUAGUCGAAUUCUUUAAUUCUUUAACAUAUGUCUGCCAGUGCCUUCAAAGUUGCAAUGAAUGCCAACCUCUUUUAUUCAAUUUAACUAAACAUUGCAGCCCACGGUAUCCACAUUCUUUAAAUUCCUGUCCAUAAAUACAAAGAAAUAUAACCCUCUGUCUGUUCGUAUAAAAAAAGUGCCCCACCCUGCUGGCAAAUACACAAGACAAUAAAUAACUAAAUAAAUAAAAACAAUAGCAAAAAUUAAAGGCUACUCCUUGCUUGUUUUGCAUGGAUUCAGAGGUUUGCUAAUUCUUGACAAAAGUUGAAAAGCCUAGUUAAAAGUUGAGAAACAAUUGGGAUUAGGAGUUUUAUAGCAUUGGCCUUUUGCACUAGGAGAUGGACGACUUAAAGGAACAGGUAUGGUAAUUGGAAUUUUAGAUUUUUGCUAGAGUUGCUGAGAAUUUAGGAUACCAGUAACUAAUCACAAGAGGUAAGGAUUUAAUGAUGAUAAUGAACAAUAAUUUUUAUGAAUUUGCUUGGAAGAGUAAUGAACAAUACCGUAUUUGAAAACUUUUAUGAAUUUACAUAAUAAUUCAAGUUGAAGGAGCUAUUAUCUAAAUACUUUUAUAGAAUAAAAAAAAUCAGAAAAGCAGUAUCUAAUAAACAAAUUAUUUAUUCUAAGUAAAUUGAUGAAGAUAUAUUGGCCAUUUCCUUACUGUUUUUUUAGGCAAAAAUGAAGAGAUUUUCGGUUAUAGAUCACUAAAUGUAUGCUACUGUACAUAAUUCUUUUAUGACAUUUUGUGUUUGAAACCAAAUGACUCAAUACAUAUAUCAAUAUAUAUAUAUAUAUAUAUAUAUAUUUGACAUUAGGCAGAUCUAACAAAACCAAAAUUCAAUGAAAAAAGGAAUACAGAAUUAGACAAAGAGCCCCAACAUGUCGUUUUCUUUUUCUUCUAGUAGAAGCACAAUAGAAAGAGUGGCAACUUAUCCAUUUGAAAUAACAACCAGCCAUGACAUCACCCACCCUCUUGAUGCCAUUUUUGAGAAGAAUACAAAUAAAUAUUUUCCUUAGCAGUAGGCCCUUUGAAGAAAAUCUACAAAUCAUCAAGAAAACUUCUUUUGAAGAAUUGUUUUCCUGCUUUCAACCGUCAUCUGAACUGACCAAAUCACAGGUUGGAUAAGAAGAUUGAAACAUAAAAACACAGUUUCUUCACAAAGAGACAAACAAUAUUGUUGAAUUCCUUAACGCCACUUGCCAACUCAUUGUCAUACACAUCAUUGUUUUGUAAGAACUAUGAAACAAGAACUGGCAUAGAGAAUUUUAAAACUUUCAAACUCCAAUCCAUCCUUAUUCCUAUCAUGAAAGAAAAAGGAAAAAAAAGAUCGAAUCGAUUAUCAUCAUCGUCAUCAAUAAUCCCACGUGGCUGGUUCAUGCACAUGGGGCUUGUCAAUUAUAGUCAUGACCCUCAAAAAUAGAAUGAAAAGUACUUGAAAAAUUUUCAUUGACAUUGGAGAGCCCACUUGAAAGUGCGAAAUUAGUAAACUACAAUUGCAAAAUUUAGUACAUCAGCAUCAGCUCAUCUGAUCUGAAAGUUGUAAAACAAACACCAAUUCCUGAGUCAAAUGAUCUCUAAGAUAUUUGAUGAUGAUGAUGAUGAUGAUUAGAUCGAAGGGAAACAAUAUUUGGUUGUAUGGUGCUUACAUCACAGGGAAGUUUGAUCCAUCUUUUUGGCUUUGGGUGAGAAUCUGACAGGCAACAUGGACCUCCUGUCAACUGGCCAAAAACUGCUAUGAUCACUGGGAAAAAUUUUCUUUGCAAAGUAGAUAUGAAUGGUCCCAUAUGCAGGCUGUUGCAAAGCCAUCACAGCUUUCAUAUGGUAUGUGGGUUGGCCAGCGUUUUCCCUUUCACAAUUUGAAGGCUUUCAGUUUUCUGGACCCAUUUGGGAAUUGGGAGCCAUCAAAAUAAAGAAAAAAAAGUUUUAAUUUUACAAAUUUCAUUAUUUGCGAGAAAUUAAGUUUGCGUGAUAGGAGUACUAAUCCAAGUUAACAGCAUUUACAGCUAUACGUACGGGAAAAUUUUAAAAUAUAUAUAUUUUUUGAAUUGAUAGUUUAAAUUCUUUUUCAUAGAAAAGAAAUGAGUGAACGAUCAUUUCUAUUAAAAGAAAAAGAGUAGUAUAAAAUAUUGAAGAUUUAAUUAUAAAGUGAGUAGUUACUAAAAUUAAUUAUAAAGAAAUUUUAUUAUUUUUUAGAUCAAUUAAUAUAUUAUUGAAAUUGAUAUUUAAAAGUUAUAGAUUUAAAUAAAUUUAAGUAUAUAAUAUUUUAUUCAACCAGCUUUGUAAUUAGAUAGGAAAAAUUUUAAAGAUAGAUUAAAAAUUAAAAGAAAAAAAAAAGAGAGUCAUGAUGUGAUUACCAAUACACAAAUUUUAAUUUGGGUGUAAUAAUCUUUUAGCUGUCAAUUUUUUUAAUUAUUCAAAAUAAUUGUGUCUGUUGUGCUUUUAAAAAAAAAUAAGAAAAUGGCAAAAUCGAAGCUGUGGAUUCCUGUGGGCUUUGACCAGUUCUUGCAAUUGUAGUCAUUUUUUGUGCUAAUUUGCAACUCUCAAGCGACACCUGAAAAAUUUUUAAGUUUCGCUUUAUUAUUGUGAAAUAAUUUUUGUCUUCAAAACUUUGUUUCAUUUUUUAAACGUAAAUAUUUCUGUUUUCUUAUCUUCUUUAAUUAAUCAUAUUAUUAUUUACCACCUUUCCUUCUUUUAUCCCCCAUUAGUACGAUUAUUACCAUAAUUUCAAUCAAAUUUAGGGAUGGUCCAACUGAGUUGAAGUUGAUAAUUUACUAGUUUUCAUUUUCUUCCCCGACGGUAAGGUCAUCUUCAAGGUCUAAUUUCGUUCAAUUUACUUCUCCCUUGCGUGUGUAUAAGUAGAAUCCAGUUACGUGAAUUUCCCACAACUUCUCCAUUUUCGAUACCUGUAAAACAAGAAAAAAGAAGAAAAUUAAGAAUAAAACUAUCAACUGUAAAUCAAAACCUAAAUUAAAAGACAAAACAAAAUUAUGAAAAAAAAAAAAAAAAAAAAAGAAAUACAGACGGAAGAAAGAAAAAGAACGGGACGAGUCAAAACGGGAAAAGUGGAAAAAGAUCAAACAGAAGAAACGGCUGAAAUGGAAAGCGGGAAAUGUCAAACCAAACGGAACACCAAAAAGAAAAAAGAACUGCGCUGGAAUGGAAUGGUGUUUGGAGAACAAAACAAAUGGAAGAAAUAAUACUUGAAACCAAUCAACACUGAGAUCUGGCCUGGAUUGUCAGAUUAGAGUUAAUUUGAUUAGAUUAGAUAUUUUUAAGAGAUUUUAAGAGUUUUUGUUUUUGUCCAAAAGCUCCUCAAAUUUGCCAUUGGCUGCAAAUAUGUGUAUUUACACCAACAAAAUAUAUGAUAAUAUGUUCCUCGGAUUUUACGGUUUCGGUCACCCGGAGUACACUAAAAUUCAUUUCCGCCCCGAAUCCUUCGUUCAGAUUUCCAACUUCUUCGCCGCAAUCUGACUUCACCGCCACCGUCCGCGGCUUUACUCCAAAGUUCGAUCUCCAAUCACCGGAAAAUCUCGGAGACUUAACCAAAAAUCGUUAAAAGAUUACACAUACCGCAAAGGAAUCUUCAUUAAUCCUCGGCUUUUGACAUCACGGAGAGCCGGCUCGGCCUCGGCUGGAACGCUGCGCGGCGACGCUGCUGGUGAGAGGAAGGUCUAAUCAAAGCCGACAAAGCUCUCUUAACCAGAUCUCCUUCGACUCCUCCGAUUCUCACCAGCGAGUUCGUCAUAGCAGACCUACGCGCGUUGAGCCGAUUAUUAGGCGCGCAACUUGUCACCGCGUGCGAAUUAUUAAAACUCUUAUGAAGGCUGCAACGGAACGAUCCCGGGUGCGUCGUAGGGGAACACAUGCAAGUCCGCUUCGGCUGUUUACUCUGUAAAUUCUUCAACACCUCGUUGUUUCUACGGACGGUAGUAAUCGAACGGUUGGGCGAGAUCGGGGACGGUUAUCGAGCCGAGAAUCGCACGGACGGCGCGGAUGGAGAGUGCGUUGGUAGAGAGAUUGACACCGUGGUGGAGAGAUGAAUCUGUGUUGAUUUAAAGAAAGUUAGAGAGCGUGAAGAAAAGCUUGAACCUUUGAAUAAGCGAAGCCCGAAGAAGAAGAUGGAUGGAGGACGUGUGAGUGGUAGGUGAGAAACUGAAACCGGGCCAGAAAGUGCAGAGAGAGUCGCGAGAACCGGGACCGCUCGAUUUUCUAGAGAUUUCGCCAUUGUUUUUUUUUUUUUUGGCAGAAGAGAGAGAAAGAAAGUUAUGAGAUUUUUUUUUUGAAUUUCUAAAAAGCCGCGUGUGGCUGUUUAGUUGGGCAAACCUAGCUUUACUCGAGCCACGUAUUUAUAGGGUGAGGGGAGGGGUCUGGCCGUCUGGGUUUUGGAAAUUUCGCGAUAUUUUCAAAGUUGGGCUUUUUAGUUCUUGGUUUUGCGAUUGUGCCCCUAACUUUUUUUAUUUAUUUUUCUACCCGUGGAAUUAUUAUUCUUUGCGGCUGUACACGUCAUUGUUAUUUCCUUAUUUUCCCAUUGCUUUUCUUAUGAUAUUUCUAUUUUCCUUUUGAUUAAUUACAAUUUAUAAUAAAUAUAAAGAAGGUUGGGAAAUUAUUUAAUGCAUAAAAUAUUUCAUAAAAUUAAAUGAAUUUGCAAUAGCUAAGAAUAUUUAACUUGUUUUUGAAUUUAAAGUAAUUUUAUUCAUUCAAAAAUGAAUUAAAAUGCAUUUAAAAGAAUGGACCACUUUAUUGUCAUUUUAAUGCUCAACAAUCUAAUUAUAUCAAAAAAAGACAUUACAAUAUGGUAUAUUUGAUAGCAUUUUAAUUGAACUGUGCAUAACAUGAUGUUUACCUAAUUGUAAUCAAGUAUAACUUGAAAAUUACUGCAAAUGAUAAGGCUUUCUUCAACUAUGUGGAGAUAAUGAGGAGGCUCAACUUUUUAAUUUCAAAUUAAAUGUUACCAUGGUUCGAGUUGCUUACCUAUUACUUAGGUCUUGAAUAAGAUCUUUUAGAUUUAUGAUCGAUUUUACUCUUGAUAUAUAUUAUUAUAAUGAUAUAUAAUUAUUUUUAUUUAAGUUUCAUUCAAAAUAUAGAUAUAUUUUAAUAUUAAUUAAUUAGUAGUUGUCAGCCGCAUUUUAUCAUAGUUGUUGAUUUUUUGAGUUUGGUGAUUGAAUGCUUUAUGAAGGAGCUAGCAAAAUGGUUAAUUUAGAUGUUGGAGUGAUCUAUUAUAAAGAAUAAUCAGCGAGCGUCAGAGGUAAGAAUUUAGAGUAUGUUCUGAUAUUCAAAUCAGCAAAGAUGAAAAAAAGGAAAAUUAGAAAGAUGGAAGAGAACAAGGUAAUGAAGUAUUUAGACAUAAGUAAAUAAAAUGAGAGUAAAAGAUUUACAUUUGAGAUAUAUAUGACUCAAUUUUAUUUUGUAUACACAUUUUGUGUUAAUGUGAUCAAUUAAUUUAUAUGAUAUUGAUUAAAUAGUGAACUUACUAAAGUAAUCGCUAAUAUAACAAAUACAAGAAUAUUGAUUAGGCAAUUAGGAUACAAUAAUAAUCACUUAAGAAAUUCCAAGACAAAUCUGGUGAUAAGAUGAAUGAGAGCCAUGGAGUGAUUGUCGUAUUCCCUUUUGGAAAAUAGUAGUAUUUAAGAAAAACAAAAAUAAAAACAAGAGAAAAAACAAAGGCAGCCAAGCCUAAUUAUUUUGGUCACACACCGAAAGCACUUUGUCAAAGCCAACUUUAGGUAUUUCGGAUCAAUGAUUCAUUUCCUACUCAGAAGAUUCUCAACUUUUCAGCAAAAUAACAAUGAAAGACACGUAGCGCCAUGUGGAAAGGUCGGUUUGACAAAGUCAAUAUCGAACAAAACCAAAGUAAUUCAAAUUGUUUGGGGCAUGCAAAGACGUGUUACCCACACUGUUGUUAUGGUUAAGUUUUUAGAAUAUUUGAUUUGAUUGUUAUACCAAUUUUAAUUCCAUUCUCGUGGAAAGAUUUAGUUGGAUUUAGGUUCAACUUCUCAACUCCCAAAAACCAAUUACAAAUUGUAUGAUUAAUUUUAUCAUACUUCAGUUGUUAGGCUACAAUACCCAAAUUAAUACUUCGAUUGUUAUUAUAAAAAAAAAAAAAAUCGUUGCAGAAGGUUAAACAAUCUUGUAAUUUGAUGAUAUAAUCUGGUGUUAUAAUAUUAAAUUAUUAAUUUUAAUUAUUAUAUUAAAUCAUUAAUAAUAUCAAAUAUCUUAUAAAGAAUUCAAAUUUACAACGAAAUCCUUUAUUAUUUAGUAAACGAUUUUCAUUUGAUGUUUAAAACAGUAAUAGUAAUGAUUUAAAAAUGGAAUGGUAGGCGUUUUUAACAUUAUUAUUAACAUUUAAACAGCUUGGAUUUAAUAUUUACAAAAAUAACAAUUAAAGCAAACCCUUUUGGUGAUUUCUGUGUAGCCCCAAUCUUCUGGUUCAAGGAAUGAGAAUCCACCAUUAUCGCCAAGCAAUGUGUUUUUUAAUAUUACACAAUGACCCAAAGGGCCGUAUUUGUUAAAUAUAAUAGCUGCAAAAUUGAUUUAUUAGUGGAGGAGAGAAGAGAUUAGGAUCUCCUCUGAUUCUCAGAAAAAAAAAAUGGAGAAACCCUAAUUUAUAUUCAAAUUUUUUUUCAAUAAACAUACAAUUCAUGAUAGAAGUUUCACUAAGUUUUUAGUCCUUUAGGAUCCCCCCACCCAUAUUUUUUUUUUGCAAUUUUUUCAAUCACAACUGGCCAAUAAAAUUUUCCUUUUUCCUUUUCUAAUUAAGAAAGAAAACAGGAUUAAAAUGAGUAUUUAACUUUCAUAAAACAACCCUCUCGAAAUUUCUAGUAUAUAUGAAUUUCUACACAAAAGGGCUCCACUUCCUUCAAUUUCAUUACAAAGUAUUAGUAGUUGGUAUAGAAAUAUAAAGAAAGGUUCCAGGCAGUUGUAGCACAAGUGACUUUUGCCCCCAGACCCACGAAAAUUGAAUGAAAGUAAGACGCGAAGGAAUCAAAAAAGUGUUAUGAGAUUGGCCGACGCCAGCCAAUGAGACCACACUACCCAAUCAGCUAGCCACCUCCUUUGGACUCAUUUGUUCUCAACACUUGACAAACUUUUUAAUUAAAGAAUUUAACAUUUUUCAACAUACACUAAAAGUUAAAAAAUUUGAGUUUAAAUUUAAUUCAAUUUAUUUAUAUAAUUAUUUUUAAAACAUAAUAUUCAAUAAAUUUGAAUUUCAAAUUUCAAAAAAAAAAAUUUAUUUCAUUUUUAGAUUGUAAUUUUUUAUAAAAAAUUAAAAAAAUUUGAUCAACAAUCUCAAACUCUCUCUCUCUUUCUCCCUCUCUUUAGUUUCCUUUCUAGUUUAAUUUCCAUUCCCUCUCAAUUAUUCUCCUCCAAAUAUCAGAAUUUUAAACCAAACGCGUUUAGAAUAAUAUAAAUAAAAUUGGAAGAUUCUUAUGUCAUAGACUAUGAUUAUAUUAAUCAAUAAAAUUAAUUAAUCAAGUUUGAAGGUACUGAUUAAGAUGGCUUUGAUCAUAACCUUUUUUUGGCACAACCUUUAAUUGUUCAUGUCUAUAAUUAUUUAUUUGGUUAUCUUUGAUUACAUCAUUGAUUUGUUUGUUUUUUAAUUUUACCAAAGCUUGUUUCCGCUAUGGAUUUCAUCACUUAGAAAACUUAAUCACAUGAAUGAAUAAUGAUCAUGUGAUCAAGUAGGUAGACAACCAAACUCAUAUUCAAGAUAUAUUCAUUGUCUUUUUUCUUAUUGUUUGCCACCCCUUUUGGUUUCGAAUUCUUCCUCAGCCUUCCAUUUUUAUUAUUUGAUUGAACUAGAGAAAGUGGGAAAGUUCAGUUAAUAUCUGAAUAUUUUCACGACAAUCUAUUGUCCAAUUGAGAAAGAAAAGUUUGGAAAAAUUGAAGACAACAAUGUAAAAAAUGUUUAAUAUAUAAUAGAAUUUUGAAUUUAAUAUAAUUCAAUUGAUUCAUAUAAUUAUUUUAAAGAAAUUAUGUUUAAUAAUUUUAAAUUUUAAUACAGACAAUUUUUUUUUAUUAUUUUUGAAUUACAAUUUCUUUUAUAUUAAAAAAAUAAUAAAAGUUAUUUUUUUCUUUAACACUUGAAAUAACCUGAAUGGGGGAAUGGUCUGAAUCCCUAUAAUAUCAACUCCUCCAUGUGCAAUGACCUUUGUUUUGUUUAUAUAUGGCAGUUAAGAUAGUUGUGCUUCCACGCAAAUAUAUGGCUCAAUGGCCUCCAAUUUGUUGUGUGGACUUUUCGGCUUUGAAAACUUCGUAUUCAAAAACAAAUUAAUAAAUUUGAUUCACUUGUUGGUUUGUAUUCUUUUUUUCACAUUAAAAGCAUAUUACAUAUAAUUAUUAUAUUAUAAUUAAUCAAUUAUAAUUCAUAAAUAGAUGAAAUUUAUAAUUGUUUAUUUUCAUGGAAUAAUUAUAAUAAAAAAUUUGCAACUGAAAUGCUCCACAUGGUGUGGAAGCCCACAGGUUCCGAAGCCAAGAGCCAACCGUUUUUAUUGAUUGAUUCCCGUUCCAACCGGUCAAAAGUCAAAGCUUUGUUUGAAGCAUACGAUUUCUUACCAGCUGGUUGGCUUUGGAGUGGAUGAUAAACAAUAUAGCAGAUAGAUCAUAUUUUCAAAACCCAUAAUUUUAUUUGUACCGAAGUUAAAUUUGCAUUACUGUAUUUCACAUUGUUUCAACCAAUAUGCACAAAAUUGAAGGAAAUUUAUCAAGUAAAAACAAUAAGUUUAUUAAAAAUUAAAGUUUUAAGUAUUUAUAGAAAAAGUUAAUUUGAUUCAUUGAACCCUAAAUUGACAGUGUAAAAAAAAAGUAUUUUAAUUAAAUGGAAUAAUUUUGAAAAAUAUUCAAGAUAAGUUGAAUUUACAUAUCAUUGUAUCUUUAACUUCAAAUUAAAGCUUCUAAGCCAUCAAAGAAGCCAAAAAAAGAANNNNNNNNNNNNNNNNNNNNNNNNNNNNNNNNNNNNNNNNNNNNNNNNNNNNNNNNNNNNNNNNNNNNNNNNNNNNNNNNNNNNNNNNNNNNNNNNNNNNNNNNNNNNNNNNNNNNNNNNNNNNNNNNNNNNNNNNNNNNNNNNNNNNNNNNNNNNNNNNNNNNNNNNNNNNNNNNNNNNNNNNNNNNNNNNNNNNNNNNNNNNNNNNNNNNNNNNNNNNNNNNNNNNNNNNNNNNNNNNNNNNNNNNNNNNNNNNNNNNNNNNNNNNNNNNNNNNNNNNNNNNNNNNNNNNNNNNNNNNNNNNNNNNNNNNNNNNNNNNNNNNNNNNNNNNNNNNNNNNNNNNNNNNNNNNNNNNNNNNNNNNNNNNNNNNNNNNNNNNNNNNNNNNNNNNNNNNNNNNNNNNNNNNNNNNNNNNNNNNNNNNNNNNNNNNNNNNNNNNNNNNNNNNNNNNNNNNNNNNNNNNNNNNNNNNNNNNNNNNNNNNNNNNNNNNNNNNNNNNNNNNNNNNNNNNNNNNNNNNNNNNNNNNNNNNNNNNNNNNNNNNNNNNNNNNNNNNNNNNNNNNNNNNNNNNNNNNNNNNNNNNNNNNNNNNNNNNNNNNNNNNNNNNNNNNNNNNNNNNNNNNNNNNNNNNNNNNNNNNNNNNNNNNNNNNNNNNNNNNNNNNNNNNNNNNNNNNNNNNNNNNNNNNNNNNNNNNNNNNNNNNNNNNNNNNNNNNNNNNNNNNNNNNNNNNNNNNNNNNNNNNNNNNNNNNNNNNNNNNNNNNNNNNNNNNNNNNNNNNNNNNNNNNNNNNNNNNNNNNNNNNNNNNNNNNNNNNNNNNNNNNNNNNNNNNNNNNNNNNNNNNNNNNNNNNNNNNNNNNNNNNNNNNNNNNNNNNNNNNNNNNNNNNNNNNNNNNNNNNNNNNNNNNNNNNNNNNNNNNNNNNNNNNNNNNNNNNNNNNNNNNNNNNNNNNNNNNNNNNNNNNNNNNNNNNNNNNNNNNNNNNNNNNNNNNNNNNNNNNUAUACUAUACUAGAGACUUAUUUUGGAGAACUAUUUUAUUGGUUGUCAUUUGCAACUAUUUUUUUGUCAUAACAUACUUCUUAAUUUUCAUAAUUUUUAACUUUCAUUGAUCAAAAUGGCAAAUUUUGACGAGUUUGAAAGAGUUGAUGUUAAAAGAUUCAUUUUUCCCUUCCAAUUUUAUUCAAGAUAUUAGAAUGUUAACUUCCUUUAAAAAUUUGUACAUGUAUUUUUGUGAGUUCAAUGGCAGCCUCAAUUUACAUGAUAAAUUAAAUAUUUUAAUUUUUUAUUUACUUACUCAGUACUAGUAUCAUUUUUUCGGUUAUCAUUUGUAAUUAUGUCUUUCAAUUCAAAACAUAAUUCGUAACUUUUAUUGAAUAGAAUGGAAAUAUUUGACAAGUUUGGAAGAGUUGAUAUUAGAAGAUUCAUCUCUUCCUUCCAACUUUAUUCAAGAUAUUGGAAUGUUGGCUUCUCUUAAAAAUUUGGAAGUGAAAGUUUGUGACGUCAACGGCAGCCUCAAUUUUCAUGGUAAAUUAGAUAUUUCAAAUUUGUAGUUAUAGAUCCAUUUUAUUUCUUUUUUUUUUUUUUUUGGAUGUCUCUUACCUCUAGCCAUUCAAAUAAGCAUUGCAUAUACUUAAAAUUACAAGAUUUUGUAAUGAAGGUAUCACAAUUAUGAGUCUAUGUAAAUUAGUAAUCAACAAAAAAAUAAAAAGCAAAAUAGUUUAGCAAUUAUAUAAAUAACAAGAAAAAAGGAAAUUUGUUGAUUUUAAGUCUUCGGUAACUUUGUUUCUUGUCAUUAACAAUAUUUAUCUGAAUUAAUUUAAGCUUUUUUGACAUAUUUUUUUACUUCUGUUUUCCUAAAAAAGCAUCUUGAUUUUCUUCCAAAAUAAACAUCUUGAUUAAUUGACUUAAUAGUAUGAAAUAAAUAUUUAUACAAUUGUUAAAGCUGUAAUUUAUGAUAGGAUGUGAGUAUAUUGUUAAUUGCAUACAUAUUAUGAUAUUAUCCCCCCCUUUUUUUUUACUUAAAAUAUAUCUUCAUAUGUUUCCGUAAAUAUAUUUAUUUGAAAUAGGUCCACUUCAUUUGAAGAAUUUGGAAUCCUUGGUCAUACGGGACACUUCCCUGGAAAACAACUUUCUUCAAAAAAUUGGAGCAAUGCCUUCUCUCAAGAAUCUAGAAUUAUGGGACUGCGGACUCAAUGGCACCUUAUAUUCCCAAGGUUGAGAUUGAUAGACACCUUACCUUUGUUUUAAGUUCUCCUUAGUCCCACCAUCCUAUACUCAUGUUGUCCCUUUUGCAUUUGAAAUAUUCUCCCAUACAAAAUGUUACUCUUCAUAUAUUAUUCUUAUAUAAUAUUACCUUUUAUCAUAACUUUUAAAAAAGUAACGAAACCUACUAUGUUCUAAACAAACACCAGAUUUUUUAAAAUUUUCUUUAUGUAUUAUCUCUUUUCCUUUUGAUCUCUCUAAAUUUUAUGAAAUGUUAGUAAGUGACAAAAUAUAAGGGAUGGAGAGACUAAUUGUUUUUUUUUUUUUUUUUUUGUUCCAGCGCAUGGCACCUUCUUCAUUUAUUUAAUAUAAUGCUACUUUUGCAGGUUUUUGUGAAUUGACAAAUCUCCAAAACUUGGAUAUUAGAGACAAUAAUUUAUGGGGUAACUUGCCCGAGUGCUUCUCCAAUUUCACAUCGCUUGAAAGUUUGCUUCUUUAUUCCAAUCAAUUUUCUGGAAGUAUAUCUGCCCUUAAGAGUUUAACAUCCCUCCGAACGUUGGAUCUUUCAGACAAUUACUUUGAAAUCCCCAGCUCAUUAGGUCCCUUGUUCAACCUUUCAAAACUCCAUUCCAUCUUUGCAGACAACAAUACCAUAUAUGCUGAAACCGAGAUGCAUUCUUUGGCGCCAACAUUCCAACUGAAUAGGAUCAGCAUAUCUUGUUGUGGAGAUGUUGGAUCAUUUCCUCAAUUCCUUUAUCAUCAACAAGACUUGGUGUCUGUUGAUCUCUCUAACAUCUAUUUGAAAGGGGAAUUUCCAAAUUGGUUGUUGGAGAACAACACAAAUUUAACUACAUUAGUUCUCGUCAACAACUCUUUCCUGGGACCAUUUCAGUUACCUUUCCUUUCACAUACAGGGUUAUCACGUUUGGAUAUCUCCAAAAAUUCCUUCUAUGGCAACAUUCCAAAUGAAAUUGGAGCAAAACUGCCAUCAUUAUGGUUUCUGAACAUGUCAAAAAAUCAUUUUGGCGGUAGCAUUCCAGUUUCAAUCGGAGAUAUGAAAUCUCUACGAACCUUGGACUUGUCUGACAACAAAUUGAGUGGAGGAUUACCGGAGCCCUUGGCAAUAGGCUGCUCCUCAUUAAGUGUUCUUAUAUUGUCAAACAACAUAUUGCAUGGCCAGAUGUUCUCUUCAAAUUUUAACUUGACAAACUUGAGGCAGUUGCAAUUGGAUGGGAAUCUCUUUUCUGGAAGGAUCCCAGAUUGUUUGUCUAAUUGCUCCUCGUUGAUAAAAUUGGAUCUUAGCAAUAACCAACUUUUUGGUGAUAUACCAAGGUGGAUGGGGAAUUUGAGUUUGUACGAAAUUGCCAUGGCAAAAAAUCAUCUUGAAGGUCCAAUCCCCGAGGAGAUUUGCCAGCACAAUCUUGAAGUUCUGGAUCUUUCAGUGAACAAUAUCUCUGGCAAUCUACCGUCUUGCUUCAGCCAAUUACAUUUCAGUCAAAUCCAUUUAUCAAGAAACAAGCUACAAGGGCCACUCAUAAAUGAAUUUCUUAACAGCACUAUGGUAACAUUAGAUCUCAGCCAUAACCACUUAACUGGAAACAUUCCAAAUUGGAUCGGCAGUCUUUCUCGGUUGAGAUUUCUUCUCCUAAUAACAACCACUUUGAAGGUGAGAUUCCGGUUCAGUUAUGCAAGUUGAGCCACUUAAGCUUGAUUGAUCUUUCUAAUAACCAUCUUUCUGGUACAAUUCCUCCUUGCCUGAAGAUUACAACACUAAAUGAUAUAUCCCAAGAUUAUGUCCGUUUUAUCUUUACUGCUGAUAGAAAUAUGUCGAGUUCUAUCCCCAUUGAAGAGCAAAUAGAGUUCACAACAAAAAGCAUAUCCUACUUUUAUAAGGGAAAAGUCCUCACUUACCUUUCUGGAAUUGAUCUCUCUUGCAACAAGUUGAUUGGAAAGAUUACUCACACAUUCAAAAACAUCCAAAAUAUCCAAACAUUGAAUUUGUCUUUCAACAGUUUGACAGGACCAAUCCCGCCAGCGAUUUCUGAACUCAAGCAAAUUGAGAGUCUCGAUCUUUCUCACAACAACUUGAGCGGAAAAAUCCCUUCUCAGCUUGUGGGGUUAAAUUACUUGUCAUUUUUCAGUGUGGCAUACAACAAUUUAUCUGGAAGAACUCCUGAAAGGACUGCACAAUUUGCAACAUUUGAAGAGAGUAGCUACCUGGGAAAUCAUUUUCUUUGUGGCGCACCACUGCCAAACUGCUCAACAGGACCAUCAUCAUCAAUGUCAAAGGCUUCAACCGACAAUGGUUCAAUUGACAUGAAUGUCUUUUAUGUAAGUUUUGUUGUGUCUUACUUUAUGGUGCUACUGAGUAUAGCCUGUGUGCUCUACAUUAAUCCUUAUUGGAGAAGAGCAUGGUUCUAUCAUAUAGAAGCAGGCAUCACUUCCUGCUACUAUUUUGUGGUAGACAAUGUUCUUCCUAAACGAUUCUAUUGUGGAAAUAUGUAGCCAAGACAUGUUCAGUUGUUCACCUUUCCUCUUUGUUAAUGACUCUUUACUUAAUCUAUUGGUCUGUCAUAAAGGAUUCUAUAGUAACUGAAAAGCAAACAGGUUUACAUCAUAUAUCCAAGACAUCAAUUUUUUGCAUUAGCCACCACCAUAAGGGCAAACCUACAUCAUACAGGAUAUGUUUUGAUCGAGAAACAUUACAGCCCAACACCAAAUAACAGCCUGACUGAUGGCUGCAACCCCAGUUGACCCAAUCAAACCCCAACAACCAACAUUGCCCACCAAAAUACCCGUUUAGCCCAAGAAGACUAUCCAAUCAAUCUAGAAUCAAGAGCAUCUCCAACCAAGGGAAAUUCAGUUUAAAACAUUAUUUUCUCCAUAAAAAUGUAAACUCGCAUAUAAUAUAUAUAUACAUAUAUAUAUAUAUAUAUCAUAGUAAAUGAAUUAAGUUUGUAAAUUCUGCAGCAUGAAACAAUAUGAUUCUUUGAUUAGUUAACAAAUUUAGGACAAGAUGAAGUGAUGAAUUUAUAAUGCAACAUACCAAUUGGAUGCCAAGAAACAUAAAUAGAAACAAUAAAACAGAUACAAUUUCCAAUGAUCACAAUUUUAUAUUCCCAAUAGAUAAGUUACCGGAAUAAUAGGCGAUCAAAGUAGGAAAAAUUUCAUCCCCAAACACAUUUGAUAGAACAUCAUGACCUGUUGCACUGCAUUUUCAUAAGUUCCAUAUGUUGAAUGAUUCAUCAUCCUGUACCAAAAUAAUUAUUUAGGGUAAAAUCUCACUAGAAAACGUUUCUUUCUAAAACUAACAGAAUAGAACUUAGCUAUAUUAGUUCACUCUGAUUGACUGGCAAAGAAAAAAAUACUUGCAUCAUCUUUUGCAUCAUCAGAACCAGGAAAUCGUGAUGUAUGGAAUCAAGGUUUUACAUCUUGAAGAGGAAAUAUAAUGAGAGAAUCUAUUAGAAACCACAUACAGAAAAAUAAAGUGCUGACAUGAGACGAAUUACACAAAAGUAAGAGCACAAUGAUGAAUAAAAUUACAAUGACCUGAUGUCUGUCUAGAAGAGACUUAUCUUCCUACAAAAAUGAAUUGACUCCAAAUAAACUAUCAAUUAUAAUUGCCAAUUCAGAUAACCACAAAGCAGAAGUUGAAAAGACAUAACCUCAGCAUCAACAAGUGACUUAUCGGUCAUCAGCAUAAACCAUGUUUGACAACAAAAUCUAAAAAAAAGUAACAGAUACAUGAAAUUAAGAACAUAGGUGUUGUAAAUGGCUCUAAAAAAAAGAAAAAAGAAACUAACAAGAUAGAACCCUGCAAAGUAUUAGCCUACUGAAUUAGAUGUGGUAGAUAUUCUCUCAAAUUCUCAAGUAACUGUGCAUUGGAAUAUACAGACCUGCCAAUCAAGUUCAACAUUGAUUCUUAAACAUUAGAUCUGGGGAGGGGGAGGACUAGUAAAGUUAAAUGCACGGCCUUCAUUCCUUUCUAUGCCUAGAUUCAAGAAAAUGAAUCUACAUUUUUAACAGAAAGGAUUAACAAUAUAAUGGCUAUAAUAUUAAAAUUCUUGAUAACUACGGUUUGAUAGCACAUAGAAGCAGAGGCGGACGCAGAGGGGCAAGCACAGCUCCAACACUUCUGACAUAUUUAACAAACAUUUUAUGUGAUCAAGCAAAGAAGACUAAGAAAAAAAAAAGGCUAAAUUCAAAAGAUAUUGCAUUCUGCCAAAAACUAUUAGUUUGAAGCAUGCCAAUCUGCAUAAGCUAUCAAAAAUAUGGUUUUAAAAGACAUCUGAGUCUACAUAUAAGACAUUCAGACAUGUAAUGCACAAAGAAGAAAGUUACCAAAAUUCACAUGCUUCAAGUGCCACUUCAUCAUUCAUCAAUGCCUUUAUUGACUUGCAACAUAUAUCCACUUACAUCUUCAAGUGUGGCUGUCAAAUAGUUACAAAAUCACAUCACAGAGUGUUAUGCAUAAAAAGAAACAAGUGUAUGACAUAGAUACUAAAAGAAGGUAACACUUCAUGCUACUAAAAGAACUGCAAUAAGAAAAUGUAAGAAAACUAAAAUGUAACAAACAAAAGAUACCCACCUCCAGAAAAGAUGGGCGGACUUCAAUUAAGCUGACCAAAUGCUACACAACCUGAUCAUUAGGCAAAAAACAUUGAUCUAAAAAUGAUCAAGCUUAAAAGAAACAAGAUAACUUCAACAAUUCAUUCACUAACUCAAAAUACUAAAAUUUUGUAGGAGACAAACAGCUAUUAUUGUAGUAUUCUACUUAAUACAUAUAUUCGCAGUGUCCAGUGAGUUUAUAAUCUCAUAAUAGAAAAAAAACUAGAACCAUUAAUAUCCACGACUAGAUAAAAAACAUGUUUAAUUCAAAUGAAUAAAACAAUUGUUGAAAUAUAUAAGGAUUUAAUCCAAUAUACAGCAAGUAGUGCAGCAAGUGUAUAACAACCUCUUCAAGCAUUGCAAAAGCCGAACAAGCAGCCUCUUGCACCCACUUGUUAGUAUCCAAUAUUCUCAGCAGGAGACCCAUAAGAGCCGUAUGUAAUCAAUAGGACACCGAACAGCUCAACCAAAAAAAAAAAAAGGAAAAUUUUUUAUGUUAACUCUUAUUAAAAGUUAACAGAAACAGUUCUUUUCAUAGUAUUCUAGUUAAAACAUAUAUUAGCAAUGCCCAGCAAUUUUAUGGUCUAGUGACAGAAAAAACCCAAGAACCAUUAACAUCAAGGACUAGAGAAAAAAAUGUCUAAUUCUAAUACUACAUCUUCUAAAUCAAUGCUGAAACUGGAAAGUCAGAAAUGAAAAAUGAUUCAUACCAAGCUUUUAUAAACUUGAAGUUACAGUAAAUUACAAGCAAAAUUAGGAAAUACUUACAGCAGAUUUGAGUAUUCCAAGCAAACAACAGAAUUAUAAUAAAAAAACAAGAGUACAAGAAGAAAACAAGAAACUGUUGACCAAUUUCAGCACUUCUGCGGCAAGGUCAUAAGCAAGGACAAACAAACCUGGAAGGUAUUUAUCCGUGGAUGUACACCAAGCCUUCAAUAAAUUAAUGUAUAACAUCAAAAAGUAUCAGAACGACAUCCAUUAAAAGUAAGAAUAUAAACCUUAAUGUAUUGGUUUACAGAACCCAAUUAAAGCUUUCUCAGAGAAGCAACUCAACAAACUGCAUAUAGAAAAGAAACAUAAUUAGCAACUUUUUUUUUUUUUGAGAUAUUAGCAAUUUAUAUUUUGAUAAAGCAGCAUACAAAAUAAAAAAUAUAGUAAUAGGGUUUCAUAAGUCAUAAUUGCAACAGUAAAAAGAGCUUAUUAUAAUGUACAGGCCAGCCAAAAAAACCUGAUGUUAGACAAAAACACGUUCAUAAGCUAGCGUACACAAUUAUUUCCAAACUUGGUGCAACCUCUUCAGCAGCCUCAAAUGAAUAAAACAAUUGUUGAAAUCUAUCAGAAUUUAACCUGAAUUACAACGUGCAGCAAGUUUAUAAUAACCUCUUCAAGCAUUGCAAAAGCCAGUCAAACAGCCUCUUUUACCCACUUGUUAGCAUCCAAUAUUCUUCGCAGCAUACCCAUAAGAACAGCAUCAAAUUGCUCAUAGCCUUUCUGAUGCCCACUAGACUGAUAUAAAGGAAACACGAGAGCUCUCAACUACAAAAUCCAAUGCAUAGACAAAACAACAAAAAGUACUUUAGGAGUGCUAUGUGCCAAAAACAGAAAAUAAAAGGCAUAAGAUGCAAAAAUGGUCAUGGUGGUUAUAUAUAUUUAUUAGAUUAAAAAUAUAUAUUAACAGCCAAACAGCAUCAAACAGAAGGAAAAUAGGCUUGAGGAGAAACAACCAAUGGAGCAAUUUUAAUCCAUACCUGAACUGAAUCGAGAAAGUGUCCAAGAAGAAUUCUUCCGCAUGAUCUAAAAGGGGACUUAGAAAUGCCACAACAUGCAGACAUAAAUAUGACUUUUUUUUUUCAAAUUCUGCGGCAAGCAUGUCAAAGAAGAAUAAAGUAAAAGCAAUGCAAUAGCAAAAAUAAAAAAUUUAAGAGCAUAAAUUGAGUUAAGGAAAACCGAUGACUGUUAUAUAUGCACCAUUUAUUCUUCACCUUGUAAUCUGCCUCUAAACUUUGUGUACCGGUUAAAAACAACAAGAAUUACCUCGGACAAAUGAGAAUAAAGACCAGUAACGCAACCUUCACCAGUUGCACCAAGAGCCCAAACAGCAGCUUCCCUAUCUUUCGAGGCUUGUUCACCACUAGCAAAUAGGUAGGCCAGCAGAAAUUCACCACUAACAAUACCAAAAAUGCUGUUAAUCCAAUAAAUAUACAAUCUUUGCAAAUUCUAUUACAGAAUUAUUAAACCUAUAGUCACCAAAUUCAAAUAUUCUAUAGAGAAACACAAUCCAAUAAAAAGAAAUUUCAUUAAAGAAAUAAAAACCGUACAAUCAAAUCAAUACCCAAAAUCCUUUUCCUCAAAAAAAAAAAAAACGAAAAUCCGGAAAAGAAAAUUCUACUAAACUAGUUACUGAGAAAACAAACGGAGAGAGGAAAAGAAGCAAACCUCAGCUCGAGAAAGGAUAAAAACGAGAUAGUUGUUGAAAUCAGGGAACUCAGAGUAGUGCUGAAGCUGUUGCCAAAUCUGAGACUAUCACUAUCAGCCGAAGAAGAAAGCGAAAUCUGCUGCUCCAGUAGUCCGCCGAUCUCCUUCAACAAUUCUUCGAUUUCAUUUCUGGUUUUAGAUUAAUUUUCAGAGAGAAAAAAGAAUAUGGGUUUUUCCUCUCUUUUUUGACAAAGUUCAAAGAUUUCGGUAGGCAAACAGGCAAAUGUGACAAGAAAAAGAGAAGAAUAUUUGUUGGAGAGUUUGCUUAGGAGACAAAAAAUAGUUUUUUUUUUUGGAGGAAUGACAAAAGAAAGAAAUACGAAGAAAAUAAAAACAGUAAAAAUUAAUCGUCUUGGGUUUCAAAUUUUGAAUCUGGAUCCGAUAUAUAUAGACGGCAUCAGCCGACAUAGUCCGCGUAUUACCCGUUAGAGCCCCAACCUUUUUUGGUUGGGCUUGAGGCUCAAUAAGCCCAAAUUAAACCCUAUGGUUUAAGUAGUUCUGAUGAAACUGAUCCUUGGUCCAUUCGUCGCACUUUGACAUGAAAUUGUUACUCCAGAUAAGGUUGAAGCCUCAUAUUAUGGUCCACGUCCGGUAAUUAAUUUUCCUUGGCAAAACCAAAUCCUUAAUUAUUACUGUUUUUUUUUUUGUUCUUUUACCCUGUGAUAAACUGAAAAACUUAUCACAAAAAAAUUUACUGUUAGCAUGGUAAAUUCAUCAUAUUGCCAGGUAAAAAGCCCAAGAUUUGAAGAAGGCAUCUAUCUCAGGCUACUGGAAGACAAUUGACUUGCUUCAUUCUAUUACAACACUAGGUUUAUUAUUUUUUACCUGAUUGAUAUACAAGCUGAAUUUAUUAUUUAGUUGCAAAUAAUUUAGAGAUUGCUGUUGCUUACCUGAUUGAUUUGUUAUUUCUAGCUGCAAGUUUCUCAUUUUGAUUUCUAGUUUUGAAGAAAUAGAUUUUUGCACUGGAUUGAGGAACAUAGACUCUCUCGUUGUACUAUAUGUUAUUGAGGAUUGAGGAUUUAUUUUCAGCUUUUGCUUCCAUUUCAUCAAACAUUCAAACAUGUAAUUCUGCUUACAUGCUUGUGAUUGAGACCAUACCCUGAAACAAGUUACUCAGAUUGAGUGUAACUCACAGUCAAACCUCUUCCCCUCUGGUUUUUGCCUUCUGUUUUGAAUCUCCAGAUGAAAACUUGGAAGACAAUGUGCAGAAAAUAGUUAAUUAACAUAAAAUUUAUAUGUACAAAAUUUGUUUGUUUUUGAAACAAGAAAAGAGGUAAUGUCAAAUUCAGCAGCCAAACAUAUUUACAAUCACCUGUCAUUGACUGUCCAUAUAAUUAGCACAAUUACCCUGACCCCAUUAGUAAGGCAGCCUUUCACGUUUUAACAUAUAUUUAUUGAAUUGUUGAGAGAGCUAUCUCCAGGUGAUAGCAGCUAUUUACAGCAUAUGUUACAGUUGCCCCAGCAAUAUUAUUCUGGUCGAAAGCUGACAAGAUUGGGAAGGGCAGUUGACUGGAGCUUCUUAAUUUCAGAGGCAGUUACCUUGCAGGAUUCCAAAGAUAGCGACCGUAAAUUCUUUAGAGGCUUUAAAUACAGCAAACCAUCAUUAGUUAUGUAAGAAUUUGAAACAUUUAAUGACACCAAUGCGGUCAGGCCUGCAUUUACACCAGAAAAUGAAAAUCCAUGAUUAGAAGAUCUCACUGACUUCAUCAGAGCACAGACAGAUGGAAGCCAUGGACUAGAAUACUUUCACAUUCAGAAGCCAUUAUUAGAAGGCCCCAAAUAAGCUCUCAAUUCACCAGUUUUACUGACUGCCCGUUCAUCUUUGCGUGUUUAGACAUUUCCUGGACCAACUAAUCAUACAUGACCAAGUUACUAGACAGUAGCAAAAGUACUGCAAAUCACUGGUCCUGCAGCAGAAUGCCAAGCGGGACAAUUGCCAGAUGAGAUAAUCUGACACUAGAGAUACAAGUAGCUGUCUUAUAUAUGUCUCUGUAUCAUUUUCUAUACAAGCAUAGCAAGGUUUGUUCUAUUCAAGAAUUGCACUAACAAUGGCCAAAAAGGAGAAAAAAAAGAAGCUAAAUAAACACCAUAAAACCAUGAGGAAUAAAAGCAAAACUUACCUGAAAUCAGUUCCAAGGAUUUGUUUGUCAGGUUGCAGUUUUGUGAAAGGUUCAAUAGCGUUAAAGAGGUAAGAUCUUUGAUAUUUUUCACCCCAGCAUCAGUUAAACCACCUCCACAUAUUUCAAGGGAUUGGAGGUUCUUGAAGCCUGUUUAGCAUGAAAACAAGCAGGUGCAAGAACAUUUAACACAAAAUUAGAACAUGUAAAACAAAAUUCUUGAGAAAAGUUUACAAUGAAAAUGAGAUUAUGCCAAACUCAAUAUUAGGCCUAUUGAUGAAGACCAUAACAACCUUUUAAUAAACAUGAUUCUAAAAGUUCUCAUGAGCCUACUGAUUAUCCUACCAUUGGAGAUAUAAAUACACCUCAAUAAAUCAACUAAAAGGGACCUUAUAUUUCUCAAAGUUACUCCUGAACUUCCUCAAGUAUGUAUGUCCAAACUAUCCAGUCUUCAAGGCAAAGAGCAAACCAAAACAAUCAAGUUUUUCAAACAAACAAAAAGAAAACAUCAAAGGUUAAAAGCUAUAAUAAAACUUGAAUAUGACAAAAUGAUAGAUUCAAGUUUUUCAAACAAGAAAAAUGGUCCAUUAAGCAACUUGCAAUUUUAAUUACUUAAGCAAUGUCAAUAUUUUUGACAUACAUCGCAAAUAAUUUGUUCCAGUGUCCGAAAUCCUAGCCCCAAAAAGAUCCAGAUGCAUCAGUCCAGUCAAACCUGCAUCAGCAAAAUCAGAAAUGUGAUGACUUCAUACAUCCUUAAAACAUUACACAAUGAAGAAAAAUAGAGAAGUGUGAAUAAAAUAUUGACAAUGGAGCAGCAAUUUGGUGCCCACUUAGACUUAGCUUUUGGAAAAUGAAUUAUGUCACUACAGACAUCUUGGUGCAGCAAUAAUUGAUAUAAGAUUCUUAAAACGGAAGAAUACACUAGACCUGAAUGGUGAAUAACACUAUGAAACAGGUUUCAAUAUACAGCUAUACACCAAUAGCCACGGAUGAAAAUAAGGUAAGAAAUUUGCCAUCUUAACACAAGAAAUGAAUUAUCCAGUCCAUGGAUUUUUAAGUUAUUAUUUAUUUACUUUCAUGUAAUGUCAAUAAUGAAUCAGAGUUCUCUGAUCUGUUCAAAAAUUAUUUAUUUGCUUUCAAAGAUUUCUCCAUCUAGAGACACAAUGUUUUUAUAUAAGGAAACAUUCAUAGCUGAAAGCUCAGCAAAAUUUAUGACUCCAAACCUGGCUAUCCUGUAACAAUCUAAGGCAAGGAAAAAGGGGUCGACAACCUACAUUUCACAGUGGUCACCUUGUAAAACACAAAAAUCAAGGAAAAAUAUAGCUCCAAAUUUCUUCACUCCACAAAGACAGCAAAGAGACUUCAACCAAAAGAUACAACCAUAAGAUUUCAAAAAGCCAUAAAUAGGAUCAAAGGCACACCAGAAUGUCUCCAACUUAGAUGCACAAAGUUAGAAGAAUGGUACAAAGAAAUAAGUGAAAGUACUAACUUGUCAGAGCCAACAGCCCAGCAUCUGUAAUUUGGCGAGCAUCCAGAUUAAGUGACUUAAGAGCAGUCAAUCCAGACAACUUUUGUAAACCACUAUCAGUCACUAAACUGAAUGAUAAAUUCAAGGUCUCCAGAUGUGUCAAUCCUAAUAUAACAGAACCAAGUCAGCAUCAUGCAUUUAACAUUAUAAUGCACUGAAAAUUUCAGAAAAAAUUGAAACCAAGAACAUAUAAUUUAAUAAAGAACCAUGUGGAAAAGGGCAAGGAUCAUAAUAGAUGGUUUAUAACACCACAACCCUAAUCUUAAAGAUUUGUUGCUUUGCCUUGUUAGGUCAUUGAUGAAGCAAACACUAUAACAAUAUGAUUGCCGUGAAUUCUGUAAUACAUUCUAUUCAUUAAUAUAUAUUCAGCCGACAUCCAGUGUCAAUGUGUAAGGCAUAAAUAAAAUUUCAGAAACAAAUGAAAAAACGUAUAUAUGGAAGAACUGAAAGUAUCAAAUGUUUCUCUUUUCUCCAACACAUCAUCACAUACAGAAGGAAACAGAAAUGGAGCAAUAAGUCAAAGAAAUCCAGGUAAAAUAACCAUUUCAAAUGUAUAUAACAACUGAAUUAAGAGAACUUGUUAACUCAAUAAAAAAGAUGAUUCCUCAAAGAAAAGCAACUUAACAAAAUCUGUGAACAAUUUUAUAGGUAAGAGCGGGGCUAACUGGAAGAUAGGUUUCUAAAAGUAUCACUGAAAUUGUGUCAUGCUUAUAGCUAAUAUCAAGGGUUCAAAACUGGUCAUAUCACACACAAGCAAGAUGAUAAGAGAUAGAUUACUAACCAGAGAGGUAUCGGAGCCCACUGCUUCCAACUUCAGUAUCAGACAACUCUAGACUUUUGAGGAGUGAAAGGCCUGAAGAGCAAAUCACAAGAUAAACUAGGUCAUGAAAAUGUUUAAAGCAAACAGAGAUCCUCCCAACAUAACAGUUUAACUAGCAGCAAAAUGAAACAUGAUAUAGAAACCUAUCAAAUUAGCAAGGCCUUCAUCACCAAUUUUACAUGAAUCUAAAUUCAGGCUCUCCAACUUUGUUAAUCCUGCAAAGAAAGAUAUACCAUAUCAAACAAACUUAUCACCAUUUCAAAUAAACAAGAGACCGGAAUCAAAUGUAAAAUAAACCAAAGGAUCAAUGGUCUCAUUUAUUCAAAUUCUUAUCAACAAUAAACUGCAAACAAGCAUGAGUACAUAAGGGCAAGCAUAAAAAAAUAUGGAAUCAGAAUGAAAAUUGUCCACUCUUUGGACCAAAGGUUCUUUAUUUCACAGUAGAACUGCGAGAAAAUUAUUAGGACGAGUAUCUUUUUUGAUAGUCAACCAAUCACAUACAGAAAAUGAACCAGAAAUCAGUUAUCAUAGCAUUAUCAGACUUUUUAAACCUUCAGUGAUGCAUUGAAACCACUAUCUGUAAGUGAAGGUCGCCUCAGACAAUCUUUGUGUCAAAAUUAUUAACUAUCAUCUUGUGUUCUCAAGUGAACAGCAUAAUAUUUGUCAAAAUUGAAAGCAUGAGGUUGCAAAUAUCAUUAUUAUAGUUAGAUCAUAACUUUUUUCUGAAUAAAGUCUGAAAUGUAGGCCUAUCUGUGCACCAAUUAGAAGAAAUGAGGCUUUGGAUUUAGGGGUGACCAAAGCUUCUAGAGGUAGACCACGAAAAACAUGGAUGCAAGUAAUAAGAGAUGAUAUUAGACUUAAGGAAGUAGAUGAAAAGGCUGUUUUUUAUAGAAAUGAGUGGUGCAAGAAAAUUCAAAACUAUGACGUAACAUGAUUCCUUUUUUUUGGCCUUUCAUACAACCGACUUCAAAGUUGUGGGAUAUAAGGCUUAGUUUUUUGUUGUUGUUGUUGUAGGUCUGAAAUACAAAUCAAUAGCCACUAACUUUAACAAUAGUAAGGUCUUACAAUUGUCAUGAUUUAUGGAAAGCAACGGUGCAAUUCACUGAGCUAACCUAGUAAAAUUCAUUAACUUGCACUGCCGUCUAGAAGUUGUUCAAUGCAAAGAAAGAAUGCAAAUGGUCCACUCCCAGUAAAAGUUAAACUAACGGACCACAAUGCAGUAACAAAGGGGAAAGAGAGAGAACCUUUUAGGUGCGCUAAACAUGCAUCUGUUAUAUUGUCAAAUGGCAGGUUCAAUACCUUCAAAUUCUUAAGUCCUGCAAAUGAGUGGUAAAUACUGUAAAUAUUACUAACUAUACUUAGCCAUGCAAUCGUUCUAUGUGAUUAUUCAAUACAACAAAGGGCUAAAAAAAUAUCAACUACAACUCACCAGAAAACUUGUCACAUCCAUCAUCAGUUAGGCCACAUCUUCCAAGAUUUAAGUAUGCCAAAGCAACAAGAGCUGCAGAUAGAAUAAAUAAUUUCUUUAAUGAACUGAACAUGAUAUAUGUUCUCUGGUAUUUAAUUGAAUAAACUAUUCCAAUCCCAAUCCCUGCUUCAUAGGCAGGAAAAAAUUACAAGAUAAUUGCAUAACAUAUGAAAAUUAUUAUACUUCCAGGAAAUUGAGUAAUAGCUCAAUGUAUUCACUUUACCAAACUCCAUGAACUUGUUAACAAUUCAUUGUUUGUUGCAAUAUGGUAUAGUUGAUCUUCUACUGCAUGAUAAUGCUAGAGAGUUUAUCCUCGUCCACAUAAUCUCCAAACUAUAAGACAUUACAUCCGCUAACCAAUUUGCCACACAAACCACACAUGGUUACGUUUGAAGGUACAACCAAUUUCAAUGUAUAGCAGCAAGUAAUUGUACAAUUAUAGGUAUCACUGAAAAGGCUACUAAUAAGAAAAUGCACCUGAGAUGGAAUCCAAGCAUGCAGCGGUAAGUUUACAUCCUUCCAGAUCCAACAUGAUAAGCUUGCGCAAACCUGCCAUGGACAAUAAUAUUAACACAUAACAUAGGUUAAAGUUGUUAAAUUCUUGAGGUCAACUGGUCUUAUUAAGAAGAUAGAUUAUUAGUUCUAAUAAGUACGUAACUGACACAACAGCAAGGAAGAUUAAGAUUUCAUUACUAGGAGACGAUGAAGAUGAUGACAUAAAAGGGAAAAACUCUGUCAUUUAAGGUGUUUAGCUGUGACUUCUGGCUUUGUUUGGAGCAGUAAUAACCUUAUGUUUGGGUAAAAAGACUUAAAAGGUUUUAGAAUCUAUUUAUUGUUUUAGUUUCUCAGCCUAUCUCCAUGCUUCUGCCUAUCCAAAAACUUUUCACUAUAACGUUUUCAGUUUUCUUCUGAUUGUAUAUAACUAAAGUUAAAUGACCGCCUAUAUCUGUUUCAAACAGGUUUGGAAGAACUAUACCUGUCAGGUGUCAUCCUCUGGGAUUUGUUCAACGCGUGGACGGCUGACCCCUCAAUUUUACACUCAGAUGUCAGCUGCAGUGAAUGUCAGUUAUGGUUUGUAUCGCUAUGGUCCAUUCCUGGUUAAUUUGCAAGACUGCACUUUUGUGCGUGAUACAUUCACAGAUAUCAGUCAUGAUUAUUGUCCUGGUCUGUGGCGCUAUAGUCAAUGGAUCUACAUUGGAUUAGUAAUUGUAUCUGCUGCUGUGAUGCUGUCAUUGAUCUUCUGGGUAAUCUAUGCAAGAGAGAGAAGGCACCGUGUUUAUACUAAACGGUACGAUGCUAGAUCGGAAGGCCUAUACAAGGGUGGAUAGGACACCAAGUCCAAUUAGCAGGUUGUUAAUUUGCUUGUAUAUUUUGAGUAACAUAGCUAAAUUUUGUACAUUAUGUUUGUUAUCCCUAGGCUUGAAUCUUUGUGCAAUGCAGUCUAUAGCAAUGCACAAGGAAUGACUUUCUUUUCCAUGAACCUUGACCAUUUUCUCUAAGUGUAAUGCAUCUCUCUCAUGAAGAACAGAAAAUUCUUUUGUUUUGUUAAUGUCAAGCUUCACCGACGGGCUAUAAACCACUGGUUCAUGGCAUGCAUGAAAAUUUUAAUUUAGGUUCUUUUGCUUGAUAUUUUUGUUCAUUUUUUUUCAAAAAAUAAAUAACCAAAACAUCAAAUUAAAUGGAACUUAGCUCUUCAGCUGUUAAGCAAUAAGGAUUGAGGUUGCUUUGAACUGAGUGGCUAGGCUCAGUGUUAAGGCCCAAAGAGACCCAGAGUUUAGUUCAUUCCUAUGGUGCAAAAACACAGGCUAUCUUAUCUGAAAGAGUGAUGGGACUUCAUCUUUCGGCUUUAAGAGUUUGUCCCAUUUUUCAGGUGCCUAGGAGGAGCAUCUUGCCCCGUAGCAUCUGCCACUGUCGGAUUCAUGUUGGUUGGAGAGGAAAACUUGCUUGUAACAUUUCAAUUCAGGAAUAUGCUUGUAACUCUUGUUGCAAGUUGAUUUUGUAUAUAAAUAUGUGAAAGAUUUCCUAAUACAAAAGUUAUUAUCAUAUUUCAACUAAUGACAACACAACAAGAAACAUCACCAUUUGACCAUUUCAUGUAUUCAUUACAAUCCCUUUCUCGCAAUUAUUUUUGUAUAAAAAAAUUAAUUAAAUUAGCUACACCUAGAUUUCCAUAGGUUGACCUAAAUAAGCAAGUUUAUAAGGUGAAAUUAAUUAGGGGGUAAAAUUAAGUUAGAUCCUGUCAAAAAAAAAAAAAGUGGCAGUCGGCAAGUAACUUUAUGAUAUACUUAUCUAAUGGACUACAGAUAGAUUGUAUGCUUGCCUUCAAUCAACAUCAGUAAGAGAAAGUUUGAUCAACUGCCAUAUCACUUUCUAUACACACAACCCACCAUGUAACUCUUUCAGUGAAAAUAAAAGUUGGUUCUUUUACAAGCUAAUCCAUGAGGAAAAUAUUAUAGGAGGUGACAAUUUUUUUCCUAAUAUUAUUUCUAAAAAAUAUAAAAACUAAUUGUGUUUCAAAAUUAAUAAAUUUUAUUGAUAAAUUUGACUCGCAUCUCUUUUGGUUUUAACUUUUCUCACAUAAUAACCCAACCAUGUAACUCUUUGAGUUUUGGAUCAUGAUGAUCAUAAACAAGCACAAUGCAUACUUAAAAAAAAAAUAAAAAAGAAGAAGAAGAAGAGGAAGAAAGAGCAGAAUUCAGACUUUUCUUCCUCUCCUUAUGGGUUUGGGAUUGUCAAGGAUUCUGGUGUUCUGAUAUGGGUUUUUUUUAUAUGCAUGUAGGUUGUUUUAUCAAUGGCAGAAGACAUCAUAAAUUAAACCCAUAUCACCACAUCUUCUGAAAUCAUCCCUCCAUCCCAUGAAAGUGUUUUUGUGACAUUCAACAUAUUCCUUUGUAAAAUUGUCCCAAAACCAAAAUUGUCUAGAAAAGUUGGUAACGGGUCUUUAUCAGUGUGAUCAGGGUCCCUCCAUUUGCGGAUUUGAAUAUGACAAUUGUACAACGUGUCAAGUUUUAUAAAGGGGACGAUGAUGCAUGUUAUGCUGUUUGUUCUUGCUAGGUUGCUAAUGUCAUACAAGCUGUAUGCCUCUUGCCCCCACACAGCCGACCUCAAAGAUAAGCAAACAAUCUAAGUUUAACUCAAAUUUGAUACUAUUUCUGAAAUUAACAAUUUAAAUCCCUCUUUGAAAUUAGAUAUUGAGCAUGACAGAUAAGCAAUAAAAAACGAUUCAAUGAGAUGUUUUAUGUUCUUUCAAACUAUAAAAGCAGUGUCUUGUAUAAGAGUAAGACCCUUGACCUUCAUUCUAUCUAUGAGGCCAUAACCCUUUUUUCUUGUAGAGGUUAUGCAUAGAAUAUUGGUUUCUAUAUGCGUUUUACAAGGGUUUUCAGUUUGAUUUUAUCUGAAGAUUUCAAGCCAUUUCAGGGCUUCAAAAAUAUAAAUGAAAUAUUAAAUUGGAAUUGAUCAGUUUGAAAGGGCAUGAAUGAAACUGUAAGAAAGGAAGCCGUAACCGGCCUUUGUUAGGGUUCAAGCUCAAAUGUCCAUGGCACUGGACCACCAUAGCAAUUUUAGCUUUAGGACCUUUUUUUUGCCAAUUUUAGUUGUCAUUUUAAUAGUUGGAAAUUGGAAUAAAAAUGUCUCUCCUUCAUUGUCAUGCAUGUAUCUAGCAGUGACCAUUGAAUAGAGCCAAUAGAACUUGGUUAUAUCCAAUUGGUUCCAUACAUUGAAAAGGAAAAUUAAAUUAUUCGUCGGUGUAACGAUUGGUCUGUCCCUUCAAAUUUAUAUGAAAAACGAAAUGGUCUGAAUUGGUAUUGCACUUAACCAAUUGUCGACUGUUCUUAUUACCCAAAACACUAUAUAAGAUCAUGCCAUUAAUUAAAAACUAUGAAAGAAAAGGUUACCAAGGUAAUUUAAACAGGUUUUUUCAAAGCAAUAAAACCCCAAUUUUCGCCAACUUGCCAUUAGUUUGCCACACAAACAAGAGAAAUUAUCGACAUCUAGACCCCCACUUUCCGCUUGAUCAAAGCCUUUUUGAACCAUCCCAAUUUCUCAUGGCCUCAAACCCCCACAUGCCUAUGUUCCCCUACCACACAUCCAGGAUCCUUCAGGUGCAGCAUGCACAGGAAUUUCAACAAGCCACCCGGUUGGACAAGGGUGGUUCGUGUCUCACAAAGUCACUCGGAAUUAUCUGUGGUUACCAAAGCAAAUUCCAUCAAGACGUUUCUGCUUCAAAUCAUCAAGCCAUCGAGCCAUGACAUGCAAAGGAGAAGGAAUUUCCAGCCUAAGCCUUCCAGGUUCUGUUUAUUGAAUGGCAACAGAAACAGGCUUGGGGUUGCAGUUUCCUGAACAUACAUUGUGGUUUAGUUGCAAGAAUUGCCCUUGGUGCCUUUUCUUUUCUUUUUUUGGCUUCUUUGAUGGGUUCGAAGCUUAAUUUUGAAGUUAAAAGAUAAAAUGAAAUGUAAUUCAACUAUUUGAAUAUUUUUCAAAAAUUAUUCAAUUAAUUAAAUACUUUUUUAUACUGUCAAUUCAGGUUCAAUGUAUCAAAUUAACUUUUCUAUAAAUACUUAAACUUUAUUUUUAAUAAACUUAUUGUUUUACAUGAUAAUCUUCAAUUUGCAUAUUGUUGAAACAAUGUGUGAAAUACAGUAAAAUGCAAUUAACUCUCGUACAAAUAAAUUAUGGGUUUUUGAAAAUAUGAUCUAUCUCUAUUUUUUUGUUACAUUAAAUCUUUUCAAUCUCCACUCACGGCAAAUUGGUCCCACCCAAUCCCCAGCUGGUAAGAAAUCGUAUGCUUCAAACAAAGCUUGACUUUUGACCGGUGGAACGGGAAUCAAUCAAUAAAAACGGUUGGCUCUUGGCUUCGGAACCUGUGGGCUUCCACAACCAUGUGGAGCAUUUCAGUUGCCAAAUUUUUUAUUAUAAUUAUUCCAUGAAAAUAAACAAUUAUAAAUUUCAUCUAUUUAUGAAUUAUAAUUGAUAAUAAAUUAAUAUUUGUAAUAUGCUUUUAAUGUGAAAAAAAGAAUACAACCGACAAGUGAAUCAAAUUUAUUAAUUUUGGUUUUUGAAUGCGAAGUUUUCAAAAGCCGAAAAGUCCACACAACAAAUUGGAGGCCAUUGAGCCUAUAUUUCGUGGCAGCACAACUACCUUAACUGCCAUUUAUAAACAAAACAAAGGUCCAUUGCACAAUGGAGGAGUUGAUAUUAUACGGGAUUCAGACCAUUCCCCCAUUCAGGUUAUUUCAAGUGUUAAAGAAAAAAAAUAACUUUUAUUAUUUUUUUAAUAUAAAAGAAAUUGUAAUUUAAAAAUAAUAAAAAAAUUUGUAUGUAUUAAAAUUUUGAAUUUUAAAUUUAUUAGACAUAAUUUCUUAAGAAUAAUUAUAUGAAUAAAUUGAAUUAUAUUAAAUUCAAAUUCUAUUAUAUAUUAACAUUUUUUACAUUGUUGUCUUCAAUUUUUCCAAACUUUUUCUUUCUCAAUUGGACAAUAGAUUGUCGUGAAAAUAUUCAGAUAUUAACUGAACUUUCCCACUUUCUCUAGUUCAAUCCAAUAAUAAAAAUGGAAGGCUGAGGAAGAAUUCGAAACCAAAAGGGGUGGCAAACAAUAAGAAAAAAGACAAUGAUAUAUCUUGAAUAUGAGUUUGAUUGUCUACCUACUUGAUCACAUGAUCAUUAUUCAUUCAUGUGAGUAAGUUUUCCUAAGUGAUGAAUUCCAUAAGUGGAAAACAGCUUUGGUAAAAUUAAAAAACAAACAAAUCAAUGAUGUAAUCAAAGAUAACCAAAUAAAUAAUUAUAGACAUGACAAUUAAAGGUUGUACCAAAAAAAGGUUUAUGAUCAAAGCCAUCUUAAUCAGUACCUUCAAACUUGAUUAAUUAAUUUUAUUGAUUAAUAUAAUCAUAGUCUAUGACAUAAGAAUCUUCCAAUUUUAUUUAUAUUAUUCUAAACGCGUUUGACUUAAAAUUUUGGUAUUUGGAGGAGAAUAAUUGACAGGGAAUGGAAAUUAAACUAGAAAGGAAACUAAAGAGAGGGAGAAAGAGAGAGAGAGAGUUUGAGAUUGUUGAUCCAAUUUUUUUAAUUUUUUUUUAAAAAAUUACAAUCUAAAAAUGAAAUAAAUUUUUUUUUAAAAUUUGAAUUUUAAAUUUAUUGAAUAUUAUAUUUUAAAAAUAAUUAUAUAAAUAAAUUGAAUUAAAUUUAAACUCAUAAAUAAUUAAUCAUACAAUUUGUAAUUGGUUUUUGGGAGUUGAGAAGUUGAACCUAAAUCCAACUAAAUCUUUCCACGAUAAUGGAAUUAAAAUUGGUAUAACAAUCAAAUCAAAAUAUUCUAAAACUUAACAGAACAACAGUGUGGGUAACACGUCUUUGCAUGCCCCAAACAAUUUGAAUUACUUUGGUUUUGUUCGAUACUGACUUUGUCAAACCAACCUUUCCACAUGGCGUUCCGUGUCUUUCAUUGGAGUUUUGCAGAAAAGUUGAGAAUCUUCUGAGUAGGAAAUGAAUCAUUGAUCCGAAAUACCUAAAAUUGGCUUUGACAAAGUGCUUUCGGUGUGUGACCAAAAUAAUUAGGCUUGGCUGCCUUUUUCUCUUCCAUUUUCUAAUUUUCCUUUUUUUCAUCUUUGCUGAUUUGAAUAUCAGAACACUCUAAAUUCUUAUCUCUGACGCUCGCCGAUUAUUCUUUAUAAUAGAUCACUCCAACAUCUAAAUUAACCAUUUUGUUUGCUCCUUCAUAAAGCAUUCAAUCACCAAACUCAAAAAAUCAUCAACAACUAUGAUAAAAUGCAGUUGACAACUACUAAUUAAUUAGUAUUAAGAUAUAUAUAUAUAUAUUGAAUGAAAUUUAAAUAAAAAUAAUUAUAUAUCAUUAUAAUAAUAUAUAUCAUGAAUAAAAUCGAUCUUGAAUUUAAAAGAUCUUAUUCAAGACCUAAAUAAUAGGUAGGCAACUCAAACCAUGGUAACAUUUAAUUUCAAAUUAAAAUGUUGAGCCUCCUCAUUAUCUCCACCAUAGUUGAAGAAAGCCUUAUCAUUUGCAGUAAUUUUCAAGUUAUACUUGAUUACAAUUAGGUAAACAUCAUGUUAUGCACAGUUAAAUUAAAAUGCUAUCAAAUAUACCAUAUUGUAAUGUCUUUUUUUAUAUAAUUAGAUUGUUGAGCAUUAAAAUGACAAUAAAGUGGUCCAUUCUUUUAAAUGCAUUUUAAUUCAUUUUUAAAUGAAUAAAAUUACUUUAUAUUCAAAAACAAGUUAAAUAUUCUUAGCUAUUGCAAAUUCAUUUAAUUUUAUGAAAUAUUUUAUGCAUUAAAUAAUUUCCCAACCUUCUUUAUAUUUAUUAUAAAUUGUAAUUAAUCAAAAGGAAAAUAGAAAUAUCAUAAGAAAAGCAAAGGGAAACUAAGGAAAUAACAAUGACGUGUACAGCCGCAAAGAAUAACAAAUUCCACGGGUAUAAAAUAAAUAAAAAAAAGUUUAGGUGCACAAUCGCAAAACUAAGAACUAAAAGCCCGACUUUGAAAAUAUCGCGAAAUUUCCAAAACCCAGACGGCCAGACCCCUUCCCUCCCCCUAUAAAUACGUGGCUCGUGUAAAGCUAGGUUUGCCCAACUAAACAGCCACACGCGGCUUUUUAGAAAUUCAAAAAAAAAUUCUCAUACUUUCUUUCUCUCUCUUCUGCCAAAAAAAAAAAAAAAAACAAAUGGCGAAAUCUUCUAGAAAAUCGAGCGGUCCGGUUCUCCGAUCUCUCUCCCCUUCUGGCCGGUUCAGUUCUCACUACACGUCACAGUCCCCAUCAUCUUCUUCUUCGGCCUUCGCUUAUUCAAGUUCAAGCUUUUCUUCACGCUCCUCAACUUUCUUUAAUCAACACAGAUCUAUCUCUCCACCACGUGUCAAUCUCUACAACCACUCUCCAUCGGCGCCGUCCGUGCGAUUCUCGCUCGAUAACCGUCCGAUCUCGCCCAACCGUUCGAUUACUACCGUCCGUAGAAACAACAAGGUGUUGAAGAAUUUACAGAGUAAACAGCCGAAGCGGACUUGCAUGUGUUCCCCUACGACGCAUCCGGGAUCGUUCCGUUGCAGCCUUCAUAAGAGUUUUAAUAAUUCGCACGCGGUGACAAGUUGCGCGCCUAAUAAUCGGCUCAACGCGCGGAGGUCUGCUAUGACGAACUCGCUGGUGAGAAUCGGAGGAGUCGAAGGAGAUCUGGUUAAGAGAGCUUUGUCGGCUUUGAUUAGACCUUCCUCUCACCAGCAGCGUCGCCGCGCAGCGUUCCAGCCGAGGCCGAGUCGGCUCUCCGUGAUGUCAAAAGCCGAGGAUUAAUGAAGAUUCCUUUGCGGUGUGUGUAAUCUUUUAACGAUUUCUGGUUAAGUCUCCGAGAUUUUCCGGUGAUUGGAGAUCGAACUUUGGAGUCAAGCCGCGGAAGGUGGCGGUGAAGUCAGAUUGCGGCGAAGAAGUUGGAAAUCUGAACGAAGGAUUCGGGCCGGAAAUGAAUUUUAGUGUACUCCGGGUGACCGAAACCGUAAAAUCCGAGGAACAUAUUAUCAUAUAUUUUGUUGGUGUAAAUACACAUAUUUGCAGCCAAUGGCAAAUUUGAGGAGCUUUUGGACAAAAACAAAAACUCUUAAAAUCUCUUAAAAAUAUCUAAUCUAAUCAAAUUAACUCUAAUCUGACAAUCCCAGGCCAGAUCUCAGUGUUGAUUGGUUUCAAGUAUUAUUUCUUCCAUUUGUUUUGUUCUCCAAACACCAUUCCAUUCCAGCGCAGUUCUUUUUUCUUUUUGGUGUUCCGUUUGGUUUGACAUUUCCCGUUUUCCAUUUCAGCCGUUUCUUCUGUUUGAUCUUUUUCCACUUUUCCCGUUUUGACUCGUCCCGUUCUUUUUCUUUCUUCCACCUGUAUUUCUUUUUUUAAUAAAAAAUUUUUUUUCAUAAUUUUGUUUUGUCUUUUAAUUUAGGUUUUGAUUUACAGUUGAUAGUUUUAUUCUUAAUUUUCUUCUUUUUUCUUGUUUUACAGGUAUCGAAAAUGGAGAAGUUGUGGGAAAUUCACGUAACUGGAUUCUACUUAUACACACGCAAGGGAGAAGUAAACUGAACGAAAUUAGACCUUGAAGAUGACCUUACCGUCGGGGAAGAAAAUGAAACUAGUAAAUUAUCAACUUUAACUCAGUUGGACCAUCCCUAAAUUUGAUUGAAAUUAUGGUAAUAAUCGUACUAAUGGGGGAUUAAUAAAGGAUAAAGAAGGGAAAGGUGGUAAAUAAUAAUAUGAUUAAUUAAAGAAGAUAAGAAAACAGAAAUAUUUACGCUUAAAAAAUGAAACAAAGUUUUGAAGACAAAAAUUAUUUCACAAUAAUAAAGCGAAACUUAAAAAUUUUUCAGGUGUUGCUUGAGAGUUGCAAAUUAGCACAAAAAAUGACUACAAUUGCAAGAACUGGUCAAAGCCCACAGGAAUCCACAGCUUCGAUUUUGCCAUUUUCUUAUUUUUUUUAAAAGCACAACAGACACAAUUAUUUUGAAUAAUUAAAAAAAUUGACAAGCUAAAAGAUUAUUACACCCAAAUUAAAAUUUGUGUAUUGGUAAUCACAUCAUGACUCUCUUUUUUUUUUUUUCCUUUUAAUUUUUAAUCUAUCUUUAAAAUUUUUCCUAUCUAAUUACAAAGGUGGUUGAAUAAAAUAUUAUAUACUUAAAUUUAUUUAAAUUUAUAAUUUUUAAAUAUCAAUUUCAAUAAUAUAUUAAUUGAUCUAAAAAAUAAUAAAAUUUUUUUAUAAUUAAUUUUAGUAACUAGUCACUUUAUAAUUAAAUCUUCAAUAUUUUAUACUCUCUUUUUCUUUUAAUAGAAAUGAUCGUUCACUCAUUUCUUUUCUAUGAAAAAGAAUUUAAUCUAUCAAUUCAAAAAAUAUAUAUAUUUAAAAUUUUCCCGUACGUAUAGCUGUAAAUGCUGUUAACUUGGAUUAAUACUCCUAUCACGCAAACUUAAUUUCUCGCAAAUAAUGAAAUUUGUAAAUUAAAACUUUUUUUUUCUUUAUUUUGAUGGCUCCCAAUUCCCAAAUGGGUCCAGAAAACUGAAAGCCUUCAAAUUGUGAAAGGGAAAACGCUGGCCAACCCACAUACCAUAUGAAAGCUGUGAUGGCUUUGCAACAGCCUGCAUAUGGGACCAUUCAUAUCUACUUUGCAAAGAAAAUUUUUCCAAGUGAUCAUAGCAGUUUUUGGCCAGUUGAGAGGAGGUCCAUGUUGCCUGUCAGAUUCUCACCCAAAGCCAAAAAGAUGGAUCAAACUUCCCUGUGAUGUAAGCACCAUACAACCAAAUAUUGUUUCCCUUCGAUCUAAUCAUCAUCAUCAUCAUCAUCAAAUAUCUUAGAGAUCAUUUGACUCAGGAAUUGGUGUUUGUUUUACAACUUUCAGAUCAGAUGAGCUGAUGCUGAUGUACUAAAUUUUGCAAUUGUAGUUUACUAAUUUCGCACUUUCGAGUGGGCUCUUCAAUGUCAGUGAAAAUUUUUGAAGUACUUUUCAUUCUAUUUUUGAGGGUCAAGACAAUAAUUGACAAGCCCCAUGUGCAUGAACCAGCCACGAGGGAUUAUUGAUGACGAUGAUGGUAAUCGAUUCGAUCUGUUUUUUCCUUUUUUCUUUCAUGAUAGGAUAAGGAUGGAUUGGAGUUUUGAAAGGUUUUAAAAUUCUCUAUGCCAGUUCUUGUUUCAUAGUUCUUACAAAACAAUGAUGUGUAUGACAAUGAGUUGGCAAGUGGCGUUAAAGAAUUCAACAAUAUUGUUUGUCUCUUUGUGAAGAAACUGGUGUUUUUUAUGUUUCAAUCUUCUUAUCCAACCUGUGAAUUUGGUCAGUUCAGAUGACGUUGAAAGCAGGAAAACAAUUUUCAAAAAGAGUUUUCCUUGAUAUUUGUAGAUUUUCUUCAAAGGGCCCUACUGCUAAGGGAAAUAAUUUAAUUUGGUAUUCCCUCAAAAAUGGCAUCAAGAGGGUGGGUGAUGUCAUGGCUGGUUGUUAUUUCAAUGGAUAAGUUGCCACUCUUUCUAUCGUGCUUCUACUAGAAGAAAAAGAAAACGACAUGUUGGGAGCUCUUUGUCUAAUUCUGUAUUCCCUUUUUCAUUGAAUAUUUGGUUUUGUUAGAUCAUGCCUAACCUCAAAUAUAAUAUGAUAUAAUAUUAUUGGAUAUAUGGUAUUGAGGUCAUAUUGAUUCCAAAACACAAAAUGUCAUAAAAAGAAUUAUGGUACCAGUAGCAUACAUUUAGUGAUCUAUAACCGAAAAUCUCAUUCAUUUGCCUAAAAAAACACUAGGAAAAUGGCAUAUAUCUUCAUCAAUUUACUUAGAAUAAAUAAUUUGUUUAUUAGAUACUGCUUUUCUGAUUUUUUUUAUUCUAUAAAAGUAUUUAGAUAAUAGCUCCUUCAACUUGAAUUAUUAUGUAAAUUCAUAAAAGCUUUCAAAUACGGUAUUGUUCAUUACUCUUCCAAGCAAAUUCAUAAAAUUUGUUGUUCAUUAUCAUCAUUAAAUCCUUACCUCUUGUGAUUAGUUACUGGUAUCCUAAAUUCUCAGCAACUCUUGCAAACAUCUAAAAUUCCAAUUACCAUACCUGUUCCUUUAAGUCGUCCAUCUCCUAGUGCAAAAGGCCAAUGCUAUAAAACUCCUAAUCCCAAUUGUUUCUCAACUUUUAAGGAGGCUUUUCAACUUUUGUCAAGAAUUAGCAAACCUCUGAAUCCAUGCAAAACAAGCAAGGUGUAGCCUUUAAUUUUUGCUAUUGUUUUUAUUUAUUUAGUUAUUUAUUGUCUUGUGUAUUUGCCAGCAGGGUGGGGCCCUUUGUUUAUUACGAACAGACAGAGGGUUAUAUUUCUUUGUAUUUAUGGACAGGAAUUUAAAGAAUGUAGAUACCAUGGGCUACAAUGUUUAGUUAAAUUGAAUAAAAGAGGUUGGCAUUCAUUGCAACUUUGAAGGCACUGGCAGACAUAUGUUAAAGAAUUCGACUAAGCCAAAUCGACCACAUUGCAAUGAAAGAUGAAAAUAGUUUUAUUGUUUUAUAGCCGCUAGUUAACGUCUACACCCCAAAACAUUACUGUCAAGAUGCAUACAGUGUAAAAACACCUUACGAUAUUGAAGAUAUGGGUACCAUCCUUUCUAUCAGUUUAAUAUUCAUUUUCAGACCAUAGCUGAGCUGAGCUGAGCAUGUCCUGCUGAUGGAACUAUGAUAGUCAGUUCAUGAACUGGUUUCAUUUAGCACAAAAAGAUGCACACAUUGAAAUCGGCAAAGAAAUUCUAAGAAAGCUCACAGCUCACAAUCUAUAGAUUUUUUUUUUUCAUUGCAAGGCAUGAUGGUUGCCGAUAUGAAGGAUUUUACAACUAAUGAAGAUCCCAUGAAACCAGAAAGCUUAAAGCAUGUAUAUAGUUCUUGAAAGUUUAGAUUAGAUGAACUCGAAAAGAAUAUAGACUAUGGCAUGCGUGUUGAUCACAGAAAAACUGUCCCACACUACUUGAAUAUGCUAAUAUUGGACCUAAAAAGCAAUUGUUACCAGACACAAGGCUUGUCCCUAUUAUUGGUGAAAAUAUUUGAUCUCACCUUUCCAGACAAAACUAAGAAAGACGUAUGGUCAAGUCAAGUGGGCUUCAUGUCCUGAAACAGUGCUGCCCAUAUUGUAUGAUCACCGUAGUCCAAGCCUGCCUUUUCUUUGUUGUAGUCACCAUGAACCUUUGGGCUCGGUCGUCUUACAUAACUAAGAGGUCCAGGCAGUUUUGGGCUCCUAUUUGUGAACAUUAACCUCUUGUGCCGUGGCAAUAUCAAUAGGGCCUGUUGUUAUCGGCCACCUAUAAUUGAACACCAACUUCUCCUGCAUUUUUCUAGCUUGGGGCUGGGAUAAUUUUAUUCUCAUUUAACACUAAAUUUUGGACAAAUCCCUUACCUAAAGCUAUGAGCAGGCCUACAACUAUGGGAAUAGAUCAGACCUGAUCAUUCCCUUGAGCCCAACUUCCUUUGAGUUUGGUCAGCAGCUCAUUGCAAUUAUAAAAUUUAUAAUUUUUUAUUCAGGAGCUUAAAAAAUUUUCUUCUUUUUUGGAUAAAUCAGUAUAAAUUUUUUAAAAUUCUACUAAAUUUAUAAAAUUUACAAAAAAUUUAAAAAUAUUAUACAAAUUUUUUGUCAAGACGAAAUCUAAAUCGUUGAAGGAAGAAUAAACAUAUACUAUUUAUUGAUAAAAAACUCCACUAAUUUAUAUUCUUUUAAAAAAUAUACCUUUUAAUUAUACAUAGCUGAGAAAAAUAACAAAUUAUUAGUAUACCUAUUUCUCUUAGUAAUUAAGUUUUAAAAAAUGCAUAUUUAUCAAAUAUUUAACAAAAAAUAAACAAAUAUCAUCAUAUAAUGAAAUCAAUAAUUAAAUAAAGAAUAAAUUAUAUAUUCUUAUUCCCUUGCAUAACUGAUAGUUUUUUAGUUUGCAAAUAAUUUGUGUCAGUUGACGCUAAGUCAAAGUCUAUUGAUAGACUAUAAACCAUUCAUCAAGUAGAAGCAAGAAACACGGCAAACAAUGUAAUAAAGAUGACUUUUUGUUUAUUUGACUACUUCCACACCAAAUUUAUAUAUUCCAAGAAAGAGAGAGGAGGAAUCCACCAUCCUAUCAUGAGGUUGGCGUGUAAACCUAUCCAUACGUUCCAUGGUUGAUGCCAAAGUCAAGGUCUCCUAAAUAAUAAUACAGUUGCUAAACAAAAGUCUAGCAUCACCUAGUCAUGGCAAUGAAUAUACGUUCCAUCUUCCUCCCUAACUUGAUAUAGGUAGAAAAGUUACAAUGGGCCAUAAUGUCUCCCCUUAGUUGUGGAAAUAUUUAAUAUUGACAUGGAAUUUGACAAUAACCCUAGCAAGGUUAGCAAAUAAAAAAAAAAAAAACUAAAUAGAGGCAUUGCUUAGUAUGGGGAUAAAAAAUAAAAAAUAAGAUAAAAAUAAAAUAUAAAAAAUAUAUAUUUUAUUUUUAUCAAUGUGCUUUGUUAAAAAAAUGAAAAAGAAAGAAAAUGUAAUUUUUCAUGCAUUGUUUGGUAGAGUUAGAAAAUGGAAGAAAAAAAAUUAUGAUAUUAUUAUUAUAACCUUUUGUAAAAAAAUUUAAAUAUGAUGGAUAAUUUUAUAAAUAUGUAACACAUUAUUAUAGCCGAGAAAAAUAACAAAUUAUUAGUAUACCUAUUUCUCUUAGUAAUUAAGUUUUAAAAAAUGCAUAUUUAUCAAAUAUUUAACAAAAAAUAAGCAAAUAUCAUCAUAGCGAAAUCAAUAAUUAAAUAAAAAAUAAAUUAUAUAUUCUUAUUCCCUUGCAUAACUGAUAGCUUUUUAGUUUGCAAAUAAUUUGUGUCAGUUGACGCUAAGUCAAAGUCUUUUGAUAGACUGUAAACCAUUCAUCAAGUAGAAGCAAGAAACACGGCAAACAAUGUAAUAAAGAUAACUUUUUGUUUAUUUGACUACUUCCACACCAAAUUUAUAUCUUCCAGGAAAGAGAGAGAGGAGGAAUCCACCAUCCUAUCAUGAGGUUGGCGUGUAGACUGAUCCAUCGUUCUAUUUCAUAGUUGAUGCCAAAGUCAAGGUCUCCUAAAUAAUAAUACAGUUGCUAAACAAAAGUCUAGACAUCAACUAGUCAUGACAAUGAAUUAAUAUAUGUAAUAUCUUCCUCCCUAACUUGAUAUAGGUAGAAAAGCUACAAUGGGCCAUCAUGUCUCCCUUUAGUUGUGGAAAUAUUUAAUAUUGACAUGAAAUUUGGCAAUAACCCUAGCAAGGUUGGCAAACAAAAAAAAAUUACUAAAUAGAGGCCUUGCUUAGUAUGGGAAUAGAAAAAUAAAAAGAUAAAAAAUUGAAAGAAAAAAUUGAAAAGAUAAAAAAUAUAUAUUUUAUUUUUAUUGAUGAGCUUGGUUAAAAAAAUGAAAAAGAAAGAAAAUAUAAUUUUUUUCAUUCAUUGUUUGGUAGAGUUAGAAAAUGAAAGAAAAAAAAUAUGAUUUUAUUAUUAUAACAUUUUGUAAAAAAAUCUAAAUAUGACGGAUAAUUUUAUAAAUAUGUAACACAUGCUCAUACCUCUUCUAUUUUCUUUCAUCUUUUCUUUUACAUUUGGAGUGAUUUAUUUGUAUUAAUAAGUGUGAAAAAUAAUAAUCUUUUUUUUUAUUUUUCUUUUUUACCAAACAUAGCGAAAAUUUAUUUUUUUUCCACUUUUUCACCUUGUUUUAUUCAUCUUUUCACUUUUUUUACUAUGGAAUACAUCCUAAAAUUGUUUUAGCAACAAAAAAAAAAUGAAGCUGUUAAAAAGGAAACUAAAGUAUUCUAAAAAUUAAAUUAAAAAACAAAACAAAAGUUUUAAUAAGGAUUUACAAAGAAAAAAAAAAGUAAGCACUAAUUUUUGUUAGCAGUGUCACUACAAGUCAUUAAUGAUGUUAUAAUUAAGAUGGAGUGUUUAUUAUAAUUGUCAGAGUCUGUGCUUACUUUUCCACAAAGAAAAUUUGUAGGAAACUUCAUGCAAUGUGUUUUCUUGGUGCUAUGGAAUUUGACAAGUACGUCAAGACUGAGUGUGCCAUUUUCAAUGAAUUUUUAGGAAACAAGGCUGUAUCUUUUCAAGUGACUUUUUAGUAUAUAAACCCCAUGGAUAUAGUGAUGCCAAAUGCAUAGAAGCAUAGUUAAUAUUAAGUUUUUUUAGAGUGCAUUAAUUAAUUGAGAUGGAGUGGAAAUGGUUAUGGGUGGUUUUGGUAGCAUUCCUAUUAGGAAGGUGUUGUGAAUGUGAAAGGUGCUGGGAGCAAGAAAAAAUUGCUCUUUUGCAACUCAAACCUUUCUUUACUCAUAUUGAAGAUGUAAAAAAUUAUUGGGUGGAUGAGGGAAAACAGAGUUCAGAUUGUUGUCAGUGGAAAAGGGUUGAGUGCAACACCUCCACUGGACGAGUGAUCCGACUCUUCCUUAAUCUUACAACUACUGCAGUCUAUGGUGAUUUAGUUUAUAAUUAUUAUUUGGAAGAGUACGAUUGGAGUGGGAGAGAUUCUUGGUAUCUCAAUGCCUCUUUGUUUCUUCCUUUUGAGGAAUUGAAGAGUCUUUAUUUGGGUGGCAAUUCUAUUGCUAGUUGUGUUGACAAUCAAGGUUAAUUCAUAUUCACCUAAUUACUAACUGCUACUUCAAUAAGUAUUUUGCAUUUGAAAAUUCAUUUUUAUUGAUUACCAGUUUUGUUCAUCUUAUCUAAAUAUUUUUUAUUUCAGUUUUUUCGAAAAGUCACUAAAUGCUACAUUUUUCCUUGUAGGUUUUGAAAGGCUGUCACUGAAAUUGGACAAACUAGAGAUCCUUGACUUAAGUGUUAAUCAAUUCAAUGAUAGCAUUUUAGCAUCUUUAAGCGAACUUUCAUCACUCAAGUCUUUAAAUCUAGCAGAAAACCAAUUCACUGGGUCAAAUCCUAUAGAGGGUAAUGUUAAUAUUCUGUUAUAUAUAAAAAUCAAGUUAAAGUAAAUAACGUUUGUUUCGUAAUUGAAAUAUAUAUAUUUAUAAAAUAGUGAUUAUUUACUAAAAUUUUGUAAAAUUAUUGGAAACAGGUAUGAAGAGGUUAUCAAAAUUGAACAAGUUAGAGACUCUGGAUUUAUAUGGCAAUGUAUUAGGAAACAACAUCCUAUCACAUCUAGAUGAUUUUACAUCUUUAAAAUCUUUGCGUUUGCAGAAUUGCGGAUUAAAAGGAACUGUUAAUUUGCGAGGUAGGGUUGUUUUAAAAAUCUCAUGGUUUUAAAAAGGAAUAACUAGAUUGAUAUAUAUUUGAUUUGAUUUGAACAGAAUUCAAUAAUUUGACAAACUUAAAGGAGUUGUAUUUAGACCAAAAUCAAAUUGAGAGUCUCGGAUCUUUAUUCAAAGUGUAAGUCAACAUAUACUGAAUUUGAAUAAUAAAUAUAUAUAAUAAUUAGAUUUCUUUUAAGAUGAAAUUAUGUUACUAAUCUUUCACAGAAUGAACAAUUGAGGUUGAUCAAACUUGAGGUGCUUGGUUUAAGUGAAAAUCUCCUUCAACAACAGCAUAUUCUUAUCUCUUGCUAUGCUCUCAAAUUUGAAGUCUUUGUAUAUAGAAAGUAACAAAUUGGAUGGGCCGAUACANNNNNNNNNNNNNNNNNNNNNNNNNNNNNNNNNNNNNNNNNNNNNNNNNNNNNNNNNNNNNNNNNNNNNNNNNNNNNNNNNNNNNNNNNNNNNNNNNNNNNNNNNNNNNNNNNNNNNNNNNNNNNNNNNNNNNNNNNNNNNNNNNNNNNNNNNNNNNNNNNNNNNNNNNNNNNNNNNNNNNNNNNNNNNNNNNNNNNNNNNNNNNNNNNNNNNNNNNNNNNNNNNNNNNNNNNNNNNNNNNNNNNNNNNNNNNNNNNNNNNNNNNNNNNNNNNNNNNNNNNNNNNNNNNNNNNNNNNNNNNNNNNNNNNNNNNNNNNNNNNNNNNNNNNNNNNNNNNNNNNNNNNNNNNNNNNNNNNNNNNNNNNNNNNNNNNNNNNNNNNNNNNNNNNNNNNNNNNNNNNNNNNNNNNNNNNNNNNNNNNNNNNNNNNNNNNNNNNNNNNNNNNNNNNNNNNNNNNNNNNNNNNNNNNNNNNNNNNNNNNNNNNNNNNNNNNNNNNNNNNNNNNNNNNNNNNNNNNNNNNNNNNNNNNNNNNNNNNNNNNNNNNNNNNNNNNNNNNNNNNNNNNNNNNNNNNNNNNNNNNNNNNNNNNNNNNNNNNNNNNNNNNNNNNNNNNNNNNNNNNNNNNNNNNNNNNNNNNNNNNNNNNNNNNNNNNNNNNNNNNNNNNNNNNNNNNNNNNNNNNNNNNNNNNNNNNNNNNNNNNNNNNNNNNNNNNNNNNNNNNNNNNNNNNNNNNNNNNNNNNNNNNNNNNNNNNNNNNNNNNNNNNNNNNNNNNNNNNNNNNNNNNNNNNNNNNNNNNNNNNNNNNNNNNNNNNNNNNNNNNNNNNNNNNNNNNNNNNNNNNNNNNNNNNNNNNNNNNNNNNNNNNNNNNNNNNNNNNNNNNNNNNNNNNNNNNNNNNNNNNNNNNNNNNNNNNNNNNNNNNNNNNNNNNNNNNNNNNNNNNNNNNNNNNNNNNNNNNNNNNNNNNNNNNNNNNNNNNNNNNNNNNNNNNNNNNNNNNNNNGGAAAAAUGGGACAAACUCUUAAAGCCGAAAGAUGAAGUCCCAUCACUCUUUCAGAUAAGAUAGCCUGUGUUUUUGCACCAUAGGAAUGAACUAAACUCUGGGUCUCUUUGGGCCUUAACACUGAGCCUAGCCACUCAGUUCAAAGCAACCUCAAUCCUUAUUGCUUAACAGCUGAAGAGCUAAGUUCCAUUUAAUUUGAUGUUUUGGUUAUUUAUUUUUUGAAAAAAAAUGAACAAAAAUAUCAAGCAAAAGAACCUAAAUUAAAAUUUUCAUGCAUGCCAUGAACCAGUGGUUUAUAACCCGUCGGUGAAGCUUGACAUUAACAAAACAAAAGAAUUUUCUGUUCUUCAUGAGAGAGAUGCAUUACACUUAGAGAAAAUGGUCAAGGUGAAAAGAAAGUCAUUCCUUGUGCAUUGCUAUAGACUGCAUUGCACAAAGAUUCAAGCCUAGGGAUAACAAACAUAAUGUACAAAAUUUAGCUAUGUUACUCAAAAUAUACAAGCAAAUUAACAACCUGCUAAUUGGACUUGGUGUCCUAUCCACCCUUGUAUAGGCCUUCCGAUCUAGCAUCGUACCGUUUAGUAUAAACACGGUGCCUUCUCUCUCUUGCAUAGAUUACCCAGAAGAUCAAUGACAGCAUCACAGCAGCAGAUACAAUUACUAAUCCAAUGUAGAUCCAUUGACUAUAGCGCCACAGACCAGGACAAUAAUCAUGACUGAUAUCUGUGAAUGUAUCACGCACAAAAGUGCAGUCUUGCAAAUUAACCAGGAAUGGACCAUAGCGAUACAAACCAUUACUGACAUUCACUGCAGCUGACAUCUGAGUGUAAAAUUGAGGGGUCAGCCGUCCACGCGUUGAACAAAUCCCAGAGGAUGACACCUGACAGGUAUAGUUCUUCCAAACCUGUUUGAAACAGAUAUAGGCGGUCAUUUAACUUUAGUUAUAAACAUUCAGAAGAAAACUGAAAACGUUAUAGUGAAAAGUUUUUGGAUAGGCAGAAGCAUGGAGAUAGGCUGAGAAACUAAAACAAUAAAUAGAUUCUAAAACUUUUAAGUCUUUUUACCCAAACAUAAGGUUAUUACUGCUCCAAACAAAGCCAGAAGUCACAGCUAAACACCUUAAAUGACAGAGUUUUUCCCUUUUAUGUCAUCAUCUUCAUCGUCUCCUAGUAAUGAAAUCUUAAUCUUCCUUGCUGUUCUGUCAGUUUACGUACUUAUUAGAACUAAUAAUCUAUCUUCUAAUAAGACCAGUUGACCUCAAGAAUUUAACAACUUUAACCUAUGUUAUGUGUUAAUAUUAUUGUCCAUGGCAGGUUUGCGCAAGCUUAUCAUGUUGGAUCUGGAAGGAUGUAAACUUACCGCUGCGUGCUUGGAUCCAUCUCAGGUGCAUUUUCUUAUUAGUAGCCUUUUCAGUGAUACCUAUAAUUGUACAAUUACUUGCUGCUAUACAUUGAAAUUGGUUGUACCUUCAAACGUAACCAUGUGUGGUUUGUGUGGCAAAUUGGUUAGCGGAUGUAAUGUCUUAUAGUUUGGAGAUUAUUGUUGGACGAGGAUAAACUCUCUAGCAUUAUCAUGCAGUAGAAGAUCAACUAUACCAUUAUGCAACAAACAAUGAAUUGUUAACAAGUCAUGGAGUUUGUAAAGUGAAUACAUUGAGCUAUUACUGAAUUUCCUGGAAGUAUAAUAAUUUUCAUAUGUUAUGCAAUUAUCUUGUAAUUUUUUCCUGCCUAUGAAGCAGGGAUUGGGAUUGGAAUAGUUUAUUCAAUUAGAUACCAGAGAACAUAUAUCAUGUUCAGUUCAUUAAAGAAAUUAUUUAUUCUAUCUGCAGCUCUUGUUGCUUUGGCAUACUUAAAUCUUGGAAGAUGUGGCCUAACUGAUGAUGGAUGUGACAAGUUUUCUGGUGAGUUGUAGUUGAUAUCUUUUAGCCCUUUGUUGUAUUGAAUAAUCACAUAGAACGAUUGCAUGGCUAAGUAUAGUUAGUAAUGUUUACAGUAUUUACCACUCAUUUGCAGACUUAAGAAUUUGAAGGUAUUGAACCUGCCAUUUGACAUAUAACAGAUGCAUGUUUUAGCGCACCUAAAAGGUUCUCUCUCUUUCCCCUUUGUUACUGCAUUGUGGUCCGUUGGUUAACUUUUACUGGGAGUGGACCAUUUGCAUUCUUUCUUUGCAUUGAACAACUUCUAGAGGGCAGUGCAAGUUAAUGAAUUUUACUAGGUUAGCUCAGUGAAUUGCACCGUUGCUUUCCAUAAAUCAUGACAAUUGUAAGACCUUACUAUUGUUAAAGUUAGUGGCUAUUGAUUUGUAUUUCAGACCUACAACAACAACAACAAAAAACUAAGCCUUAUAUCCCACAACUUUGAAGUCGGUUGUAUGAAAGGCCAAAAAAAAGGAAUCAUGUUACGUCAUAGUUUUGAAUUUUCUUGCACCACUCAUUUCUAUAAAAAACAGCCUUUUCAUCUACUUCCUUAAGUCUAAUAUCAUCUCUUAUUACUUGCAUCCAUGUCUUUCGUGGUCUACCUCUAGAAGCUUUGGUCACCCCCAAAUCCAAAAGCUCAUUUCUUCUAAUUGGUGCACAGAUAGGCCUACAUUUCAGACUUUAUUCAGAAAAAAGUUAUGAUCUAACUAUAAUAAUGAUAUUUGCAACCUCAUGCUUUCAAUUUUGACAAAUAUUAUGCUGUUCACUUGAGAACACAAGAUGAUAGUUAAUAAUUUUGACACAAAGAUUGUCUGAGGCGACCUUCACUUACAGAUAGUGGUUUCAAUGCAUCACUGAAGGUUUAAAAAGUCUGAUAAUGCUAUGAUAACUGAUUUCUGGUUCAUUUUCUGUAUGUGAUUGGUUGACUAUCAAAAAAGAUACUCGUCCUAAUAAUUUUUCUUGCAGUUCUACUGUGAAAUAAAGAACCUUUGGUCCAAAGAGUGGACAAUUUUCAUUCUGAUUCCAUAUUUUUUUAUGCUUGCCCUUAUGUACUCAUGCUUGUUUGCAGUUUAUUGUUGAUAAGAAUUUGAAUAAAUGAGACCAUUGAUCCUUUGGUUUAUUUUACAUUUGAUUCUGGUCUCUUGUUUAUUUGAAAUGGUGAUAAGUUUGUUUGAUAUGGUAUAUCUUUCUUUGCAGGAUUAACAAAGUUGGAGAGCCUGAAUAUAGAUUCAUGUAAAAUUGGUGAUGAAGGCCUUGCUAAUUUGAUAGGUUUCUAUAUCAUGUUUCAUUUUGCUGCUAGUUAAACUGUUAUGUUGGGAGGAUCUCUGUUUGCUUUAAACAUUUUCAUGACCUAGUUUAUCUUGUGAUUUGCUCUUCAGGCCUUUCACUCCUCAAAAGUCUAGAGUUGUCUGAUACUGAAGUUGGAAGCAGUGGGCUCCGAUACCUCUCUGGUUAGUAAUCUAUCUCUUAUCAUCUUGCUUGUGUGUGAUAUGACCCUUGAUAUUAGCUAUAAGCAUGACACAAUUUCAGUGAUACUUUUAGAAACCUAUCUUCCGGUUAGCCCCGCUCUUACCUAUAAAAUUGUUCACAGAUUUUGUUAAGUUGCUUUUCUUUGAGGAAUCAUCUUUUUUAUUGAGUUAACAAGAUAUACAUUUGAAAUGGUUCUUUUACUUGGAUUUCUUUGACUUAUUGCUCCAUUUCUGUUUCCUUCUGUAUAUGAUGAUGUGUUGGAGAAAAGAGAAACAUUUGAUACUUUCGGUUCUUCCAUAUAUACGUUUUUUCAUUUGUUUCUGAAAUUUUAUUUAUGCCUUACACAUUGACACUGGAUGUCAGCUGAAUAUAUGUUAAUGAAUAGAAUGUAUUACAGAAUUCACGGCAAUCAUAUUGUUAUAGUGUUUGCUUCAUCAAUGACCUAACAAGGCAAAGCAACAAAUCUUUAAGAUUAGGGUUGUGGUGUUAUAAACCAUCUAUUAUGAUCCUUGCUCUUUUCCACAUGGUUCUUUAUUAAAUUAUAUGUUCUUGGUUUCAAUUUUUUCUGAAAUUUUCAGUGCAUUAUAAUGUUAAAUGCAUGAUGCUGACUUGGUUCUGUUAUAUUAGGAUUGACACAUCUGGAGACCUUGAAUUUAUCAUUCAGUUUAGUGACUGAUAGUGGUUUACAAAAGUUGUCUGGAUUUACUGCUCUUAAGUCACUUAAUCUGGAUGCUUGCCAAAUUACAGAUGCGGGGCUGUUGGCUCUGACAAGUUAGUACUUUCACUUAUUUCUUUGUAACAUUCUUCUAACUUUGUGCAUCUAAGUUGGAGACAUUCUGGUGUGCCUUUGAUCCUAUUUAUGGCUUUUUGAAAUCUUAUGGUUGUAUCUUUUGGUUGAAGUCUCUUUGCUGUCUUUGUGGAGUGAAGAAAUUUGGAGCUAUAUUUUUCCUUGAUUUUUUUGUUUUACAAGGUGACCACUGUGAAAUGUAGGUUGUCGACCCCUUUUUCCUUGCCUUAGAUUGUUACCGGAUAGCCAGGUUUGGAGUCAUAAAUUUUGCUGAGCUUUCAGCUAUGAAUGUUUCCUUAUAUAAAAACAUUGUGUCUCUAGAUGGAGAAAUCUUUGAAAGCAAAUAAAUAAUUUUUGAACAGAUCAGAGAACUCUGAUUCAUUAUUGACAUUACAUGAAAGUAAAUAAAUAAUAACUUAAAAAUCCAUGGACUGGAUCAUUCAUUUUUUGUGUUAAGAUGGCAAAUUUCUUACCUUAUUUUCAUCCGUGGCUAUUGGUGUAUAGCUGUAUAUUGAAACCUGUUUCAUAAUGUUAUUCACCACUCAGGUCUAGUGUAUUCUUCCGUUUUAAGAAUCUUAUAUCAAUUAUUGCUGCACCAAGAUGUCUGUAGUGACAUAAUUCAUUUUCCAAAAGCUAAGUCUAAGUGGGCACCAAAUUGCUGCUCCAUUGUCAAUAUUUUAUUCACACUUCUCUAUCUUUCUUCAUUGUGUAAUGUUUUAAGGAUGUAUGAAGUCAUCACAUUUCUGAUUUUGCUGAUGCAGGUUUGACUGGACUGAUGCAUCUGGAUCUUUUUGGGGCUAGGAUUUCGGACACUGGAACAAAUUAUUUGCGAUGUAUGUCAAAAAUAUUGACAUUGCUUAAAUAAUUAAAAUUGCAAGUUGCUUAAUGGACCAUUUUUCUUGUUUGAAAAACUUGAAUCUAUCAUUUUGUCAUAUUCAAGUUUUAUUAUAGCUUUUAACCUUUGAUGUUUUCUUUUUGUUUGUUUGAAAAACUUGAUUGUUUUGGUUUGCUCUUUGCCUUGAAGACUGGAUAGUUUGGACAUACAUACUUGAGGAAGUUCAGGAGUAACUUUGAGAAAUAUAAGGUCCUUUUAGUUGAUUUAUUGAGGUGUAUUUAUAUCUCCAAUGGUAGGAUAAUCGGUAGGCUCAUGAGAACUUUUAGAAUCAUGUUUAUUAAAAGGUUGUUAUGGUCUUCAUCAAUAGGCCUAAUAUUGAGUUUGGCAUAAUCUCAUUUUCAUUGUAAACUUUUCUCAAGAAUUUUGUUUUACAUGUUCUAAUUUUGUGUUAAAUGUUCUUGCACCUGCUUGUUUUCAUGUUAAACAGGCUUCAAGAACCUCCAAUCCCUUGAAAUAUGUGGAGGUGGUUUAACUGAUGCUGGGGUGAAAAAUAUCAAAGAUCUUUCCUCUUUAACGCUAUUGAACCUUUCACAAAACUGCAACCUGACAAACAAAUCCUUGGAACUGAUUUCAGGUAAGUUUUGCUUUUAUUCCUCAUGGUUUUAUUGUGUUUGUUUAGCUUCUUUUUUUUCUCCUUUUUUGGCCAUUGUUAGUGCAAUUCUUGAAUAGAACAAACCUUGCUAUGCUUGUAUAGAAAAUGAUACAGAGACAUAUAUAAAUAAGACAGCUACUUGUAUCUCUAGUGUCAGAUUAUCUCAUCUGGCAAUUGUCCCGCUUGGCAUUCUGCUGCAGGACCAGUGAUUUGCAGUACUUUUGCUACUGUCUAGUAACUUGGUCAUGUAUGAUUAGUUGGUCCAAGAAAUGUCUAAACACGCAAAGAUGAACGGGCAGUCAGUAAAACUGGUGAAUUGAGAGCUUAUUUGGGGCCUUCUAAUAGUGGCUUCUGAAUGUGAAAGUAUUCUAGUCCAUGGCUUCCAUCUGUCUGUGCUCUGAUAAAGUCAGUGAGAUCUUCUAAUCAUGGAUUUUCAUUUUCUGGUGUAAAUGCAGGCCUGACCGCAUUGGUGUCGUUAAAUGUUUCAAAUUCUUACAUAACUAAUGAUGGUUUGCUGUAUUUAAAGCCUCUAAAGAAUUUACGGUCGCUAUCUUUGGAAUCCUGCAAGGUAACUGCCUCUGAAAUUAAGAAGCUCCAGUCAACUGCCCUUCCCAAUCUUGUCAGCUUUCGACCAGAAUAAUAUUGCUGGGGCAACUGCAACCUAUGCUGUAAAUAGCUGCUAUCACCUGGAGAUAGCUCUCUCAACAAUUCAAUAAAUAUAUGUUAAAACGUGAAAGGCUGCCUUACUAAUGGGGUCAGGGUAAUUGUGCUAAUUAUAUGGACAGUCAAUGACAGGUGAUUGAAAAUAUGUUUGGCUGCUGAAUUUGACAUUACCUCUUUUCUUGUUUCAAAAACAAACAAAUUUUGUACAUAUAAAUUUUAUGUUAAUUAACUAUUUUCUGCACAUUGUCUUCCAAGUUUUCAUCUGGAGAUUCAAAACAGAAGGCAAAAACCAGAGGGGAAGAGGUUUGACUGUGAGUUGCACUCAAUCUGAGUAACUUGUUUCAGGGUAUGGUCUCAAUCACAAGCAUGUAAGCAGAAUUACAUGUUUGAAUGUUUGAUGAAAUGGAAGCAAAAGCUGAAAAUAAAUCCUCAAUCCUCAAUAACAUAUAGUACAACGAGAGAGUCUAUGUUCCUCAAUCCAGUGCAAAAAUCUAUUUCUUCAAAACUAGAAAUCAAAAUGAGAAACUUGCAGCUAGAAAUAACAAAUCAAUCAGGUAAGCAACAGCAAUCUCUAAAUUAUUUGCAACUAAAUAAUAAAUUCAGCUUGUAUAUCAAUCAGGUAAAAAAUAAUAAACCUAGUGUUGUAAUAGAAUGAAGCAAACAUUAGAUGUCAAUUGUCUUCCAGUAGCCUGAGAUUGAUGCCUACUUCAAAUCUUGGGCUUUUUACCUGGCAAUAUGAUGAAUUUACCAUGCUUACAGUAAAUUUUUUUGUGAUAAGUUUUUCAGUUUAUCACAGGGUAAAAGAACAAAAAAAAAACAGUAAUAAUUAAGGAUUUGGUUUUGCCAAGGAAAAUUAAUUACCGGACGUGGACCAUAAUAUGAGGCUUCAACCUUAUCUGGAGUAACAAAAAUUUCAUGUCAAAGUGCGACGAAUGGACCAAGGAUCAGUUUCAUCAGAACUGCUUAAACCAUAGGGUUUAAUUUGAGCUUAUUGGGCCUCAAGCCCAACCAAAAAACUUUAGGGCUCUAACGGGUAAUACGCGGAGUAUUUAUGCUGUCUAUAUAUAUCGGAUCCAGAUUCAAAAUUUGAAACCCAAGACGAUUAAUUUUUACUGUUUUUAUUUUCUUCGUAUUUCUUUCUUUUGUCAUUCCUCAAAAAAAAAACUCCUUUUUGUGUUUUUUUAUCCUAAGCAAACUCUCCAACAGAUUUCGCUUUCUUCUUAGGCUGAUAGUGAUAGUCUCAGAUUUGGCAACAGCUUCAGCACUACUCUGAGUUCCCUGAUUUCAACAACUAUCUCGUUUUUAUCCCUUCUCGAGCUGAGCUUUGCUUCUUUUCCUCUCUCCGUUUGUUUUCUCAGUAACUAGUUUAGUAGAGUUUUCUUUUCCGGAUUUCGUUUUUUUUUUUUUUUUUUGAGGAAAAGGAUUUUGGGUAUUGAUUUGAUUGUACGGUUUUUAUUUCUUUAAUGAAAUUUCUUUUUAUUGGAUUGUGUUUCUCUAUAGAAUAUUUGAAUUUGGUGACUAUAGGUUUAAUAAUUCUGUAAUAGAAUUUGCAAAGAUUGUAUAUUUAUUGGAUUAACAGCAUUUUGGGUAUUGUUAGUGGUGAAUUUCUGCUGGCCUACCUAUUUGCUAGUGGUGAACAAGCCUCGAAAGAUAGGGAAGCUGCUGUUUUGGCUCUUGGUGCAACUGGUGAAGGUUGCGUUACUGGUCUUUAUUCUCAUUUGUCCGAGGUAAUUCUUGUUGUUUUUAACCGGUACACAAAGUUUAGAGGCAGAUUACAAGGUGAAGAAUAAAUGGUGCAUAUAUAACAGUCAUCGGUUUUCCUUAACUCAAUUUAUGCUCUUAAAUUUUUUAUUUUUGCUAUUGUAUUGCUUUUACUUUAUUCUUCUUUGACAUGCUUGCCGCAGAAUUUGAAAAAAAAAAAGUCAAAUUUAUGUCUGCAUAUUGUGGCAUUUCUAUGUCCCCUUUUAGAUCAUGCGGAAGAAUUCUUCUUGGACACUUUCUCGAUUCAGUUCAGGUGUGGAUUAAAAUUGCUCCAUUGGUUGUUUCUCCUCAUGCCUAUUUUCCUUCUGUUUGAUGCUGUUUGGCUGUUAAUAUAUUUUUUUAAUCUAAUAAAUAUAUAUAACCACCAUGACCAUUUUUGCAUCUUAUGCCUUUUAUUUUCUGUUUUUGGCACGUAGCACUCCUAAAGUACUUUUUGUUGUUUUGUCCAUGCAUUGGAUUUUGUAGUUGAGAGCUUUCGUGUUUCCUUUAUAUCAGUCUAGUGGGCAUCAGAAAGGCUAUGAGCAAUUUGAUGCUGUAUGGGUAUGCUGCGAAGAAUAUUGGAUGCUAACAAGUGGGUAAAAGAGGCUGUUUAACCGGCUUUUGCAAUGCUUGAAGAGGUUAUUAUAAACUUGCUGCACGUUGUAAUUCAGGUUAAAUUCUUAUAGAUUUCAACAAUUGUUUUAUUCAUUUGAGGCUGCUGAAGAGGUUGCACCAAGUUUGGAAAUAAUUGUGUACACUAGCUUAUGCGCGUGCUUUUGUCUAACAUCAGGUUUUUUUGGCUGGCCUUUACAUUAUAAUAAGCUCCUUUUACUGUUGCAAUUAUGACUUAUGAAAGCCUAUUACUAUAUUUUUUAUUUUGUAUGCUGCUUUAUCAAAAUAUAAGUUGCUAAUAUCUCAAAAAAAAAAAAAAAAGUUGCUAAUUAUGUUUCUUUUCUAUAUGCAGUUUUUUGAGUUGCUUCUCUGAGAAAGCUUUAAUUGGGUUCAUUAAGUUUUAUAUUCUUACUUUUAAUGGAUGUCAUUCUGAUACUUUUUGAUGUUAUACAUUAAUUUAUUGAAGGCUUGGUGUACAUCCUUGGAUAAACACCUUCCAGGUUUGUUUGUCCUUGCUUAUGACCUUGCAGCAGAAGUGCUGAAAUUGGUCAAUAGUUUCUUGUUUUCUUCUUGUACUCUUGUUUUUUAUUAUAAUUCUGUUGUUUGCUUGGAAUACUCAAAUCUGCUGUAAGUAUUUCCUAAUUUUGCUUAUAAUUUACUGUAACUUCAAGUCUAUAAAAGCUUGGUAUGAAUCAUUUUUCAUUUCUGACUUUCCAGUUUCAGCAUUGAUUUAGAAGAUGUAGUAUUGGAAUUAGACAUUUUUUUAUCUAGUCCUUGAUGUUAAUGGUUCUUGGGUUUUUUCUGUCACUAGACCAUAAAAUUGCUGGGCAUUGCUAAUAUAUGUUUUAACUAGAAUACUAUGAAAAGAACUGUUUCUGUUAACUUUUAAUAAGAGUUAACAUAAAAAUUUUUCUUUUUUUUUUUUUGGUUGAGCUGUUUGGUGUCCUAUUGAUUACAUACGGCUCUUAUGGGUCUCCUGCUGAGAAUAUUGGAUACAAGAGGCUGCUUCUUUGGAUUUUGCAAUGCUUGAAGAGGUUGUUAUAAACUUGCUGUACUACUUGCUGUAUUUUGGGGUUUAAAUCCUUAUAUAUUUGAACAAUUGUUUUAUUCAUUUGAGCUAAACAUGUUUUUAUCUAGUCGUUGAUGUUAAUGGUUCUAGGUUUUUUUUCUAUCACUAGACUUUAAAGCUCAUCGGACACUGCUAAUAUAUGUAUUACGUAGAAUACUACAAUAAUAGCUGUUUCUGUCUCCUACAAAAUUUUUAGUAUUUUGAGUUAUUGAAUGAAUUGUUGAAGUUAUCUCGUUCCUUUUAAGCUCGAUCAUUUUUAGAUCAAUGUUUUUUGCCUAAUGAUCAGGCUUGUGUAGCAUUUGGUCAGCUAAUUGAAGUCCGCCCAUCUUUUCUGGAGGUGGGUAUCUUUUGUUUGUUACAUUUUAGUUUUCUUACAUUUUCUUAUUGCAGUUCUUUUAGUAGCAUGAAGUGUUACCUUUUUUUAGUAUCUAUGUCAUACACUUGUUUCUUUUUAUGCAUAACACUCUGUGAUGUGAUUUUUAACUAUUUGACAGCCACACUUGAAGAAUGUAAGUGGAUAUAUGUUGCAAGUCAAUAAAGGCAUUGAUGAAUGAUGUGGCCCUUGAAACAUGUAAAUUUGGGUAACUUUCUUCUUUGUGCAUUCCAUGUCUGAAUGUCAUAUAUUUUAGAUUAAGAUGUCUUUUAAAACCAUUUUUUUAUACCCGUGUCUUUUAGUCUCAAUGUCAUAAACGUGUCUUUUCAUGCCUAUCCACCACCUUUUUUUUUUUGUUUUUUCUUGUGAUGUGAUUUUUAACUAUUUGACAGUCACAUUUGAAGAAUGUAAUUGAAUAUAUGUUACGAAUGAAUAAGGCCAUUGAUGAAUGAUGAAGUAGCACUUUAAGCAUGUGAAUUUUGGUAACUUUCUUAUUUGUGCAUUCGAUGUCUGAAUGUCUUAUAUGUAGAUUAAGAUGUCUUUUAAACCAUAUUUUUGAUAGCUUAUGCAGAUUGACAUGCUUCAAACUAAUAGUUUUUGGCAGAAUGCAAUAUCUCUUGAAUUUAGCCUUUUCUUUUACUUGCUCACCUCUGCUUGUUCACAUAACAUGUUUGUUAAACAUGUCAGAAGUGAUGGAGGUGUGCUUGCCCCUGUGCCUCUGCCUCUAUGUGCUAUCGAACUAUAGUUAUAAAAAAUUUUAAUAUUGUUGCCAUCAAUAUUAGUCUAAUAAUAAAAAUAUGUAAUAAAAAAUAAAAAUUAUUUAAAUUAAAAUUUAUAAGUAAAAUUAUUAAAGGCAUUUUAGUUAAUCAUUUUUAAUAUUUUUGGAAUUAAAAUUUUAUUAAGGUGAUUUGAGUCAGUCAUUUUUAGUACUUUUAAAGUUCAAACUUUUAUAUAAUAAAGAAUAGAUAAUAUAUAGAAUAGGAGAUGUGAGAUAAUAUUUUAAUGGAUGAUAUAUAGAUGAUUAAUAAAUUCAUAUAAUAAAGAAUAUGAUAUGUGAGAAAAUAUUUUGAUAUUGUUUGUAGAAGUUGAAAAUUCCAUUGAUCAUAUAUAAAAUAUAUAUUUAUAUUUACACUAAUGUAAAAGUAAAGACUAUUACAUAUUUUUCUAGCCUAUUAUUCAUAAAAGACUGAUAAAAAUAAGCCAAUUAUUUAAUUUUCUCUUGCUUUUCUCUUUUUUCUCUUUAUUACCUAUUCUUGAAAGCAAUCUUUGUGUACAGAAUUUUUUUUAUUGAUAUUUUCUUGCUGAAAUGACAACAAUUUUGUUGAAAAUUCUCCAAUUGUGAGGGAUUCAAACUUCGGAAGUAAUAAAUUAAAGAUGAAUUAAUUUGUGAGGAAAGAUGGGUCGAGAAUUGCAUUAUAUGGAUAAGCAUAAAGCAUUAGAUUUUGAUAUGGUUCUAAUACAAUACAUUAGGGCAUUUGUAGGGGAUAAAAAAAACAAAUUGGAAAGAAGAAAAAUUGUCUACCACAAACCCCUAGAUCAAGUAGGAGUCGUUGACAAAGAGAACUGGUGACCAACCAAACAUGGGUUGGCUACAUAUUUCCACAAUGGAAUCGUUUAGGUAGAAUGUUGUCUUCCACAAAAUAGUAGCAAGAAGUGAUGCCUGCUUCUAUAUGAUGGAACCAUGCUCGUCUCCAAUAAGGAUUAAUAUACAGCACAAUGGCAAUACUCAGUAGCACCAUGACGUAGGACACAACAAAACUUACAUAAAAGACAUUCAUGUCAAUUGAGCCAUUGUCAGUUGAAGCCGUUGGCGUUAAUGAAGAUGGUCCAUCUGUUGAGCAAUUGUUUGGCAACGGUGGGCCACAAAGAAAACGAUUUCCCAGGUAGCUGCCUUCUUCGAAGGUUGCAAAUUGCGCGGUCCUUUCAGGUGUACUUCCGGAUAAAUUGUUGUAUGCCACACUGAAUGAAGACAAGUAAGUCAACCCCACAAGUUGAGAAGGGAUUUUCCCGCUCAAGUUGUUGUGAGAAAGAUCAAGACUCUCAAUUUGCUUGAGUUCAGAAACCGCUGGUGGUAUUGGUCCUGUCAAACUGUUGUGAGACAAAUUCAAAGCAAUGAUUUUUCGGAAGUCUUUUACUUCGUGGGGAAUCUCACCAGUCAACUUGUUGCAAGAGAGAUCAAUUCCAGAAAGUAAAGUGAGGACUCUUCCCUUGUAAGAGUAGGAUAUGUUUUUUGUUGUGAACUCUAUUGGCUCAUCAGGAGAGAAAGAACUGGGAGCUUGUGCAACAGCAGCAACAUAACGGACAUACUCUUGGGAUACAUCAUUCAGUGUUGUAAUCUUCAGGCAAGGAGGAAUUGUACCCGAAAGUUUGUUAUUAGAAAGAUCAAUCAAGCUUAACUGACCCAACUUGCAUAACUGAACCGGAAUCUCACCUUCAAAGUGGUUGUUAUUUAGGAGAAGGUAACUCAACUGAGAAAGCCUGCCAAUCCAAUUUGGAAUGCUUCUAGUUAAGCGGUUAUUACUGAGAUCUAAUGUCACCAAGAUAGUGCUGUUACGAAAUGCAUCUGUGAGUGGCCCUUGUAGCUUGUUUCUUGAUAAAUGAACUUGACUGAUCCAUAAAGGGCUGAAGCAAGAUGGCAGACUCCCAGAGAUACUGUUCACCGAAAGAUCCAGAAGUUUAAGAUUAAGAUUGAGCUGGCAAAACUCCUUGGGGAUUGGACCUUCAAGAUGAUUAUUUGCCAUGACAAUUUCUUCCAAACUUGACAUAUUCCCCAUCCACCUUGGUAUCCGACCAAAAAGUUUGUUCUUGCUUAAAUCUAAUGUUGACAAACUUGAAAUAUUCUCCAUCCACCUUGGUAUAUCACCAAAGAGUUGGUUAUCGCUAAGAUCCAAUGUUGUCAAAAAGGUACAAUUAGACAAACAAUCUGGGAUCCUUCCAGAGAAGAGAUUCCUAUCCAGUUGCAACUCCCUCAAGUUUAUCAAGUUAAAAUUUGAAGAGAACAUCGAGCCUUGCAAUCUGUUGUUUGACAAUAUAAGAACACUUAAUAAGGAACAGCCCAUUGCCAAGUGCUCUGGUAAUCCUCCUGUCAAUUUGUUGUUAGACAAGUCCAAGGUUCGUAGAGAAUUCAUAUCUCCGAUUGAAACUGGAAUGCUACCGCCAAAAAUAUUUUUUGACAUGUUCAAAAACCAUAAUGAUGGUAGUUUUGCUCCAAUUUCAUUUGGAAUGUUGCCAUAGAAGGAAUUUUUGGAGAUAUCCAACUGUGAUAAAGCUGUAUGUGAAAGGGAAGGUAACUGAAAUGGUCCCAGGAAAGAGUUGUUGGAGAGAACUAAUUCAUAUAAAUUUGUGUUGUUCUCCAACAACCAAUUUGGAAAUUCCCCUUUCAAAUUGAUGCUAGAUAGAUCAACAUGCCGCAAGUCAUGUUGAUGAUAGAGAAAUUGAGGAAAUGAUCCAACAUCUCCACAACAAGAUAUGCUGAUCUCAUAAAGUUGGAAUGUUGGGGCCAAAGAAUGCAUCUCGGUUUCAGCAUAUAUGGUAUUGUUGUCUGCAUCCAUGUACCAGAGUUUUGAAAGGUUGAACAAGGGUCCUAAUGAGCUUGGGAUUUCAAAGUAAUUGUUUGAAAGACUCAAUGUUUGGAGGGAUUUUAGAUUCCUAAGGACAAAUAUAUCUCCAGAAAAUUGAUUGGAUGAGAGAUCUAAAAUUUCAAGGGAUGUUAGACUCUCAAGAACAGAUAUAUUUCCAGAAAACUGAUUGGAAUAAAGAUAUAAACUUUCAAGCGAUGAGAGAUUGGAGAAGCACUCGGGCAAGUUACCCCUUAAAUUAUUGUAGCCAAUAUCCAAGUUUUGGAGAUUUGUCAAUUCACAAAAACCUGCAAAAGUAGCAUUAUGUUAAAUAAAUGAAGAAGGUGCCAUGCGCUGGAACAAAAAAAAAAAAAACAAUUAGUCUCUCCAUCCCUUAUAUUUUGUCACUUACUAACAUUUCAUAAAAUUUAGAGAGAUCAAAAGGAAAAGAGAUAAUACAUAAAGAAAAUUUAAAAAAAUUUGGUGUUUGUUUAGAACAUAGUAGGUUUCGUUACUUUUAAAAAAGUUAUGAUAAAAGGUAAUAUUAUAUAAGAAUAAUAUAUGAAGAGUAACAUUUUGUAUGGGAGAAUAUUUCAAAUGCAAAAGGGACAACAUGAGUAUAGGACGGAGUAGGGCUGUAAACGAGUCGAGCCGAGCCGAGUAGUGAGAAGCUCGAGCUCGAGCUCGACUCACAACUCGGAGUUUGAUACUCGGUUCGAGCUCGAUCGAGUUUUAUUUUUCAAGCUCGAGCUCGAUUCGUGAUCGAAUUCGAGCUACUCGAGCUCGUUCGAUUAAGCUCGAUUAAUAUGUAAAAAUAAGCUCGAUUCGUAUAUUCGACAAGAGUUCGAUUAUUCAUGCUCGAACUCGAACUCGGAUUCGAAAUAUUCUAUUUAAUUAAAAAAAAUAAAAAUAUAUUUAAAUAUAAAAGCUCGAUUAGACUCGCGAGCUACUCGAGUCAGAUAUAAGAAUACUCGAAUUCGGUUUGAUCGAUAAGUCGAGCUACUCGAGCUCAAGCUCGACUCGACAAUAAUCGAACUGAAUUUGAGUUUUUUUCGAAUCGAACCCGAGUAACUUGCGAGUACUAAUGUAUCAUUUACACCCUUAGGACGGAGAGACCAAGAACUGAAAUCAAAGGUAAGGUAUGUAUCAAUCUCAACCUUGGGAAUGUAAGGUGCCAUUGAGUCCGCAGUCCCAUAAUUCUAGAUUCUUGAGAGAAGGCAUUGCUCCAAUUUUUUGAAGAAAGUUGUUUUCCAGGGAAGUGUCCCAUAUGAACAAGGAUUCCAAAUUCUUCAAAUGAAUUGGACCUAUUUCAAUAUAUGUAUACACGGAAACGUAAGAAGAUAUAUUUAAAGUAACAAAAAAAAAAAGAUAAUAUCAUAAUAUGUAUGCAAUUAACAAUAAACUCGCAUCCUAUCAUAAAUUAAAACUUUAACAAUUGUAUAAAUAUUUAUUUCAUACUAUUAAGUCAAUUAAUUAAGAUGUUUUAUUUUGAAAGAAAAUCAAAAUACUUUUUUAAAUCUAGCAAAAAAAAAGUAAAAAACAUAUCAAUAAGCUUAAUGAAUUCAGAUAAAUAUUGUUAAUAACAAGAAACAAAAUGAUCAAUUAUUUAAAAUCAACAAAUUUCUUUUUUUUCUUGUUUUAUAUAUAUAUAUAUAUAUAUGCUAAACUAUUUUUCUUUUUUUUAUUAAUUACUAAUUUACAUAUGAGUGAUACAUUCAUUACAAAAUUCUUGUAAUUUUAAGUACAUGUAAUGCUCAUUUGAAUGGCUAAAGGUAAGAGACAUCCAAAAAAUAAAGAAAUAAAAUGGAUUUAUAACUAUAAAUUUAAAAUAUCUAAUUUAUCAUGUAAGUUAAGACUACUGUUGAUGUCACCAAAUAUUACUCUCAAAUUUUUAAGAGAAGUUAGCAUUCCAAUAUCUUGAAUAAAGUUAGAAGGGAGAGAUAAACCUUCUAGCUCCAACUUUUUCAAAUUUGUCAAAUUUUUUCAUUCUAUUCAAUCAAAGUUACGAAUUAUGUUUUGAAUUGAAAAAUAUAAUUACAAAUGACAAUCGAGAAAAUGAUACUACUACUUAAUAAGUAAUUGAAAAAUUGAAAGAUUUAUUUUACCAUGUAAAUUGAAGCUGCCAUUGAACUCACAAAAAUACACGUACAAAUUUUUAAGGGAAGUUAGCAUUCUAAUAUCUUGAAUAAAAUUGGAAGGGAAAAAUAAAUCUUCUAACAUCAAUUCUUCCAAACUCGUCAAAUUUUGCCAAAUCAAUGAAAGUUAGAAAAUUAUGAAAAUUAAGAAGUAUGUUAUGACAAAAAAUAGUUGCAAAUGACAACCAAUAAAAUAGUUCUCCAAAAUAAGUCUCAAGUAUAGUAUAUGCAUAUAAGUUAUGAGAUUUGGCCAACGAUUCAUGUCUUUUCUGUGAGGGUUGACUCUAUAAUGUGAUAAUUUAAAUCUUUGGCACUGCUUAAGUUAGGGAUUAUCAUAGAAAAAAGUAUAUGCAAAUAUAAAUACAGUCACUUUUGAUGACUCAUUUUAAUGGAUAGAGACAAAAGUUUUAGUAAAAGGUUCAAUAUUAAAUUUAACAUAUGUAAUAUUAUUUAUUUUUAUAAUUUUUUAUAUAUUAAUCAAAUUUAUUUACAUAAAAAGACUAUUGAUUAAAUUUACCAUUAGUCAAGCAUAUUUGAAAAAAUCAUUUAACAAAAGAUAAAAAUCACAAUGAAAAAGAAUUUUAGGGCAAAAGUUAACUAUUAAGUAUAUGAAAAAUUUUCUAUCUAUAUAUUGGAAUAAUAAGAGAAAUUAUGUUAAAAAAUUUUCAAAAAGUAUUCAAUUAUGUAAUAAGUGAGAAAAAUGGGAAGAAUUUAUAAGAAUAAAUAGGGGAAACAAAAUGAUUUGAUAAAAUUAAGGAGAAGGUGGAGUGGGGAAUAAAAUUUUAAUUUUUAUUGAAAUCUGAAAAAAACUUUAAAUCAAAUUAUGGAUAAUAUAUAUAUAUAUAUAUAUAUUUAUCCAAUGCCAUAACAUUAAAGUUAUCCCAUUUCAAUCUAAUAAAAGAAUUUGGUUAACAUGAGGCUUGAUGUUUUUGUCAUUUUCUUUUUUAAAAUAUUUUUCAUAAAAUUUUAUAAUUUUUUAUAUUUUUCAAAUAAUAUGUUCUAUUUUCAACAAAAAUAAUUCUAACAAAAUUAAAUAAUUAUUAAAAAUAAAGGAAGUAAAUAGAAUAAAAAUGAAAUAAAAUAAAAAAAUUGACAAUUUGAGUAAAAAAAGUUUUAAAUAUUUAGAAGUGAUAAAGAAAAGAAUAAAUAUGAUAUAAUUGAUUAAUAUAUUUACCUAACUUUUAACAAAAAAUUAAUAGAUAAAAAAAUAUUAAUCAACAUAAUAAAACAAAAUUAAAAAACAUUCUCCUUGUUUUCUUAAAUUAAAUUUUCAUAGAUUUUCUGGAUUGUCUCAAAAUUGUUUUCAUUUCCUUUAACACCUACAAUUCAUAUUUUAGAAAUUUUUCAUAUUUUUACUCUUUAGAAUUUAAAUAUAUAGUUUAUCAAUAUUGCAAAAAAAGUGAAGAAAUAAUGUUGAAAUAAUAAUAAAAAUUUUAUUUGGCUUAUAUAAAAAAAAUAAAAAACAAAAAUUGUCACACACUAUUAAAAUUAAGUUUAAAAUUAUCUAAACAAAAAAUUAAGUUCCAAAUUGGGAUUGAGGUGACAUGGUAAUAAAAGGUAUUUAAUUCAAAUAAGAAAUAGAUAAAGAGUAAAAUAAAUGUUUGACCAGUACCUUUCCCUAAUUGGUUAAAUAAAUGUAGUUAAUAAUAGUAAUUAUAAGAGAAAAACAUUACAUAUAAUCAUCAUAACUUACAAGUAGCCAGUGUUCCAUUAAAACUAACACCAUACAAUUGAAGAGUCUUCAAUGAUGGGAACAAGUCCAACGAUUGCGGUGAAAGGCUACAAGCUGCAAUUGAUACAAUUAUUACAACAUGAAAUGUAAAGAAGUUAGUAAUACAAUUAAAUCUUUCUGUAUGAUUUGUAAAUACACAUAUUAUAUAUUUUUAUUCCCCCAAAUUUAAAUUAAGAUGUACUUCCCUGUAAAAAUAAAUGUAGUCUUUUGAUUCAAAACAGAGAAAGGCACAAUAUUAAAUUACAAUCAAUUUGAAUUUGCUUUUAAUUUUUCUAAUGAAAAAAUAAAACAAAACCGUGGUGUUUUCAAUUUUGUGCAACCCAAAUUUCAUUAAUAAUCAGAGUUAGAGAAGUACAAUAUUGUCUAGCAAAAGUUUACAUAGACAAGAGCAAUUUAAUAUUAAUAUAUAAUUCAUUAACAUUACUGAUUAAUCACUUAAAUAAAAAAUUACCUAAAUGAAAGAGAGGGCAAAUGUUUCGAUUAGUUUGAAUUUUAAUUUCUUAAAGUUUUUAGACGUGUAAUUCAUUCAAACAUGCAUGAACAAAUUGAUGAAGAAACAAUUUUGUUUUAGCAGUACCUUUGGUGUAAUAGCAGGAUAUAAAUAGAUUCUCCAAAUUGCUCAAAGCAUCUAACCCUGAGAAGAAUCACAAAUAAAAAUAUAAUUAAAUUAAAUUAAAAAUAAAAAAUGAUAUUCUUGCAUUUGUGCUUUAAAGCAUAUACUUAAGUAUUAUAUAAUAAUAAAAUAUCAUUUAAUAACUCUAGAAAGAGAGAAAAGAAGGAGAGGGGGUAGUUUUACCUUUAAGAUUUAUUGAUCCGUUCAAGUUGUCUCCUAAAGACAAAGACUUUAGAUUUGAAAGCCUACCAAGGGAUGACAAUAUGCUAUAGUUGAAGAGAUUCCACCCCAAAUCAAGCACUUCUAGAUUGAUCAACCUUAGUUCCGUUUCAUUAUCUGUAUAACAUUAAUUUACAUAAUUAAUUUCAUUACUUUUUAAUUUUUUAAUUAAUUCUAAAUAAUUGAAAACUCUUUUUGGAAAAGUACAAAAAUUUCCACUGAAAUAUUCCAGUUUGUAAACAUGUAAAUUAUACAUUUCCCAACAAAUUGUGUUAAAUACCUUUGGAUGGAGCAAAGUCAUUCACUUGAUUAUCCGAGAUAUCUAAUUCCACUAAAUUAGUCAAAGCAUUCAAUUCUGAGGAUAGAAUUACAAAAAAAAAACUAGUAAUUAAUUAACAAAUCAUAUAAAACCCAAACAUAUAUAGAUUUUAAACCAUAUUUACCUUUAAUAUGUAUCGACCCAUCUAAUUUGUUUCUUGCUAUAUACAAAGACUUCAACUUUAAGAGCGCAGCAAUGGAUAAGAAUACGCUGUUGUUGAAGAGAUUUUCACUUAAACCAAGCACCUCAAGUUUGAUCAACCUCAAUUGUUCAUUCUGUGAAAGAUUAGUAACAUAAUUUUAUCUUCAAAAGAAUAUCUAAUUAUUAUAUAUAUUUAUUAUUCAAAUUCAUUAUAUGUUAACUUACACUUUGAAAUAAAGAUCCGAGACUCCCAAUUUGAUUUUCGCCUAAAUACAACUCCUUUAAGUUUGUCAAAUUAUUGAAUUCUGUUCAAAUCAAAUCAAAUAUAUAUCAAUCUAGUUAUUCCUUUUUAAAACCAUGAGAUUUUUAAAACAACCCUACCUCGCAAAUUAACAGUUCCUUUUAAUCCGCAAUUCUGCAAACGCAAAGAUUUUAAAGAUGUAAAAUCAUCUAGAUGUGAUAGGAUGUUGUUUCCUAAUACAUUGCCAUAUAAAUCCAGAGUCUCUAACUUGUUCAAUUUUGAUAACCUCUUCAUACCUGUUUUCAAUAAUAUUACAAAAUUUUAGUAAAUAAUCACUAUUUUAUAAAUAUAUAUAUCUCAAUUACAAAACAAACGUUAUUUACUUUAACCUGAUUUUUAUAUAUAACACAAUAUUAACAUUACCCUCUAUCAGAUUUGACCCAGUGAAUUGGUUUUUUGCUAGAUUUAAAGACCUGAGUGAUGAAAGUUUGCUUAAGGAUGCUAAAAUGCUAUCAUUGAAUUGAUUAACACUUAAGUCAAGGAUCUCAAGUUUGUCUAAUUUCAGUGACAGCUUUUCAAAACCUACAAGGAAAAAUGUAGCAUUUAGUGACUUUCCGAAAAAAUUGAAAUAAAAAAUAUUUAGAUAAGAUGAACAAAACUGGUAAUCAAUAAAAAUGAAUUUUCAAAUGCAAAAUACUUAUUGAAGUAGCAGUUAGUAAUUAGGUGAAUAUGAAUUAACCUUGAUUGUCAACACAACCAGCAAUAGAAUUGCCACCCAAAUAAAGACUCUUCAAUUCCUCAAAAGGAAGAAACAAAGAGGCAUUGAGAUACCAAGAAUCUCUCCCACUCCAAUCGUACUUUCUCAAAUAAUAAUUAUAAACUAAAUCACCAUAGACUUCAGUAGUUGUAAGAUUAAGGAAGAGUCGGAUCACUCGUCCAGUGGAGGUGUUGCACUCAACCCUUUUCCACUGACAACAAUCUGAACUCUGUUUUCCCUCAUCCACCCAAUAAUUCUUUACAUCUUUAAUAUGAGUAAAGAAAGGUUUAAGUUGCAAAAGAGCAAUUUUUUCUUGCUCCCAGCACCUUUCACAUUCACAACACCUUCCUAAUAGGAAUGCUACCAAAACCACCCAUAACCAUUUCCACUCCAUCUCAAUUAAUUAAUGCACUCUAAAAAAACUUAAUAUUAACUAUGCUGCUAUGCAUUUGGCAUCACUAUAUCCAUGGGGUUUAUCUACUAAAAAGUCACUUGAAAAGAUACAGCCUUGUUUCUUAGAAUUCAUUGAAAAUGGCACACUCAGUCUUGACGUACUUGUCAAAUUCCACAGCAUUAAGAAAACACAUUGCAUGAAGCUUCCUACAAAUUUUCUUUGUGGAAAAGUAAGCACAGAUUCUGACAAUUAUAAUAAACACUCCAUCUUAAUUAUAACAUCAUUAAUGUCUUGUAGUGACACUGCUAACAAAAAUUAUUGCUUACUUUUUUUUUCUUUGUAAAUCCUUAUUAAAACUUUUGUUUUGUUUUUUUAAUUUAAUUUUUUAGAAUACUUUAGUAUCCCUUUUAACAGCUUCAUUUUUUUUUUUGUUGCUAAAACAAUUUUAGGAUGUAUUCCAUAGUAAAAAAAGUGAAAAGAUGAAUAAAACAAGGUGAAAAAGUGGAAAAAAAUAAAUUUUCGCUAUGUUUGGUAAAAAAGAAAAAUUAAAAAAAAGAUUAUUAUUUUUCAGACUUAUUAAUGCAAAUAAAUCACUCCAAAUGUAAAAGAAAAGAUGAAAGAAAAUAAAAGAGGUAUGAGCAUGUGUUACAUAUUUAUAAAAUUAUCCUGUCAUAUUUAGAUUUUUUUACAAAAUGUUAUAAUAAUAAAAUCAUAUUUUUUUUCUUUCAUUUUCUAACUCUACCAAACAAUGAAUGAAAAAAAUUAUAUUUUCUUUCUUUUUCAUUUUUUUAACCAAGCUCAAUAAAAAUAAAAUAUAUAUUUUUUAUCUUUUCAAUUUUUUCUUUCAAUUUUUUAUCUUUUUAUUUUUCUAUCCCAUACUAAGCAAGGCCUCUAUUUAGUAAUUUUUUUUUUGUUUGCCAACCUUGCUAGGGUUAUUGCCAAAUUUCAUGUCAAUAUUAAAUAUUUCCACAACUAAAGGGAGACAUGAUGGCCCAUUGUAGCUUUUCUACCUAUAUCAAGUUAGGGAGGAAGAUAUUACAUAUAUUAAUUCAUUGUCAUGACUAGUUGAUGUCUAGACUUUUGUUUAGCAACUGUAUUAUUAUUUAGGAGACCUUGACUUUGGCAUCAACUAUGAAAUAGAACAAUGGAUCAGUCUACACGCCAACCUCAUGAUAGGAUGGUGGAUUCCUCCUCUCUCUUUCCUGGAAGAUAUAAAUUUGGUGUGGAAGUAGUCAAAUAAACAAAAAGUCAUCUUUAUUACAUUGUUUGCUGUGUUUCUUGCUUCUACUUGAUGAAUGGUUUAUAGUCUAUCAAAAGACUUUGACUUAGCGUCAAUUGACACAAAUUAUUUGCAAACUAAAAAACUAUCGGUUAUGCAAGGGAAUAAGAAUAUAUAAUUUAUUCUUUAUUUAAUUAUUGAUUUCAUUAUAUGAUGAUAUUUGUUUAUUUUUUGUUAAAUAUUUGAUAAAUAUGCAUUUUUUAAAACUUAAUUACUAAGAGAAAGGUAUACUAAUAAUUUUGUUAUUUUUCUCGGCUAUAAUUUUUUUUUAAAAGGAAUGUUAAAAUUAGUGGACUUUUUUUAUCAAGUAAAAUAGGUAUGGGUGUUUUAUUCCUUCCUCAAACGAUUUAGUUUUCAAUCUUGACAAAAAAUUUGGUAUAAUAUUUUUAAUUUUUUGUAAAAUUUAUAAACUUUAGUUAGAUUUUAAAAAAUUUAUACUGAUUUAUCCAAAAAAGAACCGAAAAUUUUUUUAAAGCUCCUGACAUAAAAAUUAUUAAAUUUUAUAAUUGCAAUGAGCUGCGACCAAACUCAAAGGAAGUUGGCUCAAGGGGAAUGAUCAGGUCUGAUCUAUUCCCAUAGUUGUAGACCUGCUCAUAGCUUUAGGUAAGGGAUUUGUCCAAAAUUUACUGUUAAAUGAGAAUAAAAUUAUCCCAGCCCCAAGAUAGAAAAAUGCGGGAGAAGUUGGUGUUCAAUUAUAGGAGGCCGAUAACAACAGGCCCUAUUGAUAUUGCCACGGCCCAAGAGAUUAAUGUUCACAAAUAGGAGCCGAAACUGCCUGGACCUCUUAGUUAUGAAGACGACCGAGCCCAAAGGUUCAUGGUGACUACAACAAAGAAAAGGCAGGCUUGGACUACUGUGAUCAUACAAUAUGGGCAGCACUGUUUCAGGACAUGAAGCCCACUUGACUUGACCAUACGUCUUUCUUAGUUUUGUCUGGAAAGGUGAGAUCAAAUGUUUUCUCCAAUAAUAGGGACAAGCCUUAUGUCUGGUAACAAUUGCUUUUUAGGUCCAAUAUUAGCAUAUUCAAGUAGUGUGGGACAGUUUUUCUGUGAUCAACACGCAUGCCAUAGUCUAUAUUCUUUUCGAGUUCAUCUAAUCUAAACUUUCAAGAACUAUAUACAUGCUUUAAGCUUUCUGGUUUCAUGGGAUCUUCAUUAGUUGUAAAAUCCUUCAUAUCGGCAACCAUCAUGCCUUGCAAUGAAAAAAAAAAUCUAUAGAUUGUGAGCUGUGAGCUUUCUUAGAACUUCUUUGCCGAUUUCAAUGUGUGCAUCUUUUUGUGCUAAAUGAAACCAGUUCAUGAACUGACUAUCAUAGUUCCAUCAGCAGACAUGCUCAGCUCAGCUAUGGUCUGAAAAUGAAGAUUAAACUGAUAGAAAGGAUGGUACCCAUAUCUUCAAUAUCGUAAGGUGUUUUACACUGUAUGCUGCUUGACAGUAAUGUUUUGAGGUGUAGACGUUAACUAGCGGCUAUAAAACAAUACAACUAGUUUCAUCUUCCAUUGCAAUGUGGUCGAUUUGGCUUAGUCGAAUUCUUUAAUUCUUUAACAUAUGUCUGCCAGUGCCUUCAAAGUUGCAAUGAAUGCCAACCUCUUUUAUUCAAUUUAACUAAACAUUGUAGCCCACGGUAUCUACAUUCUUUAAAUUCCUGUCCAUAAAUACAAAGAAAUAUAACCCUCUGUCUGUUCGUAUAAACAAAGGGCCCCACCCUGCUGGCAAAUACACAAGACAAUAAAUAACUAAAUAAAUAAAAACAAUAGCAAAAAUUAAAGGCUACACCUUGCUUGUUUUGCAUGGAUUCAGAGGUUUGCUAAUUCUUGACAAAAGUUGAAAAGCCUCCUUAAAAGUUGAGAAACAAUUGGGAUUAGGAGUUUUAUAGCAUUGGCCUUUUGCACUAGGAGAUGGACGACUUAAAGGAACAGGUAUGGUAAUUGGAAUUUUAGAUGUUUGCAAGAGUUGCUGAGAAUUUAGGAUACCAGUAACUAAUCACAAGAGGUAAGGAUUUAAUGAUGAUAAUGAACAACAAAUUUUAUGAAUUUAUAUGCUUGGAAUUUCUUAUAUAUUAAUGACCAAUUAAUGUAUUUGAAAGCUUUUAUGAAUUUACAUAAUAAUUCAAGUUGAAGGAGCUAUUAUCUAAAUACUUUUAUAGAAUAAAAAAAAUCAGAAAAGCAGUAUCUAAUAAACAAAUUAUUUAUUCUAAGUAAAUUGAUGAAGAUAUAUUGGCCAUUUCCUUACUGUUUUUUAGGCAAAAUGAAGAGAUUUUCGGUUAUAGAUCACUAAAUGUAUGCUACUGUACAUAAUUCUUUUAUGACAUUUUGUGUUUGAAACCAAAUGACUCAAUACAUAUAUCAAUAUAUAUAUAUAUAUAUAUAUAUAUAUUUUGAGGUUAGGCAGAUCUAACAAAACCAAAAUUCAAUGAAAAAAGGAAUACAGAAUUAGACAAAGAGCCCCAACAUGUCGUUUUCUUUUUCUUCUAGUAGAAGCACGAUAGAAAGAGUGGCAACUUAUCCAUUUGAAAUAACAACCAGCCAUGGCAUCACCCACCCUCUUGAUGCCAUUUUUGAGAAGAAUACAAACAAAUAUUUUCCUUAGCAGUAGGCCCUUUGAAGAAAAUCUACAAAUCAUCAAGAAAACUUCUUUUGAAGAAUUGUUUUCCUGGUUUCAACGUCAUCUGAACUGACCAAAUUCACAGGUUGGAUAAGAAGAUUGAAACAUAAAAACACAGUUUCUUCACAAAGAGACAAACAAUAUUGUUGAAUUCCUUAACGCCACUUGCCAACUCAUUGUCAUACACAUCAUUGUUUUGUAAGAACUAUGAAACAAGAACUGGCAUAGAGAAUUUUAAAACCUUUCAAAACUCCAAUCCAUCCUUAUCCUAUCAUGAAAGAAAAAAGGAAAAAACAGAUCGAAUCGAUUAUCAUCAUCGUCAUCAAUAAUCCCUCGUGGCUGGUUCAUGCACAUGGGGCUUGUCAAUUAUUGUCUUGACCCUCAAAAAUAGAAUGAAAAGUACUUCAAAAAUUUUCACUGACAUUGAAGAGCCCACUCGAAAGUGCGAAAUUAGUAAACUACAAUUGCAAAAUUUAGUACAUCAGCAUCAGCUCAUCUGAUCUGAAAGUUGUAAAACAAACACCAAUUCCUGAGUCAAAUGAUCUCUAAGAUAUUUGAUGAUGAUGAUGAUGAUGAUUAGAUCGAAGGGAAACAAUAUUUGGUUGUAUGGUGCUUACAUCACAGGGAAGUUUGAUCCAUCUUUUUGGCUUUGGGUGAGAAUCUGACAGGCAACAUGGACCUCCUCUCAACUGGCCAAAAACUGCUAUGAUCACUUGGAAAAAUUUUCUUUGCAAAGUAGAUAUGAAUGGUCCCAUAUGCAGGCUGUUGCAAAGCCAUCACAGCUUUCAUAUGGUAUGUGGGUUGGCCAGCGUUUUCCCUUUCACAAUUUGAAGGCUUUCAGUUUUCUGGACCCAUUUGGGAAUUGGGAGCCAUCAAAAUAAAGAAAAAAAAAGUUUUAAUUUUACAAAUUUCAUUAUUUGCGAGAAAUUAAGUUUGCGUGAUAGGAGUAUUAAUCCAAGUUAACAGCAUUUACAGCUAUACGUACGGGAAAAUUUUAAAAUAUAUAUAUUUUUUGAAUUGAUAGAUUAAAUUCUUUUUCAUAGAAAAGAAAUGAGUGAACGAUCAUUUCUAUUAAAAGAAAAAGAGUAGUAUAAAAUAUUGAAGAUUUAAUUAUAAAGUGAGUAGUUACUAAAAUUUAAUUAUAAAGAAAAUUUAUUAUUUUUUAGAUUAAUUAAUAUAUGAUUGAAAUUGAUAUUUAAAAGUUAUAGAUUUGAAUAAAUUUAAGUAUAUAAUAUUUUAUUCAACCACCUUUGUAAUUAGAUAGGAAAAUUUUUAAAAAUAGAUUAAAAAUUAAAAGAAAAAAAAAAGAGAGUCAUGAUGUGAUUACCAAUGCACAAAUUUUAAUUUGGGUGUAAAUAAUCUUUUAGCUGUCAAUUUUUUUAAUUAUUCAAAAUAAUUGUGUCUGUUGUGCUUUUAAAAAAAUAAGAAAAUGGCAAAAUCGAAGCUGUGGAUUCCUGUGGGCUUGGACCAGUUCUUGCAAUUGUAGUCAUUUUUUGUGCUAAUUUGCAACUCUCAAGCGACACCUGAAAAAUUUUUUAGUUUCGCUUUAUUAUUGUGAAAUAAUUUUUGUCUUCAAAACUUUGUUUCAUUUUUUAAACGUAAAUAUUUCUGUUUUCUUAUCUUCUUUAAUUAAUCAUAUUAUUAUUUACCACCUUUCCCUUCUUUUAUCCUUUAUUAAUCCCCCAUUAGUACGAUUAUUACCAUAAUUUCAAUCAAAUUUAGGGAUGGUCCAACUGAGUUAAAGUUGAUAAUUUACUAGAUUUCAUUUUCUUCCCCGACGGUAAGGUCAUCUUCAAGGUCUAAGUUCGUUCAAUUUACUUCUCCCUUGCGUGUGUAUAAGUAGAAUCCAGUUACGUGAAUUUCCCACAACUUCUCCAUUUUCGAUACCUGUAAAACAAGAAAAAAGAAGAAAAUUAAGAAUAAAACUAUCAACUGUAAAUCAAAACCUAAAUUAAAAGACAAAACAAAAUUAUGAAAAAAAUUAAAAAAAAAAAAAGAAAUACAGACGGAAGAAAGAAAAAGAACGGGACGAGUCAAAACGGGAAAAGUGGAAAAAGAUCAAACGGAAGAAACGGCUGAAAUGGAAAACGGGAAAUGUCAAACCAAACGGAACACCAAAAAGAAAAAAGAAAUGCGCUGGAAUGGAAUGGUGUUUGGAGAACAAAACAAAUGGAAGAUAUAAUACUUGAAACCAAUCAACACUGAGAUCUGGCCUGGGAUUGUCAGAUUAGAGUUAAUUUGAUUAGAUUAGAUAUUUUUAAGAGAUUUUAAGAGUUUUUGUUUUUGUCCAAAAGCUCCUCAAAUUUGCCAUUGGCUGCAAAUAUGUGUAUUUACACCAGCAAAAUAUAUGAUAAUAUGUUCCUCGGAUUUUACGGUUUCGGUCACCGGGAGUACACUAAAAUUCAUUUCCGUCCCGAAUCCUUCGUUCAGAUUUCCAACUUCUUCGCCGCAAUCUGACUUCACCGCCACCGUCCGCGGCUUGACUCCAAAGUUCGAUCUCCAAUCACCGGAAAAUCUCGGAGACUUAACCAGAAAUCGUUAAAAGAUUACACACACCGCAAAGGAAUCUUCAUUAAUCCUCGGCUUUUGACAUCACGGAGAGCCGGCUCGGCCUCGGCUGGAACGCUGCGCGGCGACGCUGCUGGUGAGAGGAAGGUCUAAUCAAAGCCGACAAAGCUCUCUUAACCAGAUCUCCUUCGACUCCUCCGAUUCUCACCAGCGAGUUCGUCAUAGCAGACCUACGCGCGUUGAGCCGAUUAUGAGGCGCGCAACUUGUCACCGCGUGCGAACUAUUAAAACUCUUAUGAAGGCUGCAACGGAACGAUCCCGGGUGCGUCGUAGGGGAACACAUGCAAGUCCGCUUCGGCUGUUUACUCUGUAAAUUCUUCAACACCUCGUUGUUUCUACGGACGGUAGUAAUCGAACGGUUGGGCGAGAUCGGACGGUUAUCGAGCGAGAAUCGCACGGACGGCGCGGAUGGAGAGUGGUUGUAGAGAUUGACACGUGGUGGAGAGAUAGAUCUGUGUUGAUUAAAGAAAGUUGAGGAGCGUGAAGAAAAGCUUGAACUUGAAUAAGCAAAGGCCGAAGAAGAAGAUGAUGGAGACUGUGACGUGUAGUGAGAACUGAACCGGCCAGAAGGGGAGAGAGAUCGGAGAACCGGACCGCUCGAUUUUCUAGAAGAUUUCGCCAUAUGUUUUUUUUUUUUUUUGGCAGAAGAGAGAGAAAGAAAGUAUGAGAAUUUUUUUUUGAAUUUCUAAAAAGCCGCGUGUGGCUGUUUAGUUGGGCAAACCUAGCUUUACACGAGCCACGUAUUUAUAGGGGGAGGGCAAGGGUCUGACCGUCUGGGUUUUGGAAAUUUCGCGAUAUUUGCAAAGUCGGGCUUUUAGUUCUUAGUUUUGCUAUUGUGCACCUAAAUUUUUUUAAUUUAUUUUUAUACCCGUGGAAUUUGUUAUUCUUUGCGGCUGUACACGUCAUUGUUAUUUCCUUACUUUCCCUUUGCUUUUCUUAUGAUAUUUCUAUUUUCCUUUUGAUUAAUUACAAUUUAUAAUAAAUAUAAAGAAGGUUGGGAAAUUAUUUAAUGCAUAAAAUAUUUCAUAAAAUUAAAUGAAUUUGCAAUAGCUAAGAAUAUUUAACUUGUUUUUGAAUAUAAAGUAAUUUUAUUCAUUUAAAAAUGAAUUAAAAUGCAUUUAAAAGAAUGGACCACUUUAUUGUCAUUUUAAUGCUCAACAAUCUAAUUAUAUCAAAAAAAGACAUUACAAUAUGGUAUAUUUGAUAGCAUUUUAAUUUAACUGUGCAUAACAUGAUGUUUACCUAAUUGUAAUCAAGUAUAACUUGAAAAUUACUGCAAAUGAUAAGGCUUUCUUCAACUGUGGUGGAGAUAAUGAGGAGGCUUAACAUUUUAAUUUGAAAUUAAAUGUUACCAUGGUUCGAGUUGCCUACCUAUUAUUUAGGUCUUAAAUAAGAUUUUUUAAAUUCAAGAUCGAUUUUACUCGUGAUAUAUAUUAUUAUAAUAAUAUAGAAUUAUUUUAAUUUAAAUUUCAUUCAAAAUAUAGAUAUAUUUUAAUACUAAUUAAUUAGUAGUUGUCAACAGCAUUUUAUCAUAGUUGUUGAUGAUUUUUUGAGUUUGGUGAUUGAAUGCUUUAUGAAGGAGCUAGCAAAAUGAUUAAUUUAGAUGUUAGAGUGAUCUAUUAUAAAGAAUAAUCGGCGAGCGUCAGAGAUAAGAAUUUAGAGUGUUUUCUGAUAUUCAAAUCAGCAAAGAUGAAAAAAAGGAAAAUUAGAAACAUGGAAGAGAAAAAGGCAGCCAAGCCUAAUUAUUUUGGUCACACACCGAAAGCACUUUGUCAAAGCCAAUUUUAGGUAUUUCGGAUCAAUGAUUCAUUUCCUACUCAGAAGAUUCUCAACUUUUCUGCAAAACUCCAAUGAAAGACACGUAACGCCAUGUGGAAAGGUGGGUUUGACAAAGUCAGUAUCGAACAAAACCAAAGUAAUUCAAAUUGUUUGGGGCAUGCAAAGACGUGUUACCCACACUGUUGUUCUGUUAAGUUUUAGAAUAUUUGAUUUGAUUGUUAUACCAAUUUCAAUUCCAUUCUCGUGGAAAGAUUUAGUUGGAUUUAGGUUCAACUUCUCAACUCCCAAAAACCAAUUACAAAUUGUAUGAUUAAUUAUUUAUGAGUUUAAAUUUAAUUCAAUUUAUUUAUAUAAUUAUUUUUAAAAUAUAAUAUUCAAUAAAUUUAAAAUUCAAAAUUUAAAAAAAAAUUAUUUCAUUUUUAGAUUGUAAUUUUUUAAAAAAAUUAAAAAAAUUGGAUCAACAAUCUCAAACUCUCUCUCUCUCUCUUUCUCCCUCUCUUUAGUUUCCUUUCUAGUUUAAUUUUCAUUCUCUCUCAAUUAUUCUCCUCCAAAUACCAGAAUUCUAAGCCAAACGCGUUUAGAAUAUUAUAAAUAAAAUUGAAAGAUUCUUAUGUCAUAGACAAUGAUUAUAUUAAUCAAUAAAAUUAAUUAAUUAAGUUUGAAGGUACUGAUUAAGAUGGCUUUGAUUAUUAACUUUGUUUUGGUAUAACCUUUGAUUGUCAUGUCUAUAAUUAUUUAUUUGGUUGUCUUUCAUCACAUCAUUGAUUUGUUUGUUUUCAAUUUUACCAAAGUUGUUUCCACUUAUGGAUUUCAUCACUUAAGAAAACUUAAUCACAUGAAUGAAUAAUGAUCAAGUAGGUAGACAACCAAACUCAUAUUCAAGAUAUAUCAUUGUCUUUUUUCUUAUUGUUUGCCACCCCUUUUGGUUUCGAAUUCUUCCUCAGCCUUCCAUUUUUAUUAUUUGAUUGAACUAGAGAAAGUGGGAAAGUUCAGUUAAUAUCUGAAUAUUUUCAUGACAACCUAGUGUCCAAUUGAGAAAGAAAAAGUUUGAAAAAAUUGAAGACAACAAUGUAAAAAAUGUUAAUAUAUAAUAGAAUUUGAAUUUAAUAUAAUUCAAUUUAUUCAUAUAAUUAUUCUUAAGAAAUUAUGUCUAAUAAUUUUAAAUUUUAAAUUUUAAUACAUACAAAAUUUUUUAUUAUUUUUAAAUUACAAUUUCUUUUAUAUUAAAAAAUUAAUAAAAGUUAUUUUUUUUCUUUAACACUUGAAAUAACCUGAAUGGGGGAAUGGUCUGAAUCCCUAUAAUAUCAACUCCUCCAUGUGCAAUGACCUUUGUUUUGUUUAUAUAUGGCAGUUAAGAUAGUUGUGCUUCCACGCAAAUAUAUGGCUCAAUGGCCUCCAAUUUGUUGUGUGGACUUUUCGGCUUUGAAAACUUCGUAUUCAAAAACAAAUUAAUAAAUUUGAUUCACUUGUUGGUUUGUAUUCUUUUUUUCACAUUAAAAGCAUAUUACAUAUAAUUAUUAUAUUAUAAUUAAUCAAUUGAAAUUUAUAAUUGUUUAUUUUCAUGGAAUAAUUAUAAUAAAAAAUUUGCAACUGAAAUGCUCCACAUGGUGUGGAAGCCCACAGAUUCCGAAGCCAAGAGCCAACCGUUUUUAUUGAUUGAUUCCCGUUCCACUGGUCAAAAGUCAAGCUUUGUUUGAAGCAUACGAUUUCUUACCAGCUGGUUGGCUUGGAGUUGGAGAUACCAAAAUUUGUGCCACGUUGACAUUGGACUGCCUCACGCUUGAUUUGAAAUUAGAUUUGAAUGUUUGGCUUCAAAUUCAGAAUCAACAGAAUUUGGAAUGAGGGCAGGUAAGCAUUUGUUGUUUUUUAUUUUUAAUUAAAUAAUAUAAUUAAUAUAUAAUUUAUGAAUUUUAUUAUCGAAUGCUCUAAUAAUAUUUUUUUUAUAUAAAGAGAUAACAAUAUAGAGAUAGAUCAAAUUUUCAAAACCCAUAAUUUAUUUGUACGGAGUUAAUUGCAUUUACUGUAUUCAACAUUGUUUCAACAAUAUGCAAAAUUGAAGAAAUUAUCAUGUAAAACAAUAAGUUUAUUAAAAAUAAAGUUUUAAGUAUUUAUAGAAAAAGUUAAUUUGAUACAUUGAACCCUAAAUUGACAGUAUAAAAAAAGUAUUUAAUUAAUUGAAUAAUUUUUGAAAAAUAUUCAAAUAGUUGAAUUACAUUCAUUGUAUCUUUUAACUUCAAAAUUAAAGCUUUUAACCCAUCAAAGAAGCCAAAAAAAGAAAAGAAAAGGCACCAAGGGCAAUUCUUGCAACUAAACCACAAUGUAUGUUCAGGAAACUGCAACCCCAAGCCUGUUUCUGUUGCCAUUCAAUAAACAGAACCUGGAAGGCUUAGGCUGGAAAUUCCUUCUCCUUUGCAUGUCAUGGCUCGACGGCUUGAUGAUUUGAAGCAGAAACGUCUUGAUGGAAUUUGCUUUGGUAACCACAGAUAAUUCCGAGUGACUUUGUGAGACACGAACCACCCUUGUCCAACCGGGUGGCUUGUUGAAAUUCCUGUGCAUGCUGCACCUGAAGGAUCCUGGAUGUGUGGUAGGGGAACAUAGGCAUGUGGGGGUUUGUGACUUGGACUUUGAUGAUGCAUUUUUUGAGGCCAUGAGAAAUUGGGAUGGUUCAAAAAGGCUUUGAUCAAGCGGAAAGUGGGGGUCUAGAUGUCGAUAAUUUCUCUUGUUUGUGUGGCAAACUAAUGGCAAGUUGGCGAAAAUUGGGGUUUUAUUGCUUUGAAAAAACCUGUUUGAAUUACCUUGGUAACCUUUGCUUUCAUAGUUUUUAAUUAAUGGCAUGAUCUUAUAUAGUGUUUUGGGUAAUAAGAACAGUGACAAUUGGUUAAGUGCAAUACCAAGUCAGACCAUUUCGUUUUUCAUGUAAAUUUGGAGGAACAGACCAGUCGUUACAUCGACGAAUAAUUUAAUUUUCCUUUCAAUGUAUGGAACCAAUUGGAAAUAACCAAGUUCUAUUGGCUCUAUUUAAUGGUCACUGCUAGAUACAUGCAUGACAAUGAAGGAGAGACAUUUUUAUUCCAAUUUCCAACUAUUAAAAUGACAACUAAAAUUGGCAAAAAAAAGGUCCUAAAGCUAAAAUUGCUAUGGUGGUCCAGUGCCAUGGACAUUUGAGCUUGAACCCUAACAAAGGCCAGUUAUGGCUUCCUUUCUUACAGUUUCAUUCAUGCCCUUUCAAAUUGAUCAAUUCCAAUUUAAUAUUUCAUUUAUAUUUUUGAAGCCCAGAAAUGGCUUGAAAUCUUCAGAUAAAAUCAAACUAAAACCCUUGUAAAAGGCAUAUAGAAACCAAUACUCUAUGCAUAACCUCUACAAGAAAAAAGGGUUAUGGCCUCAUAGAUAGAGUGAAGGUCAAGGUUCUUACUCUUAUACAAGACACUGCUUUUAUAUUUUGAAAGAAUAUAAAACAUCUCAUUGAAUCGUUUUUUAUUGCUUAUCUGUCAUGCUCAAUAUCUAAUUUCAAAGAUGGAUUUAAAUUGUUAAUUUCAGAAAGAGUAUCAAAUUUGAGUUAAACUUGGAUUGUUUGCUUAUCUUUGAGGUCGGUUGUGUGGGGGCAAGAGACAUACAGCUUGUAUGAAAUUAGCAACCUAGCAAGAACAAACAGCAUAACAUGCAUCAUCGUCCCCUUUAUAAAACUUGACACGUUGUACAAUUGUCAUAUUCAAAUCCACAAAUGGAGAGACCCUGAUCACACUGAUAAAGACCUGUUACCAAUUUUCCAGACAAUUUUGAUUUUGGUACAAUUUUACAAAGGAAUAUGUUGAAUGUCACAAAAACACUUUCAUGGGAUGGAGGGAUGAUUUCAGAAGAUUUGGUGAUAUGGGUUUAAUUUAUGAUGUCUUCUGCCAUUGAUAAAACAACCUACAUGCAUAUUAAAAAAAACCCAUAUCAGAACACCAGAAUCCUUGACAAUCCCAAACCCAUAAGGAGAGGAAGAAAAGUCUGAAUUCUGCUCUUUCUUCUUCUUCUUCUUCUUCCUCUUCUUCUUUUUUAUUUUGUUUAAGUAUGCAUUGUGCUUGUUUAUGAUCAUCAUGAUCCAAAACUCAAAGAGUUACAUGGUUGGGUUAUUAUGUGAGAAAAGUUAAAACCAAAAGAGAUGCGAGUCAAAUUUAUCAAUAAAAUUUAUUAAUUUUGAAACACAAUUAUUUUUAUAUUUUUUAGAAAUAAUAUUAGGAAAAAAAAUUGUCACCUCCUAUAAUAUUUUCCUCAUGGAUUAGCUUGUAAAAGAACCAACUUUUAUUUUCACAGAAAGAGUUGCAUGGUGGGUUGUGUGUAUAGAAAGUGAUAUGGCAGUUGAUCAAACUCUCUUACUGAUGUUGAUUGAAGGCAAGCAUACAAUCUAUCUGUAGUCCAUUAGAUAAGUAUAUCAUAAAGUUACCUGCCGAAUGCCACUUUUUUUUUUUUUGACAGGAUCUAACUUAGUUUUACCCCCUAAUUAAUUUCACCUUAUAAACUUGCUUAUUUAGGUCAACCUAUGGAAAUCUAGGUGUAGCUAAUUUAAUUAAUUUUUUUAUACAAAAAUAAUUGCGAGAAAGGGAUUGUAAUGAAUACAUGAAAUGGUCAAAUGGUGAUGUUUCUUGUUGUGUUGUCAUUAGUUGAAAUAUGAUAAUAACUUUUGUAUUAGGAAAUCUUUCACAUAUUUAUAUACAAAAUCAACUUGCAACGAGAGUUACAAGCAUAUUCUUGAAUUGAAAUGUUACAAGCAAGUUUUCCUCUCCAACCAACAUGAAUCCGACAGUGGCAGAUGCUACGGGGCAAGAUGCUCCUCCUAGGCACCUGAAAAAUGGGAGAAACUCUUAAAGCCGAAAGAUGAAGUCCCAUCACUCUUUCAGAUAAGAUAGCCUGUGUUUUUGCACCAUAGGAAUUAACUAAACUCUGGGUCUCUUUGGGCCUUAACACUGAGCCUAGCCACUCAGUUCAAAGCAACCGCAAUCCUUAUUGCUUAACAGCUGAAGAGCUAAGUUCCAUUCAAUUUGAUGUUUUGGUUAUUUAUUUUUUUGAAAAAAAAUGAACAAAAAUAUCAAGCAAAAGAACCUAAAUUAAAAUUUUCAUGCAUGCCAUGAACCAGUGGUUUAUAGCCCGUCGGUGAAGCUUGACAUUAACAAAACAAAAGAAUUUUCUGUUCUUCAUGAGAGAGAUGCAAUACACUUGGAGAAAAUGGUCAAGGUUCAUGGAAAAGAAAGUCAUUCCUUGUGCAUUGCUAUAGACUGCAUUGCACAAAGAUUCAAGCCUAGGGAUAACAAACAUAAUGUACAAAAUUUAGCUAUGUUACUCAAAAUAUACAAGCAAAUUAACAACCUGCUAAUUGGACUUGGUGUCCUAUCCACCCUUGUAUAGGCCUUCUAAUCUAGCAUCGUACCGUUUAGUAUAAACACGGUGCCUUCUCUCUCUUGCAUAGAUUACCCAGAAGAUCAAUGACAGCAUCACAGCAGCAGAUACAAUUACUAAUCCAAUGUAGAUCCAUUGACUAUAGCGCCACAGACCAGGACAAUAAUCAUGACUGAUAUCUGUGAAUGUAUCACGCACAAAAGUGCAGUCUUGCAAAUUAACCAGGAAUGGACCAUAGCGAUACAAACCAUAACUGACAUUCACUGCAGCUGACAUCUGAGUGUAAAAUUGAGGGGUCAGCCGUCCACGCUUUGAACAAAUCCCAGAGGAUGAAACCUGACAGGUAUAGUUCUUCCAAACCUGUUUGAAACAGAUAUAGGCGGUCAUUUAACUUUAGUUAUAUACAUUAAGAAGAAAACUGAAAACGUUAUAGUGAAAAGUUUUUGGAUAGGCAGAAGCAUGGAGACAGGCUGAGAAACUAAAACAAUAGAUAGAUUCUAAAACCUUUUAAGUCUUUUUACCCACACAUAAGGUUAUUACUGCUCCAAACAAAGCCAGAAGUCACAGCUAAACACCUUAAAUGACAGAGCUUGCAGUAUACAACAUUUUAUAAAUAAUUCUGCAACCUGCGUAGAUGAGCCUUGAACUGGAGUAAUAUAAUUGAAUGAGAAGGAAUUCUAGAAAGUAUCAAACAGCUAAAAAAGGAUCACAUGCAUCAACUUGUAAAAGAUGCAAUUAGGACAGUAACUAGCCUUAGUAAGUCUGUCAGCAUAAAGAUUGGCCUUGGUGUUUGGAACUUUUUAAUUAACUUAAUCACUGCAGUCUUUGGGAUGAAUUUUUAAGUCCUCUGAAUGACCUAAAAGUUAUUGUUUGAAACUAGGCUGAGAAUUAAGGGAAUUGAACCCAGGAGAGAGUAACUUGGCAGGCUGAGGCUUGAAAUAAUUGAGACUAAAUCCAUUUAUUUAAGCUUUUGGUUCCAACAUGUGCACUACAUAAUUGUGCGCAUUGCAUCUGAUGCAUGCAUACUUAUGUAUGGCAAAGCAAUUUCAACUUAUAUUUGGAAAGGCUAUUUAUUACCUCUGAGGAAUCGUACAAGCUAACUUCACCAGAUGCACAUUGCCGAUCUGUGAGGUCAGAAUGAAAUGGGUUGCAGAGAACUGGGACCCGUGGACCAGAUUGAUUGUAAUAUAAAGGUGCCGAUGAUGGAGGGAAAUUUUGGUUGACAACAUUAUUGAUGACGCCAUUCACCACAUUCACAAGUUGGUAACUGACAUUCUUGGUUCUUAAUAAAGUCUCCUGGGCUGUUGCAUUGUCCACACAUGGAAGAAUGUCAUCUAAUGCCGUAUGGGCAGUGGGAUUCUGGACCCAUUCAUCCAUGGCAACACACGCAUCUCCUACGACACUGUGAAGCAUAGGAGACAAUUUUAAGUUAGAGAGUCUAUCAUAUUAAAGAAAUGUAUAAGAACAGUCUUUUUUUUUUCUUUUGGCCAAGUAUAACAACAGUCUUGUGCACAUACAAUAACCUAGAAAUUAAAUCUUAAGCUAUAUCACACUUAACAUGUUCACAAAUCAGAUUAUGUCAGAAACUUGCAAAUGUGAGGAACAUAACAAAGAUAUGUACCUGCAAUCAGGUGCGAAUGAGCAAAUGAGGGAGUAGAGGAAACAUAUCAAGAAAAUGACAUUUGUUUUUAGAGAAGUGAUAUUGAAUGAUUGGUGCAUUAGAUUCCCACAAUUCAUUAUUGAUUACAUGUAUAUUAAUAAGUUGACAACAGGAAAACCUUUUAGUCUCAGAAAGAGGAAAAACAAAGACAGACAACAGAAGAACUUUAGAUAUCAAGAAAGAAAUCUAAAAUUUACCAAGAGCAAAUAAUCAAGUAAAAGGGAUGGGAUUUGGAAAGAAAGUCAUAGCAUAAGUAGCAUAGAAAGGAAAUUUGAUCCUAAAAAUUUAAGUCUAAAAAUUGGGUGUGGCAUAGACUCGUGUGGGCAAACCUUUAUCAACUUCUACAUUCCAUUUUAUCCUCACCAGAAACCAAAACAUUCCAUAUAGCAUUAAAAAGAAUGCAGGAAAGAUUUUCUCUAGUCAGCAAGGUUGUGGAAUUUCCAUCGGUGUAUAACUAAGUAGAUAUACCACUCAGGUGUUAUACGAGAUUAAAGAGAGGCCCAAUUUAUAUUUGGUCAUAACUCACAACCAAGAUAAUGCUCCAUUAAAUACUUAGUGUUGAAAGGUAAAAACUAAAAAUAUAUGAGUUCUUCUGAGAGAAAGGAGGGAAAUUGAGCAGAGCAUACUUGUGGAGGAGAUGAAAUACUCCACACAAAAUAAAUGUGCCAGCAACAAGAAUCCACCCAAGGAUCACCAACCUGCAUUCAUUAAUUAUAGAAGUGUUUGAUAAGGGAAGUGCAUUUAAGUAAUAUAGGUUCCCUUACUAUUUAUUAUGAAGCAUACAACUGAAAAUACAUUAAUGAUACUUCACUUACGUGUACACCAGACACUGCAAUCCAAGAAUGGAGAAUACUGCAGCCACUCAUCACAAUAAUAGCAUAACGUUUAGAUGAUAUUGUAAUAAUCUAAUCACUAAGAAUCUCGGUGCGAUGAGCGAACAACAAUGUAACUUACAGAAUCCAAGAAAUGCCAAAAAGAGCAUCAAAGCAGCAACAAUGAUAAGAGCCAAUCUCCUGCAGCAUUUAGCCUGAGAUCAGUUUGAUGAUCGGCACUCAAAGAUUAUUAUAAUUUCAAGAUUAUAAAAACUUCAACCUACAUGCCGUCCAAGCCAUGUUGAAUUUUAUCUUUAUUAUUGCCUGUUUGAGUAGAAAGAGUCGAAGCAGAAGAGUUGAUCUUCUUUACAACAUCAUCGAUGCUUUUUUGGACAUCUGGGGACAGAAAAACUGAAUUCACGGUAAUUUUCUUAGCUGCAGAAAGAUAAUCUGACACAUUCCUGAGGUUUUCAGCAGUAGCAUCUGCCUUAUUAACAGCAUAAUCCAGUGUGUUUAUUGUACUGCCAUGAAAUUUUCCCUGACCAGUGUACAGCACAACACACCCGCCACUGUAAUAUGAAGUUAGAUACUGAGUGAAUAAUCAUAUGGUUACAUAAAACAUAAAUAUCUUGAAAAUUUUAAAAGAGAGAGGGAGUAGAGUUACAUUGCAGCAAUGGUGAAGAGCAUAAGGAGAAUAAGAGAUAGUGCAUAAGCUGUCCUAGAGUAGCCAUAAGAAUCUAGUUGACAACAACAAUGACGGAUACAUAUGAUGAACAAGCAUAGUGCAAAUAUCACAAACCAGACUGCAGCAAUGACAAAGAAAGGAGCCGCCGUAAAACCCACAGACUGCAUUAUAAGCCAUAGAAAAAUGAUAUUAAAUACAAAAAAAAAAGAAGAAAGAAUAUACUUUACCAGUUAGACAGAUGAAAAGUUGAAAAAGAAUAUGAGAUACUAAGGAGAGUUUUAAGUUU